rnacentral:lncRNA from 1 species
GUCUGUAUUGUAGGUUUGCAAGAAUACAAGGUAUCCACUGUGGAGACAGUCAGGGAGUUGAUUGAGAAAGGAAAUGCAACAAGGAGUACUGGAACCACUGGUGCAAAUGAGGAAUCCUCCCGUUCGCAUGCCAUACUUCAGCUCGCCAUCAAAAGAAAGGUUGAUGACAAUGAUUCAAAACCAGCUCGACUAGUUGGCAAGCUAUCUUUCAUUGAUCUUGCUGGAAGCGAACGUGGGGCUGAUACAACUGAUAAUGACAAACAAACUAGGUAGCAUUAGAUUAGAUAGAUCUGCUAUGUGUAUGAGUAAGAAUUGCAAGAAAUUGUCAACUUAUUUGAGGAUCACUGAAUCUUACCUUCUUUUGCAGAAUGGAAGGUGCUGAAAUUAACAAGAGCUUACUUGCUCUAAAAGAAUGCAUUAGAGCUCUUGACAAUGACCAGGGUCACAUUCCAUUCAGGGGGAGUAAACUGACUGAAGUUCUGAGAGAUUCAUUUGUUGGUGACUCCCGUACAGUGAUGAUAUCCUGCGUUUCACCAAAUUCAGGGUCAUGUGAACAUACUCUGAACACUCUAAGAUAUGCUGACAGGUAAAGCCAUCAUGUAAGAGAAGUUUCAUGAAGUUAAAAUGUACUUUGCUUUAGAAAGGUCUAAGGUUCAAUUGCAUAUCAGGGUUAAGAGUCUAUCUAAGGGGAACAGCUCAAAGAGGGAACCGCUGUCCACAUUAAAUCUUCGUAGUUCAACUCCAGUGCCUUUGUCCUCAAUCAGUCAAGUUGUGUCAGGCCCUGAGGAUAAUGUAUUUGGUGGGCUGCAGAACCAAGAGCUCAGCAAACUUGGAUGGCCUAAACAACAAGAAAGGGAAUCCUCACUAUCUUCCAACAUUGAGCGUGUUCCUAGUGGUCAAGCACAGAGCAAUUUGGCUGCCACAGUGCAUAUAGAGAAUCACAAGCAAUUUGGUCCAAGUAUUGAUCGUGUUCCUAGUGGACGAGCCCAAUGGAGUAGUCUGGUUCACACAAAUGAAGAUAAUUUUGAUGGCUCUAAAGGGAUCUCUGACCAUGCAUCUUGGUCUAUAAAUCCAAAAUUGGAUAGCCAUCAGCUACGAAAUAUAGAUGAUAAGACUGGAAACGUAAAGUAUGGGGACCCAUCUGAACUUGAGCCAAGUAGCUUGAUCGCAGAAGAUGAUCUUACUGCUUUGUUAAAGGUAAAAGCAAUAUUUGAUCUUGGUUUACUUGUCAAAAGAUAAAAUAACAACUGCUAAGUUAAAAUUCUACUUGUUUGAUGUCAGGAAGAGGGAGAUCUUAUCAAUGCUCAUAGAAAACAAGUUGAGGAAACUAUGGAAAUUGUCAAGGAGGUUGGUUAUUCAGUGCUUUUUGCCUAUCUGCGUACAAUAAGUUUUAAAAUACAGUUAAGUAUUAAGCUGCAUCUCUUGUUUACUGUGUUUCUCUAUGCAGGAGAUGAGUCUAUUAGUUGAAGUUCAUGAACCCGGUAAUCAGCUUGAUGACUAUAUUUCUAGACUGAAUGCCAUUCUAUCCCAGAAGGCUGCUGGAAUUCUGCAAUUGCAAAAUCGCUUGGUAGAAUUUCAAAAGCAUCUUAAAGACCACGAGGUUUUCUUAUUUCCUUCUGGUCAUUGAGUCAACUGUUGAGAUUCGACAGAAACUACCACUUAUACAGAGUUAGCCUCAAAUUGGUGAUACUAUGACUUCUUGGUCCUACCUGGUCUGCAAAUUUUAGGUUGGUUGCUUUGAGAUCUACUUCCGGGGGACAAUACUACUAGAUGUACAGACUUACCGAGCGGAUUAUGGAAGGCUCAUCAAACGAUGCAGAAAUGCAGUAAUUAGAUGUUCAAUCGAAAUGCUGCCAAUAGCUAUAUGGGACGGGUUAUGCAACUAUUGGCAGUGUAUCUUGGAGCCUCAGAAGUCUCAGCAUGUUGAAAGAUAUUGUAAGAAACUUUGGAUUGGGCUUGUGCUGGUGAAAAUUUUCACCCCAAUUGUUGGUUAUGUUGUAUGGGUGACGGUACGAGAAUGCCUGUCAUCUGCUUUGUGUGCAUAUAAUGGGUACCGUUCCUUGGAGUUUGCCAUGUUAUUACAUCCCGACUCCUAAGAUAAAACUACAACUCAACCUAAAGUGUAUUUUCAUUUGAGUGCAUGAGGUAAUCGCUAGAUAUCCGUAUGUUAUUUCUAGACUCACAGAAGUAACGAACUUUGACCGCAAGCACCGUAUCUCACUUGUCCCUAUGGAUAGCAAAAGUAGUUUUUCAGAAGAGAGAUUAUGGCAACUUGUUUUCAUCCCUCAUGAUGAAUCUACAGGGAAAUAUUUACACAAAUAUUGAAGUUCUUUAAGGAGACCAUUAAUUCGGCAAAACACAAAUCUAUAAAUCAACGGGUUAUAUAUAACAAAAAGAUGAGGAAUCAGCUAGAUCAAAUUGCAAGGAGGCCACAGGGUUCGAUCUCCAUCCGACCCAUCAUCCAAACACUUGGGAUCCUCGGUUACAUUACACUUGGGAUCCUCGGUUACAUUUUUUUUAGUGCCAACCCAAUGCCACCACUAGAAUUGUGUCAAGUGUCUUGUUGUCAUUAGCAUUUUAAUUUUUUAUUAACUCAAAUUGGUUCAAAAUUAACACAAAUUUUCUUAUUCUCUAAAACUCUAAACCAAAAGGCACCCGGCCGGUCUAACUCCUGCAUCGAUAAUUUUAUACCGCUGCUGCUUUGGGGAAAAAGAAUAAGAAAACCCUCUGUUUCCGAUGAUUGCCUUCAUUUGUGGCUUGAUCGAUGGUGUUCCAGUAAACCAUUAGCCCAAGAGCUUUGUGUCGUGGAUCCGCCGCAUCAGUUGGUUUCAGAUUUCUUUGGUCCAAGAAUUUGAUGGGGCAAGGAGUUAGCAUUGGGAUUCGGAGUUCAACCAAUGAAUGCGUCUGCAAGGUUGAUAUUAAGCCUUGGUUAUUUACUCCAAGAAAAGGGUUCAGAAGUUCAGAGGCCAAUUCCACUGCAAUUGACAUAUAUUGGGAUUUUUCAUCCGCAAAAUUUGGUUUUGGCCCGGAACCGCUAGAGGGGUUCUAUUUAGCUGUUGCAUUUAACCAAGAACUUGUCCUGCUCCUCGGGGAUUUGCAAAAGGAAGUGUAUAAGAAAAUAGGUCCUAGCCCUGUUGAAUCUAAUACGGUGUUUAUUGCCAAAAGAGAGCACAUCUUUGGGAAGAGAGUAUACACUACAAAGGCUCAAUUCUGUGACCACGGGCCGAUACAUGACAUCGAAAUUGAGUGCGAUACUGGGGGGAUUAACGAUCCAUCUCUGGCCAUCAGCGUGGAUAGCAGAGCGGUGUUGCAGGUGAAGCGGCUGCGGUGGAAGUUCAGGGGGAACCAGACUAUUUUGGUGGAUGGACUGCCGGUGGAAGUGUACUGGGAUGUUCACAGGUGGUUCUUAGGGAAUGUUAUGGGCAAUGCUGUUUUCCUGUUUCAAACCUGUCUCUCGGCCGAGAUGCUGCGAAACAGAGGGUUUUCUUAUUCUUUUUCCCCAAAACAGCAGCUGUACAAAAUUAUUGAUGCUGGAGUUAGACCGGCCGGGUGCCUUUUGGUUCCGAAUUUUAGAGAAUAAGAAAAUUUGUGUUAACUUUGAACCAAUUUGAGUUAAUAAAAAACUAAAGUGCUAAUGACAACAAGACACUUGGCGCAAUUCUAACGAUGGCGUUGCAUUGGCACUAAAAAAAAUGUAACCGAGGAUCCAAGUGUCAUCCAAAGCACUAAACAGGGGUGCUACGAACGAAAAAACAACUUGAUUCAAGUGUGGGACUAAACCAUUAAUGGUGUAGAGUCAAAUGCUAGAAAAUUCAAAAUGGUGGAGAAGAUUUUGAAUGAGAGAACAAUCUGAUUGAAUAGGCAUCGACUUGAGUUUGGAAUUUGUUGUUUGCACGCUGAGGUGCUUGGAAAACUUGCGGAUUCACCAGCCAGGAUAGUAUAAAUCAAUGGCUGGAAACCGUGCAAUAAGAUUUCCAGCAAUCCUGUUUGUGUUAAAAUUUGGCAAACAGCUCCCUUGGUGAAGCCCAGAAACUAAGGUUUUCCGUUUCCCACAGAAGAAAAAUAGAUUUUUGUUGUCCCAUUUUCUGUUUUUUGGUUUUUUUUUUUUUUUUUUUUGCAAAGAAAUGCAAGUCGCCAUGCUAAAAGAAAAGACUUGUGUUUUGAACAAAUUGUAUGCUAGACUGACCAGUAGUAAAGAAAAGAUUUGUCCAAGUACAAAAGAACUAAAACUUGUUGAACGGUCAUUUUCUGGCCUCACAGCCUCAUUUUUGUCUGCGCGUGUCGUGGAGGGUCAGCUGGGGACAGCGAAAGGGAAAGUAAUCCUCAGGAAGAAGACGACGUCUGUAAAACUUGAUGAAUGACUCCAAGAGUUUGAAGGGAGAGCCAGACGACCGCCAUAGGGCAAUUGGUAAACGACAGAAAAUGGCAAAGACCCAUACCGUCUCAUUACCAUCCAAGAUGAGAAGAAGAUAUAUACAACACAACUGAGUGGAGAAAAAAAAAAAACAGCACCCACGCCACGCACAAACCCACACCCGUCCCUUGACAAAUGCUGUGUUAUAUACAACGCAUCACAAAACCUCCCGCUGGCUGCUGCAGAUAGGUGGACGCAUCAAUGCGGAUUAGAUUUAGAUCCAGAACUAGAAGGGCACUGCUGGUUCCUCAUAGGUCACAAUUCACAAGUGAUGUGUCACUGGAUUUUCAAUACAAAUUUGGAAACGUAUAAUUUCUUCAUCAACUUUGCAAUGCAUAUAUUCAGGGUGAUCUUGACCAUUCAAUGAUUCCCCAUCCCUUUUUUGUCCGAAAGGUGCUUUGUCAUCAUUCUCUACUACUUCUUUGGGUUGAAAUUUAACGUCUCCCUGCUCCCACCAUAACUGCACUUUAAUUUACAGUCAAUGUUGCCCUGUUUGUUUAUAUUUUACGUCUUUUCUUUGAUUCCUCUCUUUCAUCCAACUGAGAAUCUCUUAUCUCUAGUUUAACCAAUUGUUGCUCUGUGGAUGCUCUUCGUUUCAUCCCCCAUUGGGUACUUGAAGAAAGCUGAGAAUUUACCGAGUGCCAUACAUAAGUUUACGACACUACCCAAGACGUAGGUGAUAAAUACUAGGUGGUUUUACCACGUAUGUAUGUUGAUUGGGAAGGGAAAAAAUUCUAGAGGAAAUUGUGGAGCUGCUCUCGCUUCUAAUCCAAGGGCUGCUUUAUGUUACCUCGUAUUCUAUCACAUCCACAAUUAUCCUUCUUAUCCAAAUACUUGUUUUUGAUUAUUUGCCUUUAGCAAAGUCGUUACCAUGAAACUGUGAAAGGAGCAUUUGCGAUAAAGGUUGGACUAAAAGUUGUAGCUCUAAAAGUUCAAAUAGAAAUUUUGUUUUCACGUAUAUGUAUGAUCUUGUCACCUUGUGAAUUUCUUUCUGCAGACAAUUAAUGUGUCUUUUCUUCUAAUUUGAUGGAAGACUUUAAUUAACUUUAAUGGUUAUGUGGUAGUGGCUACCAAAGGGGUCUUGAUCAAGUUGUUAAUAUUAAAGUUUCCAAAUUAGAGGUCGUGAAUUCUAAUUCUUCAUCUAUUUCUUUCAUCUCAUGACCUAUAAUAAUAAUGAUGAUGACUAAGUCUUUGGAUCCUCUACUACAAUUUUUGUGUUAAACUCCCUAUUUUAACGUGUGGCGAGGUCUACAAGAAAGUGUUGAGAGCCUCUUGUUUGGAUUGCUAUUUUUCUUCAAAAAAUUUGAACAUUUUUCGUAAAUAUAUUUCUCAAUCAUCUUUUUAUAUUAUAUACAUGAAAUCGUUUUAGUACAUUUUUCUAUGAAUUUUUUUUUUACCUCACAUACAUAAAAUCGUUACAAUAUAUUUUUUUUUAAAAAAAAACUAAAAAAAUGGCAAUCCAGAUGGACUCCUAUACAUUUCUCAAUCAUUUUUUCAUCUUAUAUAUAUGAAAUUAUUAUAAUACAUUUUUCUACAAAAAUUCUUUUUGCCUCGUACACAUAAAAUCGCUACAAUAAAUCUUUUAUAAAAAUUUAAAAAAUAGCAAUCUAGAUGGACUCUUAGUAAUUGAAAUUCUACAAAACAACAAAAUAUGCCGUCGUUGCUAUGGGACCGAAAAGACAACGUAAUCUUGUGUUUAUUGUACAAAUCUGGUUUCCCUUGCGUCCCUUUCAUGAAACGGCCACUUUUCUCAUCGCAAAUUUUAGGCUUUUCAUCGUAUCUCUGACCUUUCCUCAAAUUCGCUGUCAAUGUGCGUCUCUGUGGAGCACAUAAUUUAUCAGCUCUUAAAGUAAUGAACUUCAUCGAUUGAUUUACCAUUUGAAUAAAGAUACUAUUGGUAUUUCAAUUAACAACGUUAUAUAGGUUAUUUUCUAUCAAGUUUUCACUCUACAUGAGAUGAUAAGGGGUGAAGUGAAUAUAUUGAAACGUUAGGGAGGGUCACGUGGCAAUAGAUGAAAAUACAAAAGAAUUAUAUGUAAUUUAACCUAUACUUUGCUUACUCCAAUAUACUAAAAUUAAUGGCAUGAGAAGAAAGUUUUAAACAAGAAUUUGUGCUUUGAAUAGUACGACAAGAAUUUUGGAUUUGUUCUCUGUUCGACAAUUUGUCUAGGGGUUUUAAACAAUUAGCAACUGAACUCAAUUUUAAUGAUUGCCCGUUAUUCUUCAUGUGUAAAUGACGUUCAUGGAUAUCCGAUAUGUUAUCCAAAAAAAAAAGAAACAAUAACACAAAGUUGAUGUCAUUUAGGGGUGGGUGAUGGGUUGAAUAGUACUUAAAAAAGGAAGUGCAAGUGCAAGUAAGAAAUUUGAUUUCGAGACCUCCUCCACCCCACCACCGGCACCAAGAAGUGUAUAUAUAUUAAAUCCACUUUAAAGGUAGUACCUAAAUUAAGACGAUUACAUGUGUAAGGACGGUUUUGGCUAACGACACAACUAAUUAAAUAGCUUCGUCCGCGAUAAUCUACCAACCAAAACAGGAGAAACGUUUCCUUAAUAAUAAUUUUUAACUUAUCUGACAUCGUUGUCCCAUAUAUUAGGUGAAUCAGCUCAUGGGCCGGUUGCCAAUCCUGCAUUUCCACACAUACACAAAGCCACAACCUUUCGCUGUCACAGUCGAAAUGCUCUGCCCACCAGAUCGUACGGUUGGACAUAUAAAACCAAUAUUAGGACACAUCAUUGGCCUCCGCAACGUCACGCUCCAUGGAAUUAUAGGAUCCCACUAAAUCCCCUAUUUUAAGCAAAACAUAUCUCUAUUUAGUAUGCAGAGAUUAUUUUAAUGGUUGUGUUCGUUGUUUAGCAUAAGACAAGCAUAGGUUAUUAGAUUUGGACUUUGGAGCGCACUUUAAAUUUAGAGAUAUGUUUCCCAGGACUCAAACACCCACUAAGAACAGAAACGCCCCAAAUUAUAUAUGGAGAACAAAGCGGACAGGUGUCCGGUGGAUAUUGUGCCACAUACUAAUAUGUCACUUUAGCCGCCGGUGCACGAGUGGGAGCGCUGUGUUUACCGGCCCAAAAGAGAAACAAUAAUAAAAAAAAAAAAAAAAAAAAAUGAAAAGCGGAAAGCAAAUCGGAUGCCUGCCCAGCGGCUGUUUGGCCCCCCGCUCUGAAUUUCUGUUUUCUUACCCAAAAAGGCUCGUCAACUCGUGCCUCCCUGCUUCGGCGCGUCUCUCCUGGUUCUGUUGUUAGGCUUUGGGUAACUUGGAUCGGAGGCCUCUACACAGAUAAUUCCACCGUGUAAGUUUUAGUGUACACGCUGAAAUACCAAAUAAUGAAAAAUAUGAACUGUUUCGUAUCUCAUAUAUUGGAAAAAAAAUAUUUAUUUUUGUCCAUCGCUUCUAAAAUAAAACAAACGAGUCCCUCCACAUUUGAAAGAUGAAGCAAAUUAGUCUUGGUAUGACUACCUGGUUUAGAUUUUAGGAGUAGAAUUUGAACAUCACUUUAGUUUCUUCCAAAUCCGAUAUGCCCAUGAUAUUAACUCAACAUAAGAAAGAAAGAAAAAAUUUUAAAUUAUAACAUCAAAGACAAACCCUCCUGUAUAAAAAUAUUUUUUGAGCAAAUAAUAUUAAGUCAACAUUAAAAGAAAAACCAAAAAAAAUGUAGCAUCAACGAGGUUCUUAAUCUGAAUAAAAAGUUGUAUUACUUACAUUACAAAGAAAAGCAAAUAGUAAAGUCACGUGCGCUGAUGCACAUCUCUCAAUUAUUAGUUGUACUUUUAUAUAAUUUAACACCUCCAAUCUUAAUGUAAUUUUUUAUUUUCUAUCUUAAAUUUUUGAGUGUAUCUAUUUCUUAUGGAAAUUUAUACUCACACAAAUUUUAAUUAUUUCUUAAAUUGCCAAAACUUCAUGAAUUUGUGUAUAAUUUUUAAGAUUAUAGCAUUUGCAAUACUAGCAUGACUCUAUUAGAAGUUUAUUCUGUGAAAUUCAUUUGGCAUAUCGUGUUUUAAUGAUCCAUUAUAAAGAAGUUUAUCCCUCUUAAGUUGACUUGGCAAGUGCACACGGGUGUUGGCCAAUGGAGGGCUUUUUAGCGUCUUUCCCACGGUUAAAUUUAGGGUUCAAAUUCCGUCUUUACGGUUGAUGGUGGAAAGAGUGUAGAGAAGGGUGGAAGGGUUAAAAAAAAAAAUGCAUAAGGUGUUAAAAAAAAAAUGCAAAUUCAUAUUUUUCAAGCUAAUAAGUUCCAAAUUGUUAUUUUUAUGUUGCAUUUGUACCUUGCUUCACAUUUCGUUUGAGUUCUACAUUACUUAGGAAAUAAUUGAGAUUUUUAAGAUAUUUUUUUGCUACAUGUUUAUUUUUACAAUCACCAUUUUAUCUGACAUAAAUUAUAAAUAUAUGUUAUAAUUAAAAAAUUCCAAUGCAAUCGUUAAUUUUGUAAGUAAAUAUAAGUACUGCCACCAGUAUUACGAUAAACACUUUCAAUUGCUUAGAGUAUAUAUUUUUUUGUAAAUUUUUACGCUUUUUAUUGCUAAAAGUUUUAGUGCACGUAUAGUUGUAUUUAAAUCAAUUUAGCAAUUGUUAAAGAAAUAGUUAUUUAUUAGGUUGCAAUUGUUAUGUAUUCGAGAAUUAGUCAAGAGUAUUUUGGUCUUGUAAAAUAUAACCUCGCCUUAAUCAUUAUAAUAAUAUUAAAGCGUAAAGUGUAUAUAUUUGCGGUUUAUGGGACAAAGUGUUAACCCCAUUUAAAACUUAUCUCUUUCUUAUGUAGUAUGACCUCAACCAAAAAAAAAAAUUUUUUUUUUUGACCAUAUCAUCGCGGAUUUUUUUUUUAAAAAAAAAAACUUUCUUUUUUUAUAUUCGCAGAAACACAACAUGGAGUUACUGUGGUCCCUGAUGUAUGUACCCAAGAACCUAUUGGCCAACCUUUUUUUUGAAGCAAGCCUAUUGGCUAAUCUUAAACCUUGAAAUUAAUACCCCAUUCAAAGAAUUAAAUUAAGAAAAUGUCAGAAAAAAAGAAUUAAAUUAAGAUGAUGAAGGUGAUUCAGCUAGGUGUUCUUUCCAGGUUAGCAAUUUUGGCAUCACGCCAUGUGCUUAGGACACGUUGCAUAUUCUGUAAGGGACCACGCCAAUUUUUUCAAAAAGUCCACCACCUUCACUCCCCGCGCGUGACCUUAGAACAGAAGUCAUAAAAGCUUGGAAAAUAUCUAAACGGCCGGGACUCUGACGUGUAUCAAAAGAUGAUACCCCAAGUGGGCCCCCUUCUCUUGAGCCCAAGAAAUAUCGUCGUCAAACCCAAAUGACCUCCACGUUACCACUUGUUCACUGUUUUGCCACCUUCCCCACUUAUAUACCCUCCACCAUUCACCUCUCUCAAAUUCAAUGCAAAUUUUGCAUCCUCACUCGUCACCGCCACCGCUAUCAACCUCCUCCGUCACCGGCGACCGCCUCUUUUUUCUUUUUUAACCCCUUCUGGAGGGGUAACAGUUAAAAUAUCGGUAUAUGGGAUGGAGGCUGCUAACAACAAUAUAAUUGCCCCGUUUGUUAUGAAGACGUAUCAAAUGGUGAACGAUCCUUCCAGUGAUGGACUUAUUGCCUGGGGUAAAGCUAACAAUAGUUUCAUUGUUAUCGACCCUUUGGACUUCUCUCAAAAAAUUCUUCCUGCUUACUUCAAGCACAACAAUUUCUCCAGCUUUGUUCGUCAGCUCAAUACUUAUGUAAGUAAAUAUUUAGAUGUCGUCAUAGUUAAUUUAGAUUUUUGUUGAUGCGGUCAAAGUCCUACAUAAUUUCAAGAAUCUUUAUUUCUAUUCGUAAAAAUGAACAUUCUUGGCUUAAGAGUAGAGUAAAGAGAGUUUAGUUUAGUGGAUAAAGAGGGUUCAAGUUUCUCCUUCUACUUUCCUACUCAUUAAAUCCCACUCUUUCUCUGUUUUGAAGAGUGGGUUGGGGGGGGGGGGGGGGCGGAAGAAAGUUCUUUGUUUUGUACUUGUAUAUCCUCGUCUCUAUAAUUGAGGGUCGUGUUAUGUUGUUAAACAGUUACGUGCCAUGAGGAUCUGGUGUGGCUUAGUAGUUAGUAGUUAAGGGUCCUUUUGUUUUUUUUGGUCACAGUACAAGUGGAUUCCAUUUUUAUCCUGGCUGCUUUUACCUUUCCACAAAGUUAAAAAGAAAAGUGCUACUAAUAUAUGUGUGUAAACUUGAUUAUGGAAAUUUCAGGGUUUCAGAAAAGUGGAUCCAGAUAGAUGGGCUUUCGCCAAUGAAUGGUUUUUGAGAGGGCAAACGCAUUUGCUCAAGAAUAUUUCUAGGAGGAAGCACUGUAGUAGAAACUCAAGUAACAGUAGAGCUGAAGAUGAUGAAGAUGAUGAGGGAAUAAUAAUGGAGUUAGCUAGGUUAAAGCAAGAGCAAAAGGAAUUAGAUCUACAGCUCUCAAGGAUGAACAAGAGACUUGAAGCAACCGAGAGGAGACCCCAACAAAUGAUGGCUUUCUUGAGUAAAGUUGCUCAAGACCCUGAAAUAUUACCCCGUAUGAUGCUUGAAAAAGAAAGAACUAAAAGGUUAAAUAUUGCUAGUGGGGACAAAAAGAGAAGCAUAAUGAUGAUUUCCUCAACUUCGCCUUCGGCUUCUGUUUCUUCUCCUCCCUCCUCAUCAGGAAUGCCUUUGACAAGCUCUUCAGUAAAGAGCGAGGAGGAAGAGGAUGAUGCCAAUCUCGACGUUGAUAACUAUUGUCACUUUUCCUCUUCGCCGGAGACACCUUCCUCUGCAUGGUUCAGCCAAAGACCAGUCCUGGGUCGGUCCGUGAUUGCCCAAGAAUCUAGUAACAGUGGCGGCAAUAUUUCAAGCUCUCUGUCAUCGGGUUCCUCCGCCGGUAGUAGUGGUUCUACUGUUGCUCCGCCAUUGGAUGGUGUUCCGGCAAGUGAUGCUACGUUUGGUGGUGAUAUAAGUUAUGUAGGACGAGCUGCGGUCGGGGAGGCUGUUAGUCCACAACCGCCUUAUCCAUUCUCACUUUUAGGAGGCGGUUUCUAGUUAAACACUUUCAUAGAUUUUAAGGCUUUUUUUUUUUUUAGGUGGCAAAAUUACUAUUAUCGAGCUAUUUUGAUCAUGUAAUUCUUCAAACAUGUGCCUUACAUCAGAGCCUUAUAGGAUUAGGACCCGAUACCAUUCUUUAUAAGAUGGUAAAAUGGUGAUCCCAAGAAAAGCCAAAAAAAAAAAAAAAAAAAAAAAUUUGCAAACAUAGGGUCAGUUGUGUACAUUUCGUAUUUGAUCCUUAGCUUACUUAAUUUAUCGGGUGCAUUCUUACAUACAUAUUCUCCGACAGUGCUGGUAUUAUAAUGAUAAUGCAAGUUUCAAAGGAGUGCAAAGCGCAAGGAUGAAACUUAAGUUGUGUACCUACGGUUCUUUGCUUUUGGUCGUUUUUGUGGCCGAAGUAUCCAAUUGGCGACUAUUGUAUUUAUGCACAUAUAUCAUAGAAUAUGUUAAAAUACUCUUACCACCCUUUUUUAUUCCAAAAGACUAAAAUUUAUUUUUUGUCUACAAAAUUUAUUUGAAUGUAUUUUUCAAUCAUCUUUUUACUUUACAUAUAUCACAUUAUUAUAAUAUAUUUUUUUAAUAAAAAUUUUAAAAAAUAACAAUCCAAACAGGCUGUUACAACAGCGGCUUUUCUCCUCAAUAAACUUGGUAGGCAUGAUGAUGAAUUCGGAGAUGGGCAAGACUUGCUUAGUCACUUGGGUUGGGUAACUGAGGAAAAGAAAAAGUUACAUAGUUUCUUAUAUGAGUUAAAAUUAGAACAUAUUAGUUUCUUAUGUUGGAACAAUAUGCUGCUAAUUUUUACUGUGGUUGAUUAAGCCUUCAUGUUUGGUUAGCUGUCAAGAUUGGAAAGAAAAUCUAGAAAAUACGGAGGGAAGGGUUGGAUUGGAUGGUAAAGUGGGAGGGGUUGUAAGUAGAUUGGAAAGAAAAUCUAGAAAGAUAAGGAGGGAAGGGUUGGAUUGGGGUGGUAAAGUGAGAGGGGUUGUAAGUAGGAAAUCCAUUUUGAAAAAAAAGUAGAUAAGUUUAAUAUUGUGAAAGAAAUGCAAUUUUGGUCUCCAAAUUUUUUUUUUUUUAUAUUUGUGCAAUUUUAUUCCUAAAAUUUAGGCAAAAACAAAUCAAACCCCUAAUGUUUGACACUUGAUGCGAUUUUAGUAUUUAAAAUUUUGGUAAAAACAAAUUUAAUGACCAUUGUUAUCAAUUCAAAAUAGAUUUGGGACAAUUCAGUGGAUUUUUCAAUUAUUGACCAAAUCAGAGUAUAAUUUCAGAAACCACCCUUGAGGUUUUAAUAAUUUCAUUUAGCUCUCUCAAGGUUUUAAAAAUUACACAUAUUUCCCAUUGAAAAUUAUUGUUUUUAAAUAAUUUAAUGAAAUUCCCUUGUUUGGUGUGCUUAUUCUUAGAAUAACUUUUAAAAUUAUUUUUUCAUUAUUUUUUCCUUCGUAUUCCUUUUUUUAAUUAUUUGCUAAUAAAAUUGUAGAGCUACCACUAUUACAUCUAGUUUCUAUUAUAACUAAAUGUCAAACUAGUGAUUUUUUUUAUCAGUUAACUUAUAUGUAAUCCAAUGUUUUUUGUUGAUCUUUAUUUUCUAUUUUGUGCUAUUAAAAUUAGAAAUAAAUCAAAAAGAAAUGGCCCAAAAUCAUUACUAAAUUAUGAUAAUUCCACUGCUCAAAAAAUUCACAAAUUCUAAAUAAAUUAUUUCAACAUUUUCUUUUAUAUCAUAUAAAUCUAAAUACAUUAUAAAAUACCAUUAAAAGUAUCCUAUCAUAGUAAUAAAAUUAUUGUUAUAGUUGUAUAUCAAAUAGUAGGUAUGGACAUGAAAAAAUUUGACACUUUUUCCUUAUAAUUAUACUAGAUAAUUUUAUAAUUGCAUAGAAAAAUAAAUUAAAACUCAUUAUCCAAGGGCAUUUUUGGGUAUUCAUUUAAAAGUUUGAUCAAGUCAAUAUUAUUUUAAAGUUUUGUUGCUAAAACUAUCAAAUCAAGAAAGGUAGGUGUAAUUUUUCAAAUCUCAGAAGAGUUCAUUGAAAAUGUUAGAAACCGUAGGAGAGGUUUCUGAAAUUAUCCCCCAAAUCAGUCACGUAUAGUCUCAUGUUUGUUACAUUAAACAUCUAAAAAAAUAAGCAGAAUAAUGACUAACUUUGAACAACAAGAAUAACUAGUGCAAUUAUCAGAUGACUAACUAAUUAACCAAGAAACAAAAAUAAAAUUGUUAAACCAUACGCAAAAUGUAAGUGUCAAGGUUUUUUGUUCGGAAUGGAUUGUAAAUCGAUGAAUUAGGUACUGCGACUAGUUUCAGUUUUGUUGUUUAACAAAUUCAUUUUAAACUAGUUAAUUAGUUAGUACAUGAGUUGUUUUUGUCCUUAAUCUUGUUGUUUAAAAUCAAUUGCUAUUUUGCUUAUUUAUUUUGAAAUUCAAUUUACAUGACACACAACUAUACGUGACUAACUUCUAUCACUAAUUGAAAAAUAUUUUCAAAUAACCUAAAUAUGCUUUAAAUUGGAUACGCUAGGGACCAAAUUUGAUCUUGCCGAAAUUUAGAACCUAAAACUACAUAUGUACUAAACAUUGAGGACUAUUUAUUUUGGUCGAAAUUCUAAAGACUAAAUUGCACAAGCACUUCAUAUUGAGAACUAAAAUUGCGUUUUGUCCUUAAUGCUAGACUUCAAUUUAAGUGGUAAAAGAAAGGAAUAAGGUUUUGAAAUAGAAUGUUUUGAACGUCAUGACCAAAAUUUCAACAAAUCGCGACUUCAAGUAACCGAUCUUUCCGUUCCCUCUCAUUUUCCAAUUACUGUGCGAGUACUAUCUGUUUACACCACAAAGUAUAGCUCAAAGUCAAAUGCCAAACUUGACAAUGCCAGGGGUGCUUACGUUAGGACCGACUGCAGUUGCAUGAUUAGCAGGAGACAUUCACCCAAACUAUAUCUACCACAAAUUAUGCAUUUAAAGUUUAGUGAUAAUACAUUCAUUUUUCUUUUUGCUUCUAAAUCAAGCGUGCAAAUAUAAAAAAUUACCAGUCCACGUUGCCUAAGCGGAAUGGCAGAGGAGUUUGCUCAUUUCUGGCAUUGUAGGGUUGGAAAAGUAAAGAGACGAUGAGCCCACAAAUGAAUUGGAAUGGAGGCAAGCAAGGGGUGAUUUGUUAGCCAAUGAAUUAAAGCCAUAAAUGGAUUUGCCCACUUUCCCAUUCUGGUUCAAAAUGCUAUGACGAUGCCCGUUGCAAUUUGGCAGGUUAUGAUAGCUCCCGACAAGGUCCAGCUGAAGAGAGUCCCCACUCCCAGUCUCCUACUCCCUCCCAUCUGAUUAUCCUGCUUCCAUGUGAUCGGGCCCUGUAUUGGGAAAUGGUUUUACUUUGUGCGUCUGCGAACUUCCCUUUCGAUGCCCCAUGUUAAAGUGAACGGCAGGAGCAUCCGCUAGUUCUUUGUUGUGCCGGCGUCUAAAAAAUUGUAAAGCAGUAAUAUUUUGUCAAAUUUCGAAUCCUGCUCACUGCUUUGUUAGUAGAUUAUAUAUAGUAGUGCAAGCCUUUAAACUAGAUUUUAAAGACGUGUUUGCUUCGGAUUCCGGAAUCUGAAUUGAAAAUUGGAAUCAUGAACUUCGGUGUUAGAUUUUGGUCUUUGAUCCUUGCAUGUUAAUAUGGUUUGGGAGCUAAACGAAUUCAUUCCAUUAUAAAAUUAUUUAAUCAAUUUGGAAGUUCAAGCUAUAACUGAGGAGUGGUAAAAGGCAAGAUCUUACACUUUCAUUCUUAUUGACUCAUUCUCAUGAUGAUCUACCAAGCAAUAAAUAUGAGUAUAAUUAAUUUUAACAUUCCUUCUUACCCCUCGUACUCAUUUAUUAAAAACCACCUUAAUUUUUUAUUGAUGUCGAAAAACUAUGGAGCUGACUUAGUCAACCUCUAAACAAGACUCUCUCUCUUUUUUUCUUUUUUUUUUUGGCUUUCUACCAUCAAGCUCUCAUUGAUAAUUGACCAAGAAAAAGGUACGAUUUGCUCUUUACAAACUUCGUAAAUAAACAAUGUUUGUUCCUUCAUUAGCACUUCUAUAUUUGAGGUUCGAAUUUACUGAAAAUUGUAUCCAUAAUAGCAUUACAAGCUGAGCUUGCGCAAUAGGGUUGUAAUCAAGAACGGAGCUACAAUGAGCUUUCCCUAAUUAACCACGCUAAAUUCUAAAAAUUACAUAUAUAAAUUUUGAUUUUACUCCAUUCUCAGAGAACAUUGUUUCCUACAACCUCUCAAUAAAAUAUUUAUCUAAUGUGUUUCUUUUUUUUAAUUUAAAAUAAAUGGGACGUGUUGAAUUCAGAAUCUCCUACUUACGACCCGUCCCACCAUACUACCCAACCUAUAUUUUUAAACUCGGAUCGAAUCGGCCGGUCGAACCGAAAACUGGCCAAGUGCUCGAUCCGAGUUAUCCUAAAAAACUGGAUAGAUGGAAACUCGAUCAAACCAGGUCAAAAACUGUGUUUGACCGAAACAAGGAAGAAUCGAUUUGGUGUCAAAGUAUUUUUUUGAAAAGGUCAAAGCAUUUUCAAUAUUAUGUUUUGACCCUUAAGUUGUUAAAAAUUAUUAAUAUACCUCAAAUAUUUCUUACUUUAUAAAUAUUGUCUUAAAGUUUGGUGUUAUUUUUCAAUCAAGCCCAUAAUUUUAAUUCUAAACUUGUUAAUGUUCAUUGAAUAAUAUAAAUUGCUACUUGAUCGUUCAAAUUUCUUUGUAUUUUCUUGUUAAAUAUAUUUGAAACAUCAAAUAUAUAUAUAAAUAUAUAUAUAAUAUACCUUUAUUAAUAUUAACAUGCUCUUAGCUAUUUUACAUACGAUAUUUUAAUUUUUAAAUAAUUUUUAUUUAUGAUGUCGUCCAGUUCAACCCGAUUGAAUUCGAUCAAAUCCAUUGACCCCUGAACUCGAUCGAAUCGAUACCCGGUCCAAGUCUGAAAACAUAGAACCUAACCUUUUCAUCUCUAAUGUGCUACCUUGUUUAUUACUUUAUCCGCACUAAGUCAACACGUUUAAAAAUAAUAGAAAAACUCAUUUCAUCUCUUAUAGUUGAUCAAAAUCAACCAAAAAAAUGUUCAACUUUACUUUUGCUCUUUUUCUCAUUUCUCAAUGUACUCUCACACAAACCCAUUUGAAAAUCAAUCAUAUUUUUUUUCUCCAUACAUUGAAACUCCAAAAAAAAAAAUUCUAUAUCUUUCUUCAUUUUGUCAGGGAUUUGAGAAAAGUGAGAAUAACUUUAUUAGAACUUUGAAAUUUGAAAGUUGUUGCAAAGAUACCCUUUAUUGGUAGAUUUUUCAAAUAAAAUAGCACAAUCGGUCUAAAAAGGUAGUGGGAAAAAUUGAGAAAUUUAUGAAAUGAUAUUAGAAUAUGAAGACAUAUUGGGAACAAUUGUAGGGUGGUUAUGUAUGCAAGUUUUGAUGUAUGUAUUGAUUAUCUUGUAUUUAAACUUUUGUCGUUUCGAUAGUUUUUUUAUACUUAUUAUUUAAUAUGUUAAGUUUGCCCCCACAUAAUGCUAUGAUCAAGUUGAACAUGGAUUCAAAGUUCUGAAUUGGUGAUUCGAGAUCUAAAUUCAUUUAGUGGUACUGAUUCUAAGUUUAUUCUGAUUACUUAACCGAUUCUAGGUAUGUAAAUCCAUCCCUAGUUCCGAUCAAAUACAAAACUAAAUUCGACCCAUAAAUCAAUUCCGAUUUUUUUUUUAUAAAGUCAAUGGCAUGCAACUAUGAUGAAUUCGAUCUUUCCAACCUUUUUGUCUACUCAAAAAUUUGUCACUAGAACGUUAGAUUUACAAAGAAAAUCAUUCUAGCAUUCUGAUUCCGAACUUUCAAUCUUUAGACAUUAAAAAUUACAGACAUAGUGAGUCUAUAAAUCUUAGCAAUUAACAAGUACAAUAUGUAUCAUAAACACAACAAAUAAAUUUUCACAUGAAGUAAUAUGUACUUCAUUUAUUUGCACGUACGUAGACGCAUAUCUUAUAUGGGUCCAGAAAAGGUCGGAACUAAGUGCUUAUGUAAAUGAAACUCACCUGCCGGCUGCCAUGCUCAUUUUACUUGGGAAGAUCUUUUUGACUUAUCAUUUUUUAAGUGACAAACUGCACGUGAUAGAGAUUAAUCUAACAAUAACUUGGAAGUCUUAGAUGCAGUUAGCUAAUACCCGAUUUAUUAAUUCUGCAGCAAAACUUCUCAACAAUAGAAAGUUUAAAAUCUGAAAAAAAAAAUUACACAAAAAGAGGAGUUCUCCGAACUUCAUUUUGAUGGAAGAUUUGAGCAGCAAAUAAAAAACCCAUGGCAUUGUUCUAAUUUGGAGGGAUUCAGUUCAGUUCCCUUUGAAUCCUGUGUGAUCCAGUUAGGUCUCCAUCGUGUAGGAGUGGAUGAGCUUUUAAUGUGUUAGGCCAAAAAAAAAAAAUGAUUACUUAGCCAAAAAGCAAAUGUCGAAUUACAAAAUCAGCCUUGUUUGGUUUGUGAUUUUUUUGUAGAAAAUUUUUACAUUUUUCAUGAAUAUUCCUUAUAUAUAAUUUUCAAACAUUUUCCCGCCAGGCUAGUGCUCCUAUUACAUUUUUUUUUUUUUGUCGGACACGAUACAUUCUAUAUUACAUCUACUCCUAAUCUAUAUUAGGGGGAUGGGAGGUCAAGGUAAAACUCGGCAAGACAUUCCAAGAACAUUCCUACAUACCUGCUAGCGAAACAUUUCAGAAAAUCCUGAAUAUUAAAAUGCCUCCUACUCCCUCCAUCCUAUUUAUUUAAUUAUGUUUGGGGAAUCUAACUUUUUAAGAAUAAUGGUUUGAUUGUGAUGUUUGUAAUUCUUUUUUCAGUUUUAACCCCACAAAUUCAAAUUUUAAAUUUGAAUGGUAAGAUGUAUAUGGUUAGGAAAAAGAGUUAUAUUAGAAAGAGAAACUAAAAAAUGAUUUGACUUUUCUAAUAUGACAAUUAUUUUGAAACAUCCCAAAAUAAAAAGUAUACGGAGGGAGUACUUGCUAAUAGGGAUGUACGCGAGCCGAGCUACUCGCGAGUAACUCGGUCAACGAACAAGCCAUUGUAGCUACAAGCUGGAAGUUCAUCAAGUAGAAAACUACUUUUGCUUCUCGAACGAACUCUUCUGUUGUUUAUACUAGCCCUUUUGCUCUUCUUUUCUUUGUGCUUCGAAGGCGUCGCCGUCGCCGUCGCCGCAUGAUCUUGAAACUGGUAGAAAGUGUUGAUCAGAGGCGAAAUGGGGGAUGCAGGCGGACAUUUUUGACCAUCCUGAGUAGUAGUACGACGACUAUCCUCGGUUGACGCUGAGAGGAGUAGGGGUUUUUUCAAGAUUUUGUUGGAAAUACAGGUUUGUAGAUGAUCGUGAGUUCGGAAAGUCUGAGGGUGUUGUGGUCUGCAGAGGGAAGGAAAUGGACGGGGCUUUGGAGACAAAAGCUCGAUGAACUGGCGCUGCGGGUUUUCGGGGAGAAAAACGGGUUUUUCGACUGCGUCGGUGAUGUUUUUGGAGCGGCAUGACCCGAAUGAUGACCGGAACAUGCGAGAGAUUCGCAGUUUGAACCGGUUUUCCAUUUUUGGGUUUGUAGCGAAGCAGAGAUGGGAGAGAGAGUGAGAGAGAAGUGGGGAGGGGAGAAUGUAUUGACUAUUGAUGAAGAUGGUGACUGAAUAUAAUAUUAGUAUUAUGAGCCUGAAUUCAGACAGCCAUGAGAGAGAGAGAGAGAGAGGAUUGAGACUUUGUAUAUAAAAAAACAAAAGGUCCUUUUUCUGAUGGUAUAGAAAAAUGACGUUGAUAAUACUGCUGCUUUUUGCUGUUUUCGUCUUGUUUAUCGUCCCCAUUCCUCAAAAUUCAACUUCGGUUUUUUAAUUUCUAACCAGACAAGUCUCCUUUAAUUUAAAGUUUAAACCACCUAAUUACUUUUAAGUAUCAUGUUUGAUUGAAUGGAUAUAUACUGCACUUAGCGUAAUAUACUCCAUUAAAAUAAAUUCGAGUAAGUAUUUAAUGCAUUAGUUACACUGAAAUGAUUCAAUUGUUCUGAUUGUAUAUUGACCAAACCAAAAAUAGAUAAAAGUAAGAAAACCAAGUUGUGACCUGGGGCCAUAAUUGGUAUAAUAAAUAAAUGUUAUCUCAUCUGUUGUUUACUGAACAAAUAGUUAAUUAAAAAUAUGAAAGAGUGAGUUAAAAAAUACUACUAUAUCUAUAAUCCUUCUUAAUUGCAACAACCUCUUCUCAGAAACAGAAGCAUGGACGGACGGGAUUUCAACCCAACUUUUACUAUUGAGCAGAAAUGUUGGGCCAUUCGCUGCGUGUAGAAAGUAGGAACAGAAAGGAAUCACGAGAAGGCGAAGUUUGGUUGGAUUAUUAGAUCUAAGAAAUUUUGUUUUGCUUUGAAAAACAGCGAAUCAAAGUUGGAAAUUUUUUAAGAUUUGGGUUUAAGCAGAAGUGGAACACCAACCGGCUCCCUCCCUCUCUAUUAGACAACCCUACGCUAAAAGACAGGGGGAAUUUUGGCGCUGGGCAUGGGGUAAUCCAUCCGGCCCCGAGGGAGGGAUGAUAUGUUUCAAAUUCAAACAUUUCCCUUUUUACAAAAUUCUUUAUUAAGGUUCCAUUUGGGACUGUUACCAUAGUUUAACAAACAUUUCCCUAAUAAAUGUGGUUUUAAAUCAUCAAAAGUCGGAUUAGUCAGGUUAUUAAAAAUUAGUUACCGGACAAUUUAGAAGUACUUUUAAAAUGUUUAAAAGUUAAAAUGAUUUUUUCCCUUACAAAAAAAAAAAAAAACACACGGUAAUUAAAAAUGAGACCUAAAUUAUAUAUCAUCGUGCCACCAAAAGUUGGACUACGUACCUUACGAUCCAAAUAAUUAAGUUUGUUUGGAUGGAGGAUUAUUUGUCAAAAUUUAUUUGUUUACAUCAUCAUUACAAUUUUUAACACACCCUUUUAUUUUUUCAAUUAUCUUUUUAUUUCACACACAUCACAUCACAUCACAAAAAUGUUGCAGUAAAAAUAUCUCAAAUAAUUGACGAUCCAAACAGAGCCAAAUUAAAUGAUUAACAAAUUUGGCCGCAACAUAAAAAGGAUUUUGAAAACGGGUAACAUGCCGCUGCAGUACAAAACUAAAAUGAAGCAGGAAGAAUUUUGACCAAAUUUUGUCUCCUGUUAUUAUUAAUGUAUGUAUAAAUGAGAAGUAGUAAAAAGUUGUAUUGUAUCGCGUUGCGUGAGAAUUGAUGUUGCAGGAGUCCUUUCUAAUAUUUCUUUGAUGAUGAGAAUAUUCUCGCAGUCGCAGCAUAGCAUGAUUUCUUUCAGAAAUACUCUAUAUAUAUAAUUCACAGCUGGCUGCGUAGGCCGUAGAACUACUCUAUAUAUAUAAUUAUAGGAGUAAAAUUUCACAUGAACUACAGUUGCUUUAUUUUCCCCAAAAAAUACGUAGGGUUGUGGAUUGAUAUCAUGUGAUCAUCAUCAAUCCGCCAGCUUUGCCUUGAGAGGCCUCAUAUUAGUAGAGUAGCAGCGUACAUCAGUCCUUUUAUAGGAUUUGAUUGAUGAGUGGGGGCUUUUUUGCAAAGAUAAAUAUAGCCUCUAUACUAUACUGACCAUAUCAUGUUUGUUUACCAGGAUUCGUAAAAAGAAAAUAAAAAUUUCUAAAUUUUGUUCUGUUUAUAUAAAUGGUAAAUAUAAUUUUUUUUUUUUACAUAUCACACACACAAAAAUUGGUACAAUAUUAUUAUUUUUAGAUAACUUUUGUUUCAGAUAAAAUCUUCUGUACAAAUCAACCAAAUUUAAGAGAUAAAAUAAUAGAAAGCUUUUUUUUUUUUUUUUUUUUUUUGAAACAGAUAGGAAGUGUUACGUCAAAAUAGAAUAAUGUAUCACAUUUUUAAGUAAUAGUUUGUGUCUUUAUCAGGUUGCUAAGGGAGAAAGAAACAAUAAUAUUAUUAUUAUUGUCCAAUAAUUACGAAAAGAUACAACAUACCUCUGACCUAAUAUUACCUUGUGUUGGUAGAGGUAGAAAGAAAAAACAAUAAUAUAUGUAUAUAUAUAUAUAUAUUUUUUUAAUGAUAUGGUUGUCCUAAUGCUUGUGUCUUCUUCAGAGCUGUAGAUAAUGGCUUUGUCAAGCAGCAAAACCUCAGAGAUCACCAAUUCCCAAUAUUAAGUAGUGUGUUGUCGAGGCUUUUGUCUCUCAUUUUUCGAGAGCAUCUUGAAAUCCAAGGAGCUUCCAACCACAGGAAAACAGACAAAAUAAUUGUAAGUAGAUGUUGCCCUUCUUUUUUACUCAAUAAGCUACAACAGAGAGUGCUACCACCCAAAAAAAAAUGAUCUUCGGCUUUUAAAAGUUGAACUCAGCUUCGUGACAAGCACAAACAAUUUGCCUUUGACAUGGGCUUCUUGCCUUCCCACCUUUUGUUUGGCUUGAUGCCUUUUGCAGUACGUGACAGAAAUGGCACCAAAAAAUCUCCUAUCCUCGAGUUCAUAUUACCACAUUGGGCUGCUUUGUUUCAUCGUUGGUUGGUGCGUAUAUCUCACUUUUCAUGCGAGCUUUGUCCAUAAUCAGAUGCUCCAUGGUUUUUUAUGAAGGAUGAAAAUUUGAGGUCAGCAAUUUAUGUCGAUCAAGAACAAGACAAGGGGAUUUAAACACACCGUAAUCCAAGAUUGCUCCUUAUUCAUCAACCACUUCCGUCACUUUCCAUGACUUUCACACUUGAGAGCAUCAUGAUGACUAAGCUUCUUAAGAAGGAUUAAAACUCCAAGUCUGCAAAAUAAUUAAUGUCCAUGAACUACAAGACACACCAUAAUCCAAAUCUGCUUGUUACUCAUCCCCAUCACUUUCAUGCCUUUGGAUUUCAAAAUAAAACAGGGAUUAGAUUGAACUACUCCUAACUAGUUGGGACUUGGGUGGGAGGGAGGGAGUUGCCAUCUUGCAGAGUAAUUACCAUCAUAACCAACGCUUAUUGAAGACUAACCGAACGCGUUAAUCCUAUUCAGAAAUUUACUCCACAGGGAAUAUCUUUCCUUCCGUCGUUUAAUGCUGUGAGAAAUUAAAUUGACGCAAAGAGCUUUCGAAGAGCAAAGCCAUACAUACAAUACCGUUGCAUGAAGUACAUAAAAUUCUCUUGCAGGAAAUGUGUUUCCUAUUUCGUGGGUUAGUCAUAUCUGUCAUGAAAACCUUUAGUUCCUAAAAUGGAGGAAAUUGACAGAGAGGGGACAAUGAAGCUGCCCCCAAAAUUUUGGUCAGUAAACUAUAUACUAUCAGAGAUCACCAAGUCAGAAAAGAUUAACCGACAUCGAUAUUUAUUACUCCCAGAAUCACGUGCCCCUUUAUAUAUCAGGAUUCAAGGACAUUAAGCUAUCAUUGGCAGACUAGUAUCUAAUUUGAGAGUUGCAGCAAGGAGAACAGUAGUGGAACAUAUGUUGCUUAAUGGUUAACAUUCACAUGCCCCAAAGUUCAUUACGCUCGACUUUUAACUGAUCUAAAGCAAGCAAAUCGAGGAAAACCAAUUCAACACACCAAAUUUUUACAAGUCCUGUUCUUCUCUGCUUACUUCUUUAUCUGCUCACUACAUUGAAUAGCUCCAAGACUGAGAAAUAUCGCAUCUUGUCGAGUCUUCUUCUUCUUCUUUUUUUUUUUUUUUUUUUUUUUAUCCUUUCGGAGGACAAUAAUAUUUUUAUAACCUAUUCUAUCAAAAUCUAAAGUCUAAAAAGAGAUUGUAUAUAAGGGACUGGUGGCCGCCGAGCCAACAAUGCCUAGAAAAUUUGAAGAAACACAUUCAUGACUGGAAAGGGUUGCUUAGCAGACAGUAAGGAACUUUAACCGAUGGGAGUCACAGGACAAAAAGCUGAAGUGCUACACCAGCAUUUGAACUUUAAAUGCGUUGGGUCCAACAAUGCACAAAAAAGCACAAGACUGCAUCUAUGUUUCACUCAUUUCUCAAACCUUAUGCUUAUUCUUAUCUGCGUCCUCAAAUAGUGCCUCUAUCUCCUCUAGACUCUUGCCCUUUGUUUCUGGUAAGCAAAAGUAGAAGAAGAUGGUAGCUGCCACCAUUAUUCCUGAAAGUACAAAGAACACACCCCCAAACGUUAUCUUCGUUGAAAUGGUAAGAAAUGUCAUAGACACCACCCCACUAACCAGCCUAUUGACUGAGAUCGCUAGGCUGGAACCUUGGGCCCGCAAUCUCAUUGGGAAAAUUUCGGAAGAGUAUACCCAGGUAAUCGGACCAAGCCCAAUUGAAAAGAAGGACACGUCAGAACAAACAGCUAGCACACACAGUGCAAUUGCCCACAAAGGCUUCCUGCGAGAACGCUGAAGGAACGUGGACCCAAUUCCCAACCCAGCCAGCGAAAAGGCCAUGCCCGUCGUUCCCAUUAAUAACAAGGGCCUCCUACCAUAGUGAUCCAAGAAGAGAGCUGAAACCAACACAAAGGAAGUCUUGGCUAUUCCCAUUAUGACCGUGACCCCAACAAGCCCCUUCCGGCUAUGAAUUCCGGCGGACUUAAACACCGAAGGCGUGUAGUAAACAACUGCAUCAUUGCCCGAGGCUUGCAUGAAAAAGUUUAUCCCAAUGGCGGCGACAAGAAUCCUGCGAAGCGGCUUAGAAGGCCUUAGAAGUUCCUUCCAGACCCCCUGUCCGUGCCAAUCAUUUGAGCUGGGCAAUUCUGAUUUUGGGCUUCCAUUUGGACUAGUAGUACCAUCUUCAACCACCAAAGAAGCAGCUCUGGUUAUUUCGUCAAGCCUUUCCUUGGCUUCUCGCUCAUUAUCAGAAGUUUUGAUCAACACCUUCUUGGCUUCUCCAGUCUUGCCCUUCAUGACUAGCCACCGGGGUGAUUCCGGCAUUUUCAUCACCCCAAUAGCUAUAGCAAUGGCCGGAAAGCCGGCCAGGCCAAGCAUUAGCCUCCAGUUAAUGUGUGGUGGAAGCCCUGAGAAUGCGUAGUUGAAGAUAUAUCCCAGUAAUAUGCCUACGUUAAUAAACACUUCAGGGAGUGAUGUGAGGAAGCCGCGCGUCAUGGCGGGAGAUACCUCGGCGGAGUACACCGGUGCAAUCAUGAGAGAGGAUCCCACUCCGAUACCGGCAAUGACCCUUCCGGCCAUGAGGAAGGGGAACGAGGGGGCCAGUCCCAUUAGUAGUGCACCGAUCAAGAAUGUCAAGGCGGCCAAGACAAUGGUGUAACGCCGGCCUAUCCAAUCGGAAGUCUUGCCGGAGGCGAAUGAUCCAAUCAAAGAACACACGUUGAGUGUGCCCACCAAAAUCUCUACCUUAACUGAUGAAAUCUUGAGCGCAUCCUUGAUGUACAGCACUGCUCCGCUCAUCACCCCGAUGUCUAAAAUUAAUCAAUUCAUUAGAACUCAGUAAUACUAAUAAUUAAAAUGCUCCAUUCAAAGACUACCAAUAAAAUAAAAAAUUGUUAACCUGAACACGUACGAGUAAGCUGACCAAUCGAGUGCAAAAAAAUUAUGGGAAUGCAAGAAGUAACACAGCAGUAAUAUGAGCGACGGACGGUCGAUGAUGUUAACGUAAUUACCGUAGCCCAGAAGAAUGGAAUUGGUGGAAGCCAAAACGGCACAUGCCAAGGCAUACUUGUUAAGGCGAGGAGGGCUCUGGUUGGUGGAUUGGGACUGUGACUCUAGUGCCGCCGUCUCCCUGGCAUCCGUAGCUGAUUUCACUCCGCCUCCUUCUUCCAUGCGCUGUAUUAUUUGCCGAGAAAAAUUUGUGGGGGUCCUAUUACUGAGGAACCAACUGCUAAGACGUCGAAUUUUGGUUUAAAGUAGGGAGAACGUAAUCUGUAUUGAGAAAUGGAUAAACGAGCACUGUUGUUAGGCAUGGGUGAGUGGAUUUUUGGUUAAAACUGAUUCUGUGUAAUCGUUCGGGGUGUAGCGCUUUCGUAAAUGAGUACUUCGUGGUAAUUGCGCUAACAGAUUUGCCAAAGUACAAGGAAGGAUUAUGGAUGGAUGUAUAACUGCUUAGCAUGGCAAAACUAAUUUGUGUUAACAGAUUAGCCUAAACUAUUCUCGCGUUGCACUUUGCACUCUUAACUUUGGAUGGCAGCACCCUUUUUUUUUUUUUUUUCCGUUUAAGUGUAAAUUAGAGGGUCGAACUUACGAACUUUCACUUACACUUUCUUUCCGAACCACUCAACUCAUCUCUUUCCCCCCUCUCUUGCAGCACUUAACUACCUUUAACUUGUAAUUCAUUGUACAAUUUUAAAUGAAACUAUGUUCGGCGGAAAAGAAUGUUUAUGCAAUCGAUAUACCCUGAAUAAUCGUGGCUAAUUGCCUAAAAUACUCUACAAGUGCAUGUGACUCUGAAAAUCCUAUCCACUAUCCCUGUGUCUUUGUUUUCCAGUAGAACUCUUUUUCACUCCGCCGUCUCUCAGCAAAACUCAACUCAAUUCCACUCUUAGUUAAUAAUCCCUUCUAAUCUGAAAUGGCAGUAAAAUGGAUGCACUUUUGCAUACUCCCUGCGGACUGCGUAAGCCUAAACUUUACUACAAGGAUGCAUGAUUUUGGCUAUGUAACUGUUUGUUCACGGGAAGCGUGAUGCUUACCAAACCUGAAAAAUACGCUGGAUUGAUGUGGGCUUUACGUAACUUGGGGAAUGGCAUGAAAUUGGUCAUGAACGAACUACGUACCCGACUCUCUAUUGAUUUUCAGAAAAUGGAAAAGCCUAGUUGUAAGCUGGCAUUGAGGUUCUUGACUCAACUUUGCUCGCACGGAACAUAUUUCUCUGGUAACCUAGGAUAGGACAAGUGGAUACGACAUAACAUCUCUCUUCUAAAACUAUAAAAUUCGUGUGUUCUCUUCUAAAACAGCUAAUCUUCAUUUCAUCUUAGGCCAAUCAUUAAUCUUAGCAUCUUGUAGUAGUUAAGGUUUUCCAUUUUAGACCAAUCACUAAUGCCAAUGUUUAUGUUUGAGAGGAAGAACAUUGUCUGAGCAUCUAAUUCAAGCCUGGCGGCCGAAAAUUCGGAUAGGUUAACCUCUCAGUGAGUAUAUACCGCGCGAAUAGCUUUUCCUUUCUCCACCAUCUUCAAACACGGUCAUCUAAUUCUAUCAAUAUAUAUAUAGAAAACAAAAUCAACGAUAAAAAUACGGCCUGCUAAAAGAGCUAUUACUGAAAAUUAUGGAUUUUUUUUUUUUUGCGUUUGAUGUCAUACUAUCAUGUAUUUGAUAGAGUGUCUCAGGGGAAAAAUGAUUAAUGAAUGAGCUUACAGUAAUUAACUGCCUCAACAAAUCCAAAGCAAUCAGUGGACCCGGAACCAAAUUCUGCCCCGCUCCGGGAACCUGGCUUCCUGUGUUCCCCAACACGGUCACUCGUCAGAAACCAAAGAAAGAGGAAGCAACCACAGAAUGAGAAAUUCUUGCCGUCAGAAAAGGAGAGGAAAAAAGAAAGCGUCGCCUGAGAGAUUCGAACUCUCGCGGGGAAACCCCAUGUACUUAGCAGGCACACGCCUUAACCACUCGGCCAAAGCGACACCAUUUGGUUGGUUGACAGCCAAAGCACCCUUUAAAAUGAUGCUACUAAGCACUUGGCCGUGUCUUUUUUUUUUACCUUCUUUUUUUUGGUCCCUUCCUUUCUUUCUUCAGUAGGCAAUUGGGCAGGUAAAGCUCAACUAGCGAUGCUUGUUCGGCAUUCGAGAAGUGAAGAGUGAGGCUGAUGUUAGUUGUUACCACUUACCACUCUCAAGAAUUAAAAGAGCAUGCAAAAACCACAUACACUGAGUUGAAGGCUAGAAAUUGAGUGAGUGGCUAGAUUGCUUUACCAAGAACGCGGUGUAUUUUCAAACUUCAAAGGGAAGUGCACCUCAAGAUUUCUUUGCACUUUACCACUUCCGCGCAGCCUUGUUCUUCUUCCACUAGCUACGGAGCAUUAGAUAUGAAUAGAUGAGGGAUCGAUUUUAUAAGCCAUGACGCAGGAAUAGUUGUUUUUAUAUGGAGAGCGUGAAUGUGGGCUUGGAAAUGGGUGCCGUUUUUUGGUUCCAGUGCUGAAUAUUAUUCCCUGAUGCCUGCACUCACCUCUCAGUAUUCGGUGUAAAUUUGCUGUUUUAUUGCCCAGCCCAAUGCGGCAUAAAUGGUGUAGAUAGUAGUGGGUUGGGAGUAGACCGGACCGGAAUCCGGAUUGUCUGUGGAUUGUCUGAGAAGCAGACAAUCAGGACCAGAAUCCCAAAAUUAUGCUACAAUAUCCCCAAUCCACUGUACUAAGAAACUAGUAUGCAACCAAGAGUACCAAGAGAGCUUUAAAAGCUUUGCCUGGGCGUAUCCCCUUACCUGCAUCCUAAAAAUUCAGGCUUUUUGGAGAUUUUCGUUAGCGGGUACGUAGGCAUUCAUUCUCCGAUUUUUCCUUGGAUUUCUUCAAAACUCCCCCCCCUCCCCCGGUAAUAUAGAAUAGGAAUAAAUUUAGAAUAGAUUCUAUCGUAUUAAACAAAAAAAUCUAGUAUGCAACUGGUAGCACCAGAAUUGACACUCCUCAAAAAAAUUUCAGCCAUUCCUUCCCUUUUUUUUUUUUUUUACAUCAGAGGAAGUUUUUAAAUAGUGCCUGAGAUUUUUUAAGGAAUGCUAUAUCAUUUCCCUUUCUUUUAGGUCUCUUGUGUUCUUUAUGCUGCUAUCUUCUUUUUUUUUUCAUCACUGUGAUAUCCGAAUCUACACCCGAUUAAUUCCACAGUGCUCCAGCAGAGCGGGUCCGACCAAUGCUGAAGAAGAUAACAACUGAAUUGCUGCCCGGGAUCGAACCCAGAUAAAACUCACCUAAGGAGGCUACUUCCACCAGCAAACCAACCCAGCGCGGGCAUGUUCUUUAUGCUGCUAUCUUUUGCCAUAACUGCCGGCUUUCACUGUUUAAUUUCGUCAUAUUCUGAAUGUAUUGAAGCGCUCCCUCCCUCUUUCGUGAUAAAUUGUUGACAUUGCUGGUCCAAUUCAUACGAGUUUUCAAAUCAUCCCUUGUAACAGAUGACCCCUUGCUGUAACUUUAUCAAACUUAGUUGCUCUGCGGUUUGCUAACCGCUUGUUACUUGGUUGCACACUUGAUACAUAAAAGUCUGGUGUAGUUGCAAUAGCAUGCACCACGUGAAAUCGAAUCACCCGAACUCAAAUGCAUGAAGGAAGAGCCAACUAUCCGGACUCGUCAUCCAUGCAAGCUAAAGCAGACGAAAUAAAUUUUUUUUUUUUUUUAAAAAAAAAGGAAUGGUACCGUAAUGUAGCACCGUGAAAGGCAUUGAUUUUCAUGCCAUCGUGCAGAUUAUCUACAAAACAAAAUAUUUUGUGUUUUAACUUCAGCUACUGCGGUGCUCGACAAAGCACUUGAAAAGGCCUGCGGCGGUUCUAGAAUCAUUUACCUCUAACAAGUAACAAUAGGCUACAAAGAAUACCAGUGGUAAGUCUACAAUAUCUACAAUGUUUAAAGCUUUACCUCACCUUUCCAAGAUUAAUUUUCAACAGGAAUUCAUGUGACUUUUGCACUAUAAACAACUCCAAUAAUGUCUGAAGCAACAUGUGAAAACCAAUUAACAGCAGUACCAAAGAGGAGUUCCCAGAACCAGAGAUCCAAUGCCAGGACAGAUGAAAAGAUGAGCAGUGCCAGAGUCUGAUAACGGUUUAGAGGCCAACCCAAGACUUCUGCCAUUUUCUUCAAAAAGGGAAGGGAGCUACUUCUUAGGUUAUGGCCCUUUAUGGACCAAGCUGUUAUCCACUGCACUCGAGAUGGGACAAGGUCAAAUUCCUCCCUCAAUCGCCGUCCCAGGUCUGGCAUGUGCCCUCCCCCAUAAAGUAUAGCAACCUUGUUAUGACCUUCAGCAAUUGCUCUGUCAAGUGCUUCUGUUGCAGCUCUGUUUCUCUCACCAAUGAUUACAGAUCUCUCCUCUACAUCAGCCGUCACUUGUGUGAACCUAAGCAUCAGCAGCAUUUCAUCAGUACUAGAACAACAAAGAUAUGGUAAAAUGCAAUUCACUACUUCAAAGUAAUGAUAAAUUGGUCUGAAAACAGUCAUGUGAUGCCUCAUUUUGUACUAGCUAGUCUAGGCCUUCCAACGGGAAACUAAGGCUUCCACAAUUUCAUUUAUCCAUGGACUUCAAAUGAAGGUUUUCAGUACUUAGCAUACACUUCUUUUCAAUUUGUCAUGAAAAUCUAUUAACAUACAUUUCUAGUCCUUAGAUUUCUUUCCAAUUGGUUUAUCCAAUAUCAAUCACUCUAUUCCAAAAGUUACCUUGAAAAGUACAUCACAUUCACAUAGAGUAUUUCUCACACAGCAAGUUGUGCCAAAGGCAGAUGAUACUACAAAACGAAAGACUUACUCAGACGUUAGCCUUUUUGCAAGAAAAACCUUCAUUGCAGCACCAAAAUCAAGCCUGGACAAUGCUUCCAAUUCUGGAAAUUCAGAUGCCUGGUUUCCCACAUCUGUGCAAACACUUCCAAUGAUGAAGAGUCCAACAAGAGGCAUGGGCAGCACUCGAGAAGCCCAUAAAAGUUUGGAUCUCCAAGGACCAAGAUCUUCUGGAAUUGAUGUAGGCUGCACAAUGGCCCUUGUCGAUCUAAGUGUCAUAUCUCUGGCAAAUGUAAAGAAGCUCUCACCUUUUUCAUGCUGUAACAAUAUAGGACGUUACUAACUUUUUCUAGACAAAAUGUAACUUGAACAAAUUUCUCAUCGGAACAAUAUGACCAAAAACAAGGGAAUGCCACGUUAUGGCACUUAAAAGGGUAUUAGGAUGCAAAUGAGUACCAACCAAAAGAGUUCUCCUUGUGAUUUUCAAGAAAAGCUAACAUUCUAUAUGAAGUAUCUAGAUGACCUUGCCAAGACCCAAAUUAAGAUGAAUUUGGAAUAAAAUAAGUGCUCUUGCAGAAGGUAAUACUGAAGCCUAAAGGAAUAGAUCCUACCUGAAGUAACUUAAAGGUUUCAAAAUCAAGAUCUGCAUGGUACCAGUUCUCAGCCUGGUAGUCAAUACAAUCUAACUGGAAAUCAAGCAUAAGAAAAUUAGCCAUCUGCCUCUGAAUGCAGCCAAGAAUAUUAAAUCCCCUUGAGGCUGAACCUUUAAGUUUCUUUUUAGCAGCAUGAUUUCUUCUGCUUUCUAGACUUUCUCUGCUAGCAACCAUCUCAUAAAGGACACAAUCAUACAAUUCAAGUUCUUUUUGCAGGGUCUCAAAGUACCUGCAAAUAAAAAGAUUAAAUCAUGUCACAAUUUCCACCAUUUACAACUUAAAUGCAGUCAACACAAAUACCCAAAGUUCUCAACGCUUUUUAUUACAUGAUAGAUUAAUAAAAAGUUAAAUAUGUGAAAAGUUAAUGAUUUAGGCAAUUGUGAAUCCGCAUAAAAGAGGAGGAUGAUUGUCUAUUAUGGUUUUGACGAGAGAUGGGCAUCUUGAAUUUUUUCUCCUCCUGAGGAACAGCAUAAAGAUCGCAUGUUUACGUCCAAACACAAGACUAUGACAGAUUAUAUCACUGAAACAGCAAAUAGAUCUCAGAUAAAGCAACCAGAAGCUAAAAGGAUGCUGGUCCACCAAAAGAAUGACUACGCCUUGAUUAUAAGUUCUUCAUGAGAGUGAAAAAAUAAAAGAUGAGCAAAGCCCCUAAGAAAGAAAUACAGAGAACAAUAAGGAUUAGAUUCAUACACUGAGAGUACCUCAGCAGUUAAGAAACUCACAUGUAAGAAUUGGAUCAACUAUACCACAGAUUGCUCCAUGAUCUAAUAGGUUUACAAGCAGAAUUUAUCAUUGGCUUGUCUAAUUAACAAGUACAACAAAAAAGAUCAAUGAUCAAUAGAAGUUCAGCAAACAACAAAAGAUUAUCCAAAUCACCAAUAAGAAAAUUUCAAGAAAAAUUUCAUUUUACUAUUUCAAAGCCAUUUUCCAAUUCACUGCCAGCCAGCCUAAUGCUUCCCAGCUCUAACAAGGAGAUAGAGCAUAAUCUUGCUUGCUAUGAGUAAGAGUUAGAGAUAAAAUGCACUAGUUUUCUUGAAUCUCCUAAACCAAAAGGUCUUUGUCAUCUUGUCUCAUGCUUUAGUUAUUUUUAUAUCCAUUCUUCUUCAUUACACUUUUUGAUUAUCCUCGUUUCUCCUCAUUAACAUAUCCCACAAAAGGAACACCACGGACACAGGUCUAUAAAUCUAUACACAAAUAAUAUAAACACUCUCAAUGACCUUUUUAUCUCACCUACAUCAAAUCCUUAAAAGUAUAUUUUUCGACAAAAACUCCUAAAAAUAGCAAUCCAAUCGGCUACUUACUCUUUAUCUGCAAUGUGUAUAGUCGAAACCAAAUCAACCUGCACCAAAAGUUUUAACAGAGUGACGUAGUUAAAACGACUCCACGAUUGAAAGCUUCACAAACAAUCAAAGCAUUCUUAAAACCCAAAUCAGAAACAAAGGCAAAAAAUUGCCCCCUUUGUUCACAAAAAGAAAAAUAAAAAGAAAAAAUGCUCACCUGAAGAAAUGGUUGAAGAAGGGACCAAGGGAACUUCUUGCGAUAACUAACAACGGCAGUCUGCAACUCAGAACUUCUAUAGCUUCCUCCCUCUGCAUCAUCACUAGACUUGGAAUUUGAGCUUCGCUUGAUGAACCUCAUGAAAUCUGCAAUGGAAUUGUUCUCCAGAAAAUGCUCAGCCGACCCAUUAUCGGCUUCCACUAAUUUCGACUGCUGCUGCUUGAAGGAGGCCCUCAGCUUGAAAUUUCUGAGCCCAGAAUUUCGGAUAAAUACGGAGAAAAGGCGGGAGGACGAGGAGGAGGGCCAAUCGGGGUUAGCGAGUGGUGAAUAAUUUGAUGACGACGAUGGUAGCGUUGUAGAUAGUAGAGCCAGGGAGCCAUGAACCAUAGCGCUCUCCGCUCAGAUUCAGAGGACUCCAAAUUCAGAAAAUUUGUGUGCCUUUUAGUGGGUGUAAUUUUGAGGAGAGGAUAUAUCAUCAGUAUCAUACGUGUUCUGGAAUUUUACUUUUAUUGUUCCUUUAUUAUCCUCCUUUAUAUGUUUCACAAACAAACAAGAAUAUGUACGAACGAUGAACAGCAGAAUAGAGAAGUUGUUUAUCAGACAAUACAUGCACAAAUUACUAUUGCCCGAUCUAUUCUCACCGUUACUUUGAGAUCCACUUGAAGUUUUUUGCUGCUUUUUUUUUUGGGUUAAUGGUAAUUUUCUUGGACUUUACUUUGAAAAUGAAGUCUAGUAUUGGCUCGCACGCCAAAAACUCUGUUGCUUUUUCUUAAAAGCCACCUUAGAGAAAUAACAAUAAAAUAAAAAAUAGAACAGAGAAUAACACAGAACGUGAAACAAAAGAUCCGCUGCGCCAAAAGAUCCGCUGCGCCGACCGACAAGCCCAGAAUCAAUUAGUUCAGGACAAACCGUUUUGAUUGGUUUGUUUAUGGUAAAUGGUGACAAGUAAAAGGAGCCCACAAGAGAGUCGGAAAUAAGUUCAAAAGGAAUUUUCUUUGCUGCCUUUGCCUCCAAUUAUUGACUUCAAGUUCCAACCAAUAUGAUGGUUAUUUUACAUCCGAUACAUUGAAUACAAGACAAUCCAACAUCUUAGUGACCUAUUACAGCUCGUGUCUGUGAAACGAAAGAUAUCAAAGAAUAACUUCCGACUUGCAAGCAAAAGAAUCAAAAGAACAAGAGCCCCCACUCCGGAACUGCUCGAGCUGGCUUGAGUUUAAGUUGCAAUGACUGCAAUCUUUAAGAAAAAAAAUGAUAUCUGCUAAACAAAUGAUUCCUAGCUUUUACUACUUCCUUUUCGUGUUCCUCCUUCCUUCACUGUUUCUUUUUCUUUAUGGGUUCACUGCCACGCUUCUUUCAAUUAAAAACACUUUGUUUUCGGCUGAAUACCGCUCAUUGAGAUAGCAACACGAGACCAGCUUCUAAAUCCUCCAACCUAAUUGUAAGUAAUUCAUCUGUAUCUAUGCAGUCAAAACUGAGCCUCAAAUCCAAAUUUUCUCUUGCAUUGACUAGCAUCGGAUCUACUAGACCUCCAUUCAUUUCCUGGCGCUGCUUUUCCGUUGUUUCUCUGUCUAUAAGUGCUGCAACAGCAUCUAUGCUACACGAGGGGUGCAACUUAAAUCCAUACAACAAGCUAUUCUCAACUUGAUUAGUCAUUCUAAGAUGAAGAAUCUUGGCAAGAUCCUCAGAACUGAAGUCGUUAAAAAUAAAAAACUUUGUUACCCUUCUGCAGAAGCCUUCAUUUGAAGAAAUCACGCGCUUCAUUGGUUCACUGUAGCCAGCAAAGAUUACAACAACUUUUCCACUAUCCAUGACUGACAUUAUUUCUUCUAGAGCCUCCACCCCGUAGUCUUUAUCAUCUGCCUUCUGCAUGGGUAUGAGUCUGUAGGCUUCAUCCACGAAAAGAAUUCCACCUUCAGCUUCUUGUAUCUGCAUGUGGCUCAAAAAGUUGUUCGUCAAUUAGUGCACAGAAUUGCUGGCAAAAGUAGUGUGUAAGAAAUUAUUAAAACAGAAUUAUCACAAGGUACCUUUCUCCUUGUCUUUGGUCCUGUGUGACCCACAAACUCCCCAACUAAAUCUGUUCGCUGCACUUCUGUUACCCUGUCGGUAGGAAGAAUUCCAACCAUGUGGAGUAAUUUUCCAAGCACUCGUGCUACCAUAGUCUUACCUGCAGAGAAGUUCCAAUCGAUUGAAUGAGAAACCACUGGAGUAUGAAUCCAUCUCAACCUUUUCCAUUUAACAUGAAAAUGAUUCUCAGAAUGCAAAAAGCUGAUUAAACAUAAAGUGCUUCCACCAACAUAAUUGGCAAAAUCUUACUUCCUAUUACCUGUUCCAGGAUUUCCCAAGAAGGCCAUGUGAGGUGCCCUUCUAGCACCAACUUUUAGUCCAAGUGCGCGUCGCCUCUCAUCCAAGAGCAUCCCCUUUGCCCAUUUUCGGAGUUGUACUUUGAGCUCAUCUAGUCCAACUAUGUUUGAUAACUCAUUUUCCAGUGCAUCCAUCUUUGCUUGAGUCUCGCUGCAUGCUUCAAUAGCUUUACGCUUUCUCUGCUCUUCAAGGUGUUUGUGGAGAAUUUCACGUAAUUUUUCACUCCCAUGGCUUUGUGAAAGAUGAUUCAAAGGAGUCAGACCCUCCUGCAAUUAAACGACAUUUCACUAAUGAGGACGAACAAAAAUAUAGCACUGAGAUAUGCAAACCAAAUGGCAGGCAUCAUACAUUAUCUUUGGCACUGCAAUCGGCAUUAUAUUCGAGCAAUGUCUUAACAGUUGAAUAAUCUUCUGCUCGAAGUGAAUGCCAAACAGCAAGAUGCAACGGGGUCAUGCCAUUCUGAAAUGCACAAUGGAGAAGAAUGUAUGCAUUUCAGUAAGUAGAAAAUUAUAAUAUCCAUGUUCAAAAUAAAGUCUUUGAGUAGAAUGAAACAGGAAUAAGAAGAAUACACACAUUUGCUUUGGCUUCUAUAGAGGCACCAUGAGCUAGGAGCAUCUUUGCAGCUCCAUUACAUCCAUUUUUAGCAGCCAUGUGCAGUGGGGUCUCCCCAUACUACAAAAGUUAAGAUGUCAAACUAAUAAGAGCAUUGUACAAAUUCUGUCAAGACAUUGAACACCAUUGCUGAGAAGGAUAAUAAUGAAAGAAGCCACGCAGACACACACAAACAACAAAAAUAAUAAUAAAUAAAUAAAUUCUUCUUUAACUUAUGCCUGCUUUGAACUCAUACAUUGUUACAAAAGUUUAUUGCUCCAAGCUUGGUUAGCAGUAAAACAGGAAGGAAGCCUGAAGUUCUUGUAUGGAUCUAAACUAAGGUCCAAUUGCCCGGAUCCUAAUUGGCUUUUUCAAAUUCAAUGACGUCUGAGUCUGAUUCCCAUCCAAUUACAACCCUAUAUGCAUAGAACAUUACACCUAGAUAUGCGAGAUAUAGCAUACAGAUGAAUGUGGACCACAUCUAUAUGAGCUAUGUAUGGAUAGGAAAACACUCUAACAAAACAUUCUCUCAGAAAACCAUAAAAAACCACAACACAUGUUCUAGGUUAUAUUAAAGUGAGAAGACAAGGUCCUUUGAAGGUCAAAAGCUCCAAAUAUGGACGUACUACUUAAUAAUCGGCUGCUAAUCCGCCAAAUACAUAACUAAAAUCAUUUAUUGCAAUUAGAUUUUAUAAAACUCACAUAGAAUCCUUCAAUCGUGACAUUUUCAUUCAAGAAGAAGAUUAAACAAGCACUAUAAAAAUAUAGCUUUUACAUACCAUAUUCUUGGCCUCCAACUCCACCUUUUCUGGUCCAGCCCAAUCAAGCAGAAGCUUAAUUAUUUCAACAUUGUUGUAACCAGCAGAAACAUGAAGUGGUGUCUGUGCCAUCUGCAGCCAACCAGCAAAAAGAUCAUUAAGACCAUACUUAUAGAUGAAGUGCAUACUCAUUUUGAAGCCAAUUAGCAAGUAAAGAUUGUAAAUAGCUUCUAACAAAGGAAUUCUCUACUUUGAAAGUAAAUAAAUGAACAAGCAAUCAAAGUAGCAUUAAUGCCAAGACAAUUAAGUUAAGAUAAGGUCAUAUCUUGCAACAGGAAAACUUACAACAGAAGGUUAACAACCUGAAAAUGAAUAUUUCAUUGCAUGAUUGAGAUGUAUACAACACUGCUCAAUUCACCAUAUAACAUUUCAUUGAAAUUCCAACUGUUCAAUCAUACUUGCAUGAUAAUAGAUAACAAGUUAUGAAAAGUCUUCUGAAUUUGUAUUAACCAAGAAACAAUCUUCAUUUCUGUCUGUUUGGAGAAGCUUCAUAAUGUAGUAAAAAGUCUUCUCCAACACCUGUCUCCACUCCAGGCUUCAUAAGUGAGCAAGCAAUCAAAGUAGCAUUAAUGCCAAGACAAUCAGCUUAAGACAAUAUUAUACCUAGAAAAGAGAAAACUUACAAUGAAAGGUUAACAACCAGAAAGUAGCUAUUUCAUUUCAUGAUACAUAAAUGUAAACACUAUCUACUGAUUUCACUAGAUAAGAUUACUCAAAGUCAUUGAGUUCCCAUCAUUCAACAUUCUAAGAUUUCUCAAUUUCUAGAGCAAGAUGGUAGCUAACAUGUCACGAAAUGUCUUUGUAUUAAACUGAGAAAUGAUCUUCACUUCUAUGUAUUUGAAGAAGCUUUCUGACGUAACAAAGGUCUUCUACAAAACCUGUCUCCACUCCAAGUUUCAUCAUGAUUACAAUUUACAAUGGUUGUUUGCUUCAAAAACUACUACGUUUAGACCAUGCUGACUCCAAUGAGGCUCCCAGAGCAAAAAUUAGCACAUUAGCAAACUACACUAAGAACCUGCAUCACCUUCUACUUUGAUAGUGACCAACUACCGUUCCAGCUCAAUUUAUGCAGUCAGCCUCACUCUGACUAGCACAACCAAAAAAUUGGAAGGACUCACGUUUUGAAGUCAAGAUCACAGCAAAUGUGGCUUAACUACUGUUAAUCAGGUGCUUUUAACUAAACGUUUAAGUGCGUAUUAGCAAGCUUAUCAGAUCUUAACCAAGAUGAAAUAUUUAUUUCCUCCUGAGGAAUUCCUCAUAUAAAACUCAAUCAAUAAUAAAAUUAAAAGGUUUUACUAGACGGAAAUUGGGGGAAUAUUCACAAUGCAUCCACUAAAAAACAAUUUAUGACCAAUCUCAGAGACCAAAAGCAAACAAGACUAACUUGGGAAAUUCCGGGACAGACAAGAAAUGUAAAAUUGAAAUACAAAAGGGAUUUCUAUUUACUUCAUAGAUAAAUUAAAGAAACAAACAAGGAGAUCUUACAACAGGGUUUCGAUCAUUGAGUAGAGAAGGAUUGUCACGAAGUAGCUUUUGGAAGGCAAUGAGAUCCCCAGACUGAGCCAACCCGUGUAUGGUUGUGGGUUUGGAGGAUCUUGACCUUUGAUCCUUGAGUUUCUGCAUGGUUUCUCGGUAUAAUAGAAUUAUCUUCUAAUUUUAUGUUGUUUCUUUAUCUCCUCUCCUCUCUCCCACAGAAGCAAGAACUGAAAUUGAAUGAAAAAAGAUAGGUGUGGGAGAGAGGGAGAGAGAGAUUGAGAGUGGGGUGUUUUUAUUUUCAAAGGGAAUUCUUGAAAUCAGUCAUUGCUGCUGCUGCGAAAUUGCGAAUACAUAUAUGCGUGCGUGUGAAUUUCCCUGGCAUGGGAACGCGAAUAGUUCGCAUUGUGCAGGGAUGCGGCUGGCAGUUGUGCUUUUCUAUUUUGUGCAAUGAUUUGCCAGCUGGAUACCGUCCGUCCAUAAUUCACCGCUGCCCCCAGCUUUAAAAAUUGGGAAAUUUGUCCAAUUGGUCCCUAACAUUUACCAAAAACACUUUUUUAGUCAUUUACAUAUAAAAUCAGCCAAAAUGGUCCUUCACAUUUAAAUUGUGAGCCAAUGUGGUCCUAUUGCUCGUUUUUGCUCAUUUCUCCGGCUAAAAAUAGCACGUCUCUCUCACGUGAUCAUAUUUUUAGGGGCAAAACCGGAAACACAUUUCAUUACCUGUUAAAAGUAAAAGGUGUGGACAACCACCAAAAUACACAUUUCACCUUUGGCCCUCAAAGUUUUCAAGAAACCUGAAUUGCAUCCCCGAAUGGUGGCGAAAAUUAUUUUGUAAUUCUCCUGUAUAAGUGAUGUGCUUGAUGAAUCCAUAGAUCUGGUUCUUGUUUACUUAUAUCCGAAAGUCCUAACCUUUCCAUUCUAAGUGAGAGUCUAACAAGUCCAGGACAUUUGUGCAACAUCGAUCCCACGAAUCCAAUUUGGGCCUUAGCUGGAACCCUAAGCCUCAGCUCCUCCGCCGCCCGCCAAAGCCGCUUACUCGUGUCCCUCCAUCCUUUGCAAACCCUGGCCGCCGACAACAGUGUUGGAGGCGGGAGCCUUCUCAACACCUCCCACAGACAACUCAUCGGCAGCUUCCCGGACCCGGCAAGAUCCGAUUCGGGGCUCCAGCUCGAGAAGCUCCUCCUCGUCCUCCUGGUGCUCUUCCUCAUCCUCUCCCUCGUCUUGUGAGUCCCUCGCAUCAAUAUCAUCGUCGAAGGAGAGAGCUCGCCGGAGGUUGGAGAAAUGCUGGCGAUGAGGAGGGGGAGGGGGAGGACGAACAAUGGAGAGAGGAGAAGGGAUAGCGAGGGAGGAGGUGGCUGAGUCAGUUGAGGGCGUGGCGGUGGGAUGCAAUUUAGGGUUUCUUGAAACUUUGAGGGCCAAAGGUGAAAUGUGUAUUUUGGUAGUUGUCCACACCUUUUACUUUUAACAGGUAAUGAAAUGUGUUUCCGGUUUUGCCCCUAAAAAUAUGACCACGCGAGAGAGGCGUGCUAUUUUUAGCCGGAGAAAUGAGCAAAAACGAGCAAUAGGACCACAUUGGCUCACAAUUUAAAUGUGAAGGAUCAUUUUGGCUGAUUUUAUAUGUAAAUGACUAAAAAAAUGUUUUUGGUAAAUGUUAGGGACCAAUUUGGCAAAUUUCCCUUAAAAAUUUUAUUUCCUAGUGUUGAGAAUUCGCACGUGCUCAUGAUGCCCGAAACUAGGGCUGUCAACGGGCCGGGUCCGGGCCGGAAUUCAUUAUUCCGGACCCGGACCCGAAUUACUAUGCCGGACCCGACCCGUUUACCCGACGGUCUUUUAUUCUAUGUUCCGGAUCCAGAUCUGGCGGGUCCGGCGGGUCCCGGAUCCGGAUCCCGGUCUACCCGAACAAAUUUAGCAAAUUUUAUAAUUUCUAAUAAAAAUGAAAAAAAAUAUAUUUGUAAACUAAUUUUUAACUAAUGCAAAGAAAAAACCAAAUAAGAAAAGAAAUCAAAUUAACUUUAUUAAAAUAAUCACUCUAAUCAAAUUAUAUUGAUAAAUAUAUAUAUUUAAAAUUAUUAAUUCAUUUAUAUCCGGAUCCGGGUCUAAUACGGGUCGGAAUACUAUAUUCCGUAUCCGACCCGUUUUUUUGUUUGACAAAACGGAUCCGGAUCCGGAUCCGAAAAACGGAAUUAAAUCCCUAUCCAUACCCGCAAUAAUUUCACGGAUCCGGUCCGGAUCCGGGUCUAGACCCGACCCGUUGACAGGCUUACCCGAAACAGUAUUGUAUCAUUCGGGUAUUCUCUUCUUUUUUUUUUAAAAUAAUUUUAAGGUAAGGAUAACAUUUGUAUAUACUAAUCUAUUUUAAUCUAGGAGGACAGAGUUUAAAAAAAUAAUAUAUAAAUGACUAAUAGAUAUAAGAAUCUACUAAAUCAAAAAGAUAAUUUGAUACCUUCUUUGAAUUUUUUUCAAAAGACUCGAACUCCUGACGUAAAUCUCAAAUAAGGAUUUUAGUCCCCUUUUUUUUUGCCUCGACAGUUCAUUCGGGGUGUUCCUAUCAAUGUGAUGGAUUGGUUGCAAUUCAAAUGUUUUACUGAAUUCAAAAUGAUAGAUUAAUAAAAACUAAACGGUACAAAAUGGUGUGUAUAAUAAAAAAUAAUAAAAAAAAGGAAAUGAUAAUUAAAUACACGUUUAUGAUAUAAAGGAAAAAAUUCAAAUAAUAACCUGUCCACACACUUUCAAGAUGGAAAAUUUUUCACUUAAGAUUUGGAAGUUGAAAAUGCAUGACCCUGAGUGUGAAAUUGACAUUGGAUUAAGCAAUGGACCAAGCUCGUACAAUAACACAUGUUUUUUACGUUUUUGUAGGAGAGAUUUUCUUGCACGUACUUAUCAGGCGCCGGUAUUACAUUUAUCUAAUUUGUUAUAUAUAUAUAUAUAUAUAUAUGUGCGUGCACGCGUGCAUAUUAAUAAUUAUUAUUAUUCCUUAUAUUUAUAUAUUUUAUUUAAUUUUAUCUGUUAUUUAUUGUAUUUAUCUAUUUUUAAAUUAAUUUUAUAUUUUAAAAAUAUAAUAUUUAAAAUAAAUCUUAACUAGUGACAACAGGCACCAAUUCCCAAGAGUCACUAGACCCUUAUAGAAAAAUGAUUUCUAACCAGAAAUAAAUGAUUUUGAUUAAAAACAUGGACGCUUGCUACAAGUUGCUGCCCGAAUUCGUCCGUUCUGGAGUUUUCCCGAUCAUCGCAACCGGUGGUAAAAUAUCUUGGUUCGAUUUUGACGGGAAGGCAAGAAUCGCCGGUCAUCUGUUGCUGUGGAGUUACCAACUCACCAUUCAUUGACGGUUGAUCCCCACGCGAUUCCAGAGCGAAUACUGAAUACUCGAAUGCAAUGAGGGGAUUAAACAGUCGUCCUGUCGAAGCAAAAGUGACAGCUUACAAACUUCCAAAGAGUGAUCAAAACGCCACGUUGCGUGAGUCGAUGAGGUAGCUGUAACGUGUGGACAUCACACUCCACUUCUUGCCCCUAUGCUUCGUUGCUUGCCUAUGUUUUUUUGCUUUGAAUUUUGAUCCUCCAUAUCUUUCCAAUUCCUCGGAUAUUUCCAGCUCAAAAUUUUGCUCAAUGUUCACAAGGUCCCAGCCUCCGUCCCUAAAGAUUUGAACGUUACCAUUUCUUUCAUGAACCCAUCUCAUCUCUCUGUACAACCUCAGCUACAACGACAUAGGAUAACUUCUUUCCAGGAUGGCCACCAUGGCAAAGUUGCACGUGUCACCUUAUACCAAAUGGACGGUCCAUUCGCCGCCGGUCCGGCAAGGUUUCCCUCCUAGUAUUUUGACGUGGGAUUCCGUUAGUGUAAAGGGUCGUUGUAGAAUUCGGUUUAGACCAUGCAGGUCUUUCAGGUCCGAGGACGAACCGAACGAAAGAGUGAGCAAAGGUGAAAUUUUGAAGGGAAAAAAUGGGUUGCAGUCCAAGACCAGUGCCGAUGAAGUAUUGCGGGCUAUUCGGUCUUUUGUUUGGAAAUUUUCGAAGCCCAGCUCACGAUCGCAAGCUUUGGAGCAGUUGGAGGAGAAGUUAUCGGGGGUAAUUAUUUUGCUUCCCUGCUGUUAAAAAUAGGAAAAAAGAACUAAAUGGAGAAGCGUUGGAGGUUUAGGGUCUCGUGUGUAAUAUGGAGCUUAUCUUGAACUAUUUACUCGGGAAAGUUUUUGUCUUUUUCAUUUUUUUAAGAUGUCCGGAAAUAGAGGAUUUAAGAUUAGGCAAGUGCUCUUGAGGAACUAAUAGACAUAGUCUGUUGCAUGUAUUAACAAAUGAAAUUUUAUGCUCGUAUUUCUCUGGGAUUUUGGUAUUUUUUGAGUCUCUGUGAUUUUUUGUGAUUUUGAUAUUUAAGAAAUAAGCAGGUGGCUAUUCAAAUUGCAAGAUACAUCGUGACAAUGAUGAGCACUGGUGCUAUAUUAUUGAUCGGUUUUCGGUUGUCAGGUUAGCUGAGAAUUUAUUCACUGUACCAUGUUUUCCUUCAAGAUAAAAGGGAAAGAAAAACAAAGAUAUCUACUUUCUUUUACUACAAUCUAGCAUCACAAGUUUGAUUUUUGUUUCAAAGUUGAUAACUGAUGGGCAAAUCGAUAAUUUGUUUGCUUGGGAUUUAAGGUGGUGAUGGCCAGAUGAACGAGUUGAUAUGGUAUAGUUGGCUUGGAGGGAUCAUUAUCGGGACUAUGAUUGGUUCCAAUAUGGUGCUGGACGAAGUGAGCAGAGCCGGGCCUCGCAAUGUUGUCAUAACUGGCAGGUAAAAUCCUCCUAAUGGGAGGGUGAUUUGUUUUAUCUAUUUGCUUUUAAUUGAUGCAAAUCAUCCAAAAUGAUUUUUUUCCUCUUGAGAGUGCUGGUAAUGCACUUUUGUUUAGGUUAUUGGAAGUCAUAUUCCAAUGCAUGUGGCCCUAGACUAAUUAAUUAGCUUGCCUGAUUGAUGAUUUAAGUGGCUUCAUUUAAGCACAAGAACUAUAGUUCUUACCGGGUGCAAACCUUUUAAAAAUAUUCUAGACUUAAUUUGUGAUGCAAGCUUGUAUGAAGAACUAUUGGAGUUUUUAAGUGUUAUUCAUGCUCGCAUAGCUAGUUUCCUUCUUGGUUCAGAGUUAGUUCUACGAAGUCAUUUUGGAUUCUGUUUUUUCUACUUAUUACUCUAUAUCACUCUAUGCUGAUUACCCUCUUAUUGUUGCUGAAGUACAAGGGGAUUGGGGAAAGCUCUUGCUCGUGAAUUUUUACUCUCUGGGGACCGAGUAGUUGUUGCUUCACGCAGGUGCUUUACAAGUUUCUUUACAAGAACUAAACUUGUAUUCCUUUCCUAUUUCUACUUCCAACUUCUUUGUUUACAGUUUCUUCUUUUGAAGCAGUCCUAAGUCCGUCAACACAACUAUUAAAGAGCUUGAAGAAAAUCUCAAGCAAGUCUUGAUCAGCUCAGAUGUUUCAUCAAGUAAAAAGUUGGCACAAGCAAAGGUGGUGGGCAUUGCAUGUGAUGUCUCUGUACCUACUGAUGUGAAGAAAUUGGCAAACUAUGCAAUCAAGGAACUUGGUUCUAUUGACAUCUGGGUGAGGAUUCUUGGAUUCUGGUAUUUCUUUCUUUUCAAAUUAAUUUCUUCCAAUUUUUUUUUUUGUAAUUUUUCUUGCUUCAUCAGUGGGGUCAUUAUUUGCUCUGAUCGGUAAUUUGCUUCCAUCCACCUUCGGUGGUUAUGUGGAAGACUGUAUUCCUAUUUCUAGCAUCAAAAAGUCUUCGAAAAGUGGAUAAAUUGCUUGAGUCAGAUAAUUUUAAAAUGGAAGGCACUGUUGAAUCGUGGUCUAAUGUGUCAAAAUCCUUCACGUUGAAUUUCAUUUAGUUGUGCUUCCUUGAUGAGUUGUAUAACACACAAGGCUCACAUCUUCCAUCCUGCCCAUUGAUUCUUGAUCCCUGUACAAUCUGCAAACUUUAUUGUUCAAAGAGACCUAUUUGAUAUGAAAAUCAUAAUGCCAAAAAUAUUGGUACUUAGGUAAUCUUGAAUAUCAACAGGUAAAUAAUGCUGGGAUGAACAAAGGUUUCAGACCCUUACUGCAAUUUACUGAUGAUGAUAUUCAACAGGUAUGCCCUCCAUCAUGCAGAAUGUCCAUGGAAUCUUCUUUUGAUGUUGUACCUUUAAAGUUCUGUUAUGCAUUUGCAUAGAUAAAGGCAAAAUGUUUCUGUGAUCUAUAAAGUGCAUUAAAGCAAUGUCUUAACACCAUGCAAAUCAGUUAAAUUAGUGACACUCUUUUCCCGUUCAGAUGGUUCACCAAUUUUUCAAGAUUCCAAUGAAUGACUAAAAAGCAAGAAAGGGCAUUAGGAAAGAUGUUAGCUUAAUUAAAGUGUAACUACCCAUUUCUCAAUUAUCUCCAAUAAAUACUUCAUUGAACUUGCAACAAUGCACAUCAAAGUCAAAUUAUAAGGAUAAAGGACACAGGACAAAGGAAAUUUAAAGGCAAAGAUGUUGACUUUUUUGGUAGUAGUCUGAUUUCUCUACAUUAUGCACUGCCGCUUUUUUAAUCUCCCACCAAUUCAAUGCCUUAUUGCACUUAUUUUUGCAAACCUUAUUCUUUAACUGAUCCCUGGCUACUGUCAUAUGAUUCUGAGAAAAGAUUGUCUCCACAAAUCUGGUUGGGUCCAUUCUUUGUACUCGUGAAGCCAUGCGGAUAAUGCAAAGCCAAAAACUGGGAGGACACAUAUUCAACAUGGAUGGUGCAGGUUCUGGAGGAUCUAGUACCCCCCUCACAGCUGUGUAAGUUCUUUGAAAAUUAGUAGGUUUUGAUUGAAUAAUUGCUGCUAGAAUUUUUCCCAAUUUUUUGUUCAUUAUGAUCAAGCAACUAUUUUUCGAGUUGCUUUACCAUUGAUGAUACAAUUUUUGGAUAUCCCGGAUCUGUAGGUAUGGGUCGACAAAAUGUGGUCUUAGGCAGCUACAAUCAUCACUUCUGAAGGAAUGCAGACGAUCAAAUGUUGGAGUGCAUACAGCCUCUCCUGGCAUGGUGCUGACAGAUUUGUUGUUGAGGUACCACCAGUCAUGAUUUGUUUUGAACAUUUUUUCUUUUCUCUAGUUGAAUUCAAUGUCUGUGCACCGAGUUAAAUAAGUUUUGUUGCUCUACUUUGCCCAUCAACAGAUUAGCAAUCUAGAUUUUGCUUUUUAGUUCCAAUUAUUACGUUCAAGACUUGCAUUUUGUUUUGGAGAGAAGUUUUACGUAUAAAUUUCUCUGCAGUGGCUCAAGUAUAAAAAACAAACAGAUGUUUAACAUCAUCUGUGAGCUGCCUGAGACAGUUGCAAGAACGUUAGUUCCACGUAUGCGUGUUGUAAAGGGUAGUGGGAAGGCCAUUAAUUAUUUGACUCCACCAAGGAUCUUGCUUGCUUUGGUUACUGCAUGGCUUCGAUGGGGUCGUUGGUUUGAUGACCAGGUAAUGUGGGGUUCCUUCUAUAGAUGUCUGCUCUAGUAUUAAUAUCGCAUGUAUGUGGGGGUUCCUUCUAUAGAUGUCUGCGCAGAUUUGAUGUUGCAAUAUAUGAAUUACGUAAGUUGAUAAAUGUAGCUACAGGAAAGCAUUCGAUUUUUUGGGUUGUGACUGGUUGAAAUUGGACAGUUCAAGUUGAUGAAUCCAGCCACAGGAAAGAAUUCAGAUGUUUUUAUGUGUUCUGACCUGUUGAAAGUGGAGGCGUCCUGUUAAACUGAGUGCUAAGCGGGUGGCAGUUAUGGUCUGGUUGCUAUCCAUAAAGUUUGAAUAAACGGAAUUGCCAACUGAAGCCAAUUUCAGGCCAAAAAAUGGAUCCUUCACAUAUGGUGGCUUUUAUGUGGUUGGAAGGGGGAAAAGUGGUUCCUUUUCAGAUCAAGCUAUGGUCUUUUCCAGUGAGGGCUCAUAGUUUACAAUACGAAUGGUCACCAGCAGAAACCUUCAAUUUUCUUUGGUGUUCCAGGAUAGAGCGUCUAAUCUAGAUUUUAAUCUAGAAUCUGGAUUCGCUAUGGGAAUCAUUUCUCUUCACAUUAGCUUAUUCCCCCAUUUUAAGUUUUAGGGGCAGGGUUCUGGCAAACGUUGAGAGGUUAUCUUUUCUUAUAAUCCAUUCAUUUCCUAUUUGGUGGCUAAUUAGAUUCUGAUGUUCAGGGAAGAGCAUUAUACGCUGCCGAGGCAGACCGGCUCCGCAACUGGGCAGAAAAUCGGACUCGUUUUUCUUUCACAGAUGCCAUGGAGAUGUACACUGAAAACACUUGGGUUUCAGUCUUCUCUCUUUCAGUUGUCUGCGCUUUCAUCAUCCUAUCGAGUACAACCAGCUAGAGAUCAAUUGGGGAGAGAAGUAGGUGGCAUGCUCUAAAAAGCCCAACAGAAAGACCCAUAAGCAGUGAAAGCUACCAUAGAUCACUUCAUACUCUUUUAACCAUUUUAGUGAAAGCUACGAUAGAUCACAAGACCCAUAUGUAGUUCCACCUGUACGGUGUUUCCUGGACAGGGUAAUCGUGUUCUACUGGGUAAACGGUGGAAUACACAACAUUCUUUAUGCCAAUGCCAAUGAUGAAGAAAGCAUUCUUUAUUGAGAUUGUUUUUCAUGUCCCCUGUAAAGAAUUAAUAUUGCAUGGGGAUUCCUGGACCUGCUGUAUGUAGUGUAGUUUCUGGCAGGAAUACAAAGUGAAUUAUGUGAUGAAUGUGUGAUAUUCUGAUGAGCCUGCUGUUGCUGCAUUUUAGCGGAUUUGAAUGGAAAAGCAUUCCACCUAUUAGGUUGCUGGGACGGAUAGCCUACCAGCAGGAGCCGAAAUGAAAAGAAUUAGUAAACGGGUCCGCUGCAAAGUUUCAAACUCGGAUUCCUAGCCCUCAAAUUUGAACGAUGCCCGUUCAAACAAGCUAAAAUAGCGAAGCCCGUAGAUAGAUUCAUUACGCUCUUAUGUAAGACUCUACUAGAAGAAGAUUUGUGGAACAAAGUGUAGUAUUGCGUCCGCGGUGGGGAACUCGCGGACUCUUGUUGGUACGCCAGCUUACUGGCGGGUUUCUCCGAAACAGAGGUGAUUGGAAGCGGGUCGGAGUCAGACUAACACCAAAAAAAAAAAAAAAGACGGGAGACUGGCAGUUCCAAUUAGACCUUUGGUUCUUGGAUUUGAAGUCUCCACCACUAUUAGUACUGAAAAAGUGAGAAUUAUUAACGGUUGUAUCAUGUUGAACAGCUAAAACUUGCUCGUCAAUUGCAUGCCUUUUUUUUUUCCACCCAAAAAAAGAUUGGAUUGUAAUUUUUUGGAAUUUUUGUAACAAAUGCAUUAUAGCAAUUUGAUAUAUGUGAGCUAAAACGUUGAUUGAAAGAUGUGUUCACGAAAAACGCAUACAUGUUUUGAUAGAAAAUUCCUUUCUAAACAAGGAAAUUCGCAAAUCCCAGUCCAAAUGUUAAUGCACAUCAAAUUUCGAGCCUGAAAUUCGAAAACAGGAAUGCGCUAUACAUGUUACAUAUUGCAUAUAUUUUUUCCAAGUCAUUUUUGAGAGGGACACAGGGGAGAGAUUAGCGACCUUAAGUUGUAAGUAAAUUGAACACCCAAACUCAUGGUCAUCAUCACACACACUCACACAUUGCGGGAUAAAAAAUCCCAUUGCCUACAAUCACGCCACCUUCUUUUUGCCAGUUAACUAACAACUUCCAACAUAACACAGACAUUUUCUUAGUUGUCUUCCCGUUGAUUUGGUGCUCUUUUAUUCUCCCCUUCCACACGCACAAAUGUAGAAUUCAUCUUAAUUUAGUCUGUCUUAAGUUGGCAGUUGUACACGCUUGACCUCUUUAUUUCUUUUCCACUGAAAUCGACAAAUUUAACAUCUAAACUAAUCUCACAAAAGAACCCCAAAAGACGCUAACUUUUAGAGCCUUCUAUAGAAUUUAAAUCUUAAAUCCCAAAAGAUGCUUGACCUUUUUAUUUCCAAGAGCUCUUUCCCACACUAUCUGUGUGGCUUUUCGCCGGUAUUCAAUUGCCUUUCGUGCACCUGUCCUCUUUGAUCCAAUUUCCAACCAUGAUAUUUCAACCUCUUGUCCACAACCCACCCACACAUCCCCAACAAAAAAUAACCCAAAAAUAUAUAUAUAUACAAGUAGCAUGGAGUUGCAACAUGGUAUACCUUUGUCGAAUAAAUAUGCUGCAGUUACUAUUAAGCAUCGAGUCGCCAUUAAUUUAUCACCAUUUUUACUUUCUUCUUUUUUUACCGCUAGUUUUCUGCCUUUGUUUGGUCAACUAUUACCUUAGAUAAUAAAUCUAUAAAAGGCAGCUAGAGUAAUUUGUUCAAUUCCCUAUUUCCUUUUCGGCCAUGCCCGCAGGCGCGAAUGUAAUGCCACCAAAAUCGUGACAGGAAGAAUGCGAUAAACACCGAGCACUUGCGUUUCUGGUCCACAGCCACCCCACCAGUCCCUCCGCAACCCAGGCAAAGAAGCCGAACUUUAAGAAAAACCAAUUCAUUUGGACAUCUGUAACUGCAACUAAUGGCAUGUGGGCGGGUAUUUGGUCCCAACCGGUUGCAAAUGAACUCAAACUAGAUUCAUUUACGCAUGACUGCUCUCGUCUUCCCUUUUUUUUUUUGGUAAUAAAAAACGUUCGAGUGGAUUCGACUUCAAUACAGGUCAAGGCACGUUUUCCUCACACGACAGCAAGAUUUGGUCACCACUACCGGUUAGAUAUGCUCCUUUCAUGUCAACAGUGAGAUUUAAGUACACGAUUUUUUAUGCAAAAUAUUAGUAUACUAUCUUUAUAUUGACAGUAAAAUUCGAACACAUAAUUUUUCGUUUCCGUUUUCUGAUCUUAAGGGUCAGAUUUACCGCUUAGAUACGAUUCAUUGGUUUAAUCUUGCCUUUGCAUGCAUCCAACAAUCCGUGUAUCGAAAAUUGACUUGAUGAACUGCAAAAAAAAAAAAAAAAUUUUGACUUGAUGCAGACCGGGUGAUGGCCAGACGGCCAAUUCACGUUUGAUCCUAAACCUACAACUUUGAUCAAAUUAACAUUCAUGUGACCGCGUAUGCGUUUACUGGUCUUCAAGGGUUCUGAGGCUUCCCGAUAAAUAAAGCCACAAACACGAAUGACUAUUUAUGCUUUCUGGUCAAAAGUUGCCAAGAACUUCGAAUUUCGAUCUUUAGCAUUUAUUCCCUUCAAAAUUCCUACUGUUGAAAAGAAAGACCAACAAAUUAGUAAUUACCGGCUGCGAGCGUGCAGCUUUGCUGUGUCCUCAUUAUGCUAUUUCUGUAUCUUCUAUCCAACUCCAUUCCUGCUACGUUAGUGGUACUGUGAGUUUGUUUGGACAAGCCAAAUUUGGUUUGCUUAAUUUGUUUUCACAAAUCCCAAUCACCUUUUUAUCUUUCCAAUCACCUUUUUAUCUCACAUACAUCACAUCACAAAAAGUGUUACAGUAAAUAUCUCAAAUAAAUCAUCCAAAUAAACUCUUAUCCAAACAAACUCUGUGUAUUUCAAAAUUGGACUAAAUUUCAUUUUGGACCUUUAAACCACAAACAUGUCCUCACUUUAACUUCUAAAUUUGAAAUUUAGACACUCUGUCUCUUAAAUGUAUAAAAUACAUCCCGCUUCGGUCCUUAAACUUUGAGCAUCACCCUUUCACUAUUAUAUUAAUUUUAAUACUGCUUUGCUCCUUAAAUUUUGACAAUUUCAUGAGAUAGAUUUCAUAGUUUGAGGGAUCAAGUUCCUAAAUUUGAAGUUUAAAAACUAAAACAAAAAUAUGCAAAUAGUUUAAAAGUUCAAAGUAAAAUUUACACCUUAAAAGUGGUCUGAGUUUGGUGCUUGCAGCAAGCUAUUACGUCAUGUUUGGGUUGCAUUUUUUUUUUGUAGAAAAAUUGCUAUAACGAUUUGAUAUACAUGGGAUAAAAAGGUGAUUGAAAAAUAUAUUCACGGAAAACGUAACAAUUUUUCUUGCUUUCCAAACAAGGGUGCGUAGAAUGCCUAGUUCAUUUGGAUUAGGAGCCUAAAAAAUUCCAUGGAGUGUAAAUUCAUUCGUCUUAUUGUGAUAAAAUAGCAUUAACAAUAAUAGUAAACUAAUAAUGCUCCGUUUGAGUACCUCCUUCAUUGUCUUACCUGUUCCAGGUGCUAGGAGGGUUGGAGCCAUGCAAUUAUGUCGCCGUCAGAGGCUAAUCUUUGCCAGUGAGGCUUAGUUAUAUGAAAAUAUCAAACUAAUUAUUUCACCGUCAAGGACUUCAAGAACGAGUUUACGCUGCAACUGGAUCAAAUUUGACCAUCAAUUUUCUAAAUUCACAUUCACCGCUAUUUAAAAAAAAGACAAAAAAGGAAAGAAGAAGUUGAAGAUAUAACAUAACGAGUUAACGACCAGGCGCCAGCUACUAAUAAUCAUUUCAUUUGCAAUUCUUGACUGGCCAGCCGUUCCUCAGUUUUCGCAAAUAAACUCCUUCCAUUUGUCUUUUUGCCCAGGCGCCUCAAACCGCCCGCGGCUGCUCAUACUUAAAAAGAAAACAACCGAAAAUUAAAUGCAGAGAAAACCCGAAAGAAACUAAAAAAGAAAGAAAGAAAUUAAAAAAAUGCAGUUUGGAUUCAAACUAGGGGUACAAACGAGUCGAACUCGAGUCGAGGUUUGGCUAAUCGAGCAGAGCUCGAGUUAAUUUUGUGAAACUCGAACUCGAGCUCGAGCUCGACGAGCUCAAAAUAUCAAACUCGAGCUCGAGCUCGAGUCAAAUUCGAGUCGAGCUCGAGCUUAAAAAAUAAAAAAAUAAUUAUUUUUAUUUUUAUUUUUAAAAAAUAAAAAAUAAUUAUUUAUUUUUAAAAAUGAAUAAAAUAAUAAUUUUUUAAUAAAUAAUAAAAUAUUAUGGAUAUAUAUGUAAUUUUACUAUUAAAAUAAAAAAUAAAAAAUAUAUAUAAUUGAGCUCGCGAGCCAACGAAUUUAAUGUUUUUGAGCUCGAGAUCGACUUAAUUAGCUCGAUCUCGACUUGAACUCGAUAUUGACGAGCUCGAGUUGAGCUCGUAUUCGAGCCGCUCGCGAUCGCUCGAUUCGCUCUGUUAGUGCAUCGGUCAUAACCUGGAAGAGAGAAUUAGCCAUUUGUCUUAGAAUUUUCACAGAUGAUCCAUUUGUCUUUACUUUCUCAAUAAAUUUUUGGUGCAAUAGAGAAAUCCAAGUGGGAGGUCGAUGUAUCUAUUUAUGAAGUUCCAGACUGAAUCAGACUUGGGCUCUGUAAUUCUACUGCUGAAUCAGGCAUGCAUGACAGAAUCAUCAUACUAUAUCUGUUCAGCUUAGAUGGGAGUAUCAUAUCAUUUAAUCAUCAUCAUCAUAAAAAAGGGAGAAACAAAAAAACUCACUAUAUGUCUUUCAUUUUUUAUUUUUUUAUUCAUCGUGACUUUUAUCUAUAUAAUUCUAUUUUAUUCUAAUAUAAGAAGGAGGUCCAACUGAAUCUACGAGAACAAUAAGGAUUGAAUCACUAUCGAAUUAGACGAAUACGUGCGUCCAUCCAUCCUCAUUUUUUAGAGAAGUAAAAAUUGAUAGAAUAUAAGAGUUAAACCCCUAACAUCCCGCCUCAUUAAAUCUUAGGAACUUGGCGAUGAUCACCGGUCUAAAGGUUAGUGGUUCACUGUAUGACUUUUAUUAUUGAGUACUAUAUGGGUUCCUUCGUAUUGUCUUUCUUUUUUGUUUUUUAAGCGCGUCCGCCCCAUCGUUGGGGACGGUUUCCUCCGCUUUCCAGCUGGUCUGGCUUUUACUUGUGGGUAAAGUCAGACCUUCAAAAGCGAAAGCACACAUCUAAAAAAAAAAAACUUCCACUAGGUGGAAUCUCGUUGAACUAAUCUUCCUGAAUUUAGUACAUUUUAUAUUGACGUAUAAACCAACCCCUUUGGAAUUUAUCGAAAGUAAUACUCCUACAACAAACAAAAACCUCAUGGCAACAGUCGGCAUCAUCCGUGUUAUACAGCUCUGCCAUCGUUGUAUGUUUGGAAGAAUUUGACUUUGCCCAAAACAAUUUUUCUCGCUGGUGUUUCAACCCCUUUAUUAGGGAUUGCUUAAUCCUACUUACAUUUUAUUCCCAUUAAUAAUAUAGCAAAAAAUGAGGAGUUGAUUUUAUUGACAACGAAGUUCAAUAACGCCUCAUCCGCCGUUGGCAUAUCAUCUAGAAAACUCGAGAAGUUCAAUAAUAAUACCCCAUGGCAUUAGUGGUUAGUGGCACAUACAAGUAGCUAGGUGUGCUGUGCCAUUUUUAUUGGUGCUUCUCAAGGUACAACGACAUCAGGCAACUGAUCUCUCAUCCAAAAAAAAAAUCUAAUGAUGAAAAUUUGUGAAUUCCAUCCAUCCAUCCAAAUAUGGUCCGUUGGCACCGUCACAUAGUCACAUCUCGUCACUUUCCUUAACCUUAAAAAAGUGCCGCUCUACUACUCUUUUUUUUUUUUUCUAUUGUAACGUUAAUAUUUUUGUAAUUUAAUAUAUUCUAAUAUAUAAGGAGGAAAAGUCGAUGGGAAUAAAAAGUUCAUGAAAAAAAAAUUACUGAAAAUAGUCACGUACAGUGACACCGUUGACCUUCCAUUCCAUCAAAACUUAAAUGCUUGGUGGUGAUCACCGGACCAAAACUGGCUGGUGGCCACCACUCGUAUUCAAUUUAGAAGAAUAAAUAAAAAAAAAAAGGGAAAAUGGGAAGAAGUAACGUGUCAAUUGGAAGAAGUUGCUAUCUUGGCUUGAUGAGUCAUUGGCCCGAGUCAUUUAUUUUUGUUCGAAUUUGACGACAAUCCUAAAUGCAGAAACCUGACCAAAACUCCCAUCUUUCUUUCCAUAGGAACUCAACUGUAUAACUUUUUUUUUUUUUUUGGGUAUUAUUUAAGUGGAGUAUUUCAUCAAAUGCAAAGUACUCUUCCCGAAUGCUUGUAUUUAGGCAUUGAUGUAAUUAAUUCAUGAAUUUGAACGGAUACGUAUUUGGACGUAGUCACGCUCAAAUCGCAUUUGCGAUAACUUAAACAGAAUUUAAAUUCAACUCAGUGACCAAAAGAUUUUGGCUCCAAUGCUUCAUAAAUCCUAUUCAGUUUUUUUCUUUUCUUUGCCAUCUCAAUCAUUUUUCCCGAUGGGUCAAAACACCACAAACUAACUGUUUAAGCAGGUUUUCAUUUAGUAAAUCACUUUUCAGUAAAAUAUUAAGUACUAAUCAAGAGCGUCAUACCUAGUCCGCUUUUUCUUUUUUUUUUUUUUUUUUAAAAAUAAUAAGAACAGAAGCAGCUCAAAACACAACAUAUUUUUUUUUUCGAAAAAAAAAAAGGAGAGACCGGAACCGGAGGUAUGGAAAGUUUGGAAACAAACAAGACCGGAAAAAGAAAGCAGCCAGUGAGGGUGCGGCAAUGACGGAAUUUAUCCAAACGAGUAAAAGACGGAGAAAUGCGCGGGCCAGUCGUGUGGGUCCCGCUUUCCAACUUCUGUCGCCCUUUUGUUCAUUCUCCCUCACCAUGUGAUGCGAGACCGAGACGUGGAAACACGCACACAGUCACGCACUCUCUUCCUUUCUCUCACACCCUACCUUACCACCAGACACAAGGCAGAGUGUGUGCGUGUGUGUGUGAGAGAGAGAGAGAGAGAGAAGGAAUUAAUUUACUACCCGUUAUUAGCUCGAGUAGAAGAACUCUAGUGGGUGCUGCUGCCACUGCUAAUUAGUAGUCGUAGAGUCCGCUCGCCUCUACUAAAAAUCUUUUAGUAAAAAAGAGAAAAAGAUAUUAUUAAUACUCUGCCACUCUCUGUUUCUCCUCUUCUCUUGCAAUGAGCUGCCUUUGCCCGGCUGGAUAGCUUUGAAAACCAGAAAAAGCACAUAAUUCUUGAAAGUUUCAACAAUUACCAGGUUGCCUUUUCUUCUUAACAAACAAAAACAUAUGUACAUUUAACCUACAACAACCACCAUAACCAAAAUCCAGUUACACGCUACGCUUUUCUUCUCUUCAAUCACUUCCCUCCCACCCUUCUCUAGUAUGGAGUCUACUACUCUCUGAUUAAUACAUUCAUCAAAAAACAGCACCAGAACAGGAAUUCUCAUUUCUUCAGUUUUUUUUUUUUUUUGGGAUAUACUUCCGUUUAUAGAGAAAGGGAGGAGUAAGUGCGAUGUCGUCGUCGUCACCAACCCCCGGGGGGGCGCCUGCUCCAACGUCUCCUCCAGCGCCACCGGCCAAUGCUACAUCACCACCUCCCGCGGCAGCAUCUCCACCAUCACCAUCACCACCAGCUUCUGCUCCGCCUCCCGCUAACCCCACACCCCCUGCGUCAUCUCCCCCGCCUUCAUCCUCUUCUCCACCACCGCCUACCACGCCCGCUCCAGCCUCCUCCCCUCCUCCCCCAUCUACCCCCGCUACGCCAGCGCCGUCUACAUCUCCGCCUCCGCCGUCUUCAACCACCCCAUCCCCUCCUUCUGGGUCAUCUCCGUCGCCGCCGUCCAGUGGGAACACCCCUCCGUCGACUGGAGGUUCGCCACCGUCGACGGGUAGAUCUCCUCCCCCACCAAGGGGAAGUACUUCGCCACCUUCUUCGUCGACCCCAAAAGCACCACCUUCAUCCGAUAGUAGUGGCGGCGGGAUAUCAACCGGCGUGGUUGUGGGGAUAGCCAUUGCAGGAGUUGCAAUUCUUGCUAUAUUGAGUAUUCUAUGCAUAUGCUGUAAAAAGAGGAAGAGAAGGCCACAUGGGCCUGUGGACUACUAUGGUGCUCCGCCGCCACCACCACCACCAGGGCCUAAAGGUGAACUUUUUCCUUUUCUUAAAUUUUCAGAAUAUAUUAAUUCCAUUUUAUGGACUUCUCUCUCUUUGUUAAUGGGUAAUUGGGUAUGGGUUUGGACUUAGGAGGAGAGUUAAGUGAUUGACUGUUUCUAACGGAAGGUCUGAUUUGGUUUUUGAUUCGAAAUGUGAGCUAAAGGACGGAUCUUGGUUGCCUGUUUAGUUUGUGUUCGAACUUUUGAGAUAAUCAAGAUGCUCUCUUUUCCCACAAUCUCUAGUUGGGGCUUUGAUUCUUGGGCAAUGAUUAGACUUCGGAAAUGCAUGAUUGGAAUCUGUUAAUUGUAGAUUGGUUUGGAAACUUGGAAGAGAUGAGCGAUGAGUUUUCUCGGGAGCCAGUACUGGUUAUGUUUUCUUGAUUGCGUUUGGUAGGGCUGCUUACCACAUUGAACUCUUGUUUCCAUCUCCUUUUAGUCUCCCUUUCUCUCCAAACUCCCCCUUUUUGUUCUCUUUUAAAACAAACAUUGGCUCCAAUGAAGAGUUUGAGAAAAUUAACCAGCUGAUCCCUUUUUUUUUAUAUAUAUAUAUUUGCAUGAGGCAAUAAAUGUCAACUUUUGGUGCGCUGCAACAAAAAUAAAUGAGGAAUAAUUAUGCCACUUCAGUAUCGGGGUUCGUGCAGGACGUACUCUCAGAGAUUUACUAGAAAAAAAAAAGUAGUUAGAAGAUGCCAUUUAUUAUGAUGGGUUACUUCACUUGGUUGAGCUGUAAAGAUUGGAUAGCAGUUUUGUCAUUUUUACUUGAUUUGUUAUGUCUUUCUGCAUCUUUUAUUGCGAGUAACUUCAACUUGGGGUCUUAGUUAGUCUUCCACGGUUUGCUAAUUUUGGUUAUUAUUGCCCUUUGGCAGUUGACCCUUAUGGCGCUCCAGCGUACCAAUGGCAACAUAAUGCUCCACCACCUGCUGAUCAUGUGGUCACAAUCCCGCCAAAAGUUCCUCCACCACCUGGGGGGGCAUCAAGGCCUCCACAUUCUCCUGUACGUGCACCUUCACCACCACAGCCACCACCUCCAGGUUACAUUAGCAGCAGUGGAGGCUCUGGAUCCAAUUAUUCAGGUUCUGAAAAUCCACUCCCACCACCCUCUCCUGGUAUGGCUUUUGCGUUCUCAAAGAGCACAUUCACAUAUGAAGAACUGGCAAUGGCAACGGAUGGUUUCUCAGAUGCCAACCUUCUUGGACAAGGUGGUUUUGGAUACGUCCACAGGGGAGUCCUGCCAAAUGGGAAAGAGGUUGCUGUUAAACAGCUAAAAACAGGAAGCGGACAGGGGGAGCGUGAAUUUCAGGCUGAGGUUGAGAUCAUUAGUCGAGUGCACCAUAAACAUCUUGUUUCAUUAGUUGGAUACUGCAUUACUGGGGCCCAGAGAAUGCUUGUUUAUGAGUUUGUUUCUAACAACACCCUGGAGUUCCAUUUGCAUGGUGAGUUCAAGCUGCACUAUUCGUGAUCAAAAUAGUCUGCAGUUAUUAGUUGAGAGUCUAUGAGAAUAUGAAGAUUCUACACUUUCUUUGUCACCAUUUCAUUGUAUUCUGGGGGAAAUGAAGGAGGGAAAAUAUCAUGCUUCUUUGGUAUAGUGCAUGGUGGUGGUCACAUUGUGCACUGGGUUUCCAUUUACGUUGAUCCUUAAAAUUUUAGUGCAGGGCAUUCGCACCCAUGAGUGCAGUGUAAUGCAUGCCACAACUUCCCAGUAGAAAUUUUGUUUUGUUGAAAUCUAUCAUUUUGAUGAUUUCACUUAGAUAAAGUAAUAUGAUUGAAAAAAAUAUAUUUCAGGUAAAGGAAGACCUCCUAUAGAUUGGCCAACACGAAUGAAGAUUGCUUUAGGGUCUGCAAAAGGAUUGGCGUAUUUGCACGAGGAUUGUGAGUUCUCCAUCUUCAUCUUUUCUUACAGAAAGAAAAUCCAAUUUUUUUCCUUGAUUUGCUUCCAGUAUUUUAAUUUUGUCCUAAAGUUGGAAUUGAUUUUGAUAUAGGCCAUCCGAAGAUCAUUCAUCGUGAUAUCAAGGCAGCUAAUAUUCUUCUUGAUUUCAAUUUCGAAGCAAAGGCAAGUCUUUCAUGAUGAGCAUGAAUUGCUCAGUUAAUUUGUUUGUUGAAUAGAUGUGGUGUUCAUGUUAAAACAUUGGGCUCUUUCUUCCUACAAGAUCUUCUUAGUUUACAUACAAACAGAAACUUAAAUGAACUUCGCUUGGCUCUGGUUAUGAUGAAUAAGUGGCCUAUCACAUGAAAUCGUGUUCUGUGUGUGGUGUCAUGUUCACACCUGAAUCUUUUGUUUUUCUCAGGUUGCUGAUUUUGGACUGGCGAAGUUUUCUUCUGAUGUUAAUACUCAUGUCUCCACUCGAGUGAUGGGAACUUUUGGGUAAGACUGAUUUAUUUCUUCACCUGUCUGUUUUUUCUUUCUCUUCUGGCUCUCUCUCCCUCUCUCUCUCAGCGUGUUUGUGUGUGCCUGUGAGUGCAUGGGUAAGCUGGUGGUGGUGAUGAUCGUGGGUAGUCUUUUUGCUGGUAUUUUUGGGGGGGGGGGGGGGGGGGGGAGGUUUGAAGAAAUGUAUUGGAUCCCAUCCUAGUUUUCAGCUGUAGCUGUUCCCUUUCAAGUUCUUUGAAAAUUUUUUGGUUCAUAGGCAAUACAUCAUCUGUAUAUGAUAUCCCUAUAUAUUUGCCUGCCCAGGAGACCUGAAAAAUCUUGGGUAUGUUGAAAAUGUUUAUUUUAUACUUCUUGAUUCCUUAUUGCCAUUAAAUGUAGGUAUCUGGCUCCUGAAUAUGCUUCCUCCGGGAAACUUACUGAUAAGUCGGAUGUAUUCUCAUUUGGAGUAGUGCUUCUAGAGUUGAUUACUGGACGCCGGCCCGUUGAUUCAAAUCAAUCUUUUAUGGAUGAUAGUUUGGUGGACUGGGUGAGUAUCUUAGUGCACUGUGUGGAAUGUUUUCUUCUUUAAGUAGCGUCCGUACUUGUCACUGAUGUCUGAAAAACUGAAAGUAGACAUAGCAGUACAUCACGAGCAUUAACAGUUAAAUGGAAAUGUUUUGCAAUUGCAGGCAAGGCCCUUACUGACACGAGCUUUAGAUGAUGACAAGUAUGAAAACUUUGACCAACUUACUGAUGCACGAUUACAAAAUGGUUACAACAAAAAUGAGAUGGCUCGAGUAGCUGCGUGUGCAGCAGCUUGCGUACGGCAUUCAGCUAGGCGACGACCUCGAAUGAGCCAGGUAUGCAUCUCUUUCCAGUUUAAGGGAUGAUUUAAUGGCUAGUAGUGAGUUUCGUUUUGCUCGCAGAAUUGUAACACAAGCGUAACUGGAAUUAUGAACACAGGUAGUCAGGGCCUUAGAGGGGGACGUCUCCUUGUCAGAUCUCAACGAAGGAAUCAGACCUGGGCAUAGCACGGUCUACAGUUCUUACGGGAGCUCGGACUACGACACCGCGCAAUACAAUGAAGACAUGAAGAAAUUCAGGAAGAUGGCAUUACAGAGCAAGGAAUAUGGAAGCAGCGAGUACAGUGGACCAACCAGCGAGUACGGUUUGUAUCCCUCUGGCUCAAGUAGUGAGGGCCAAACAACUAGGGAAAUGGAAACGGGAAAAUUGAAGAAAGACAGUAGAGGAUUCAGCGGAGGCUCCUAAUGAUGAAGAUGAAGAUAUAAACCAAACCAUUUUUCCUUGUAUAAAAGUUCGUUGGCUAAUUUUUAUGGCAGCAUCAUUUGUGAGCUGCAUCAUCUAUCAAAAAGAAUGACGAGGUUUUGCUUUAAUGAACAUACACGAAUUUCUUUUCCUUUUUGUUAAAAUUUUUUCCUCCCGGCAAUUGUUAAAAUGUCAGUUAAUUAAUUGUAUUUAGUACAUAUCAGAGGAGUGAGACAAUUGUAUCCAUUCUUUCAUUUAUGCUUCAAGUGUUUGGUUUUUCUUUUCAGAUUUGUUUAUAUAACUUUAGUAAGUACGAAUUUUAUACUGGCUGACUUUUUCUGAUAUGCUUCAAGAAUUUGGUCAUUCUUUCUUUCCAAUUGACACUCCGCUAAUUGCGUUGAGUCGCAAUGAUGAAAGAGGGAGGGGGGGGGGGGGCUCACAUGACACCUAAAAGCAAAUGCGGGCGUGGCUUGUUGAACAGUGGAGCCAAAUCAUCCCCACAUGCAAUAAUAAAUCAUUGGAUUUAUUAUUCUGCAUUGCAUCAUUAGUUAGUUUAAAAAGGCUGCAACAACUUAGUCAGUCGAUUGAUUGAUUGCACAUGGCAGCAAUCAAAGUGCAUCCUUCUUGACUUGGACUGGAUAGUCCGGUCCGGUUGCCAAACUCUGAACAGUUCAAACCCCACACUGCACCGAAGAUGAUGAUGAUUAAAUUCCUUUUUUCUGUGUGUGUGUGUGUGUGUGUUUUUUUAAACAUUAUAAAUCCUAGUGGCUAGUAGUACAGUAGUAUUAAUUCAUGCUAAAAUUGGUAUUUAUCGUCACCACCACACACACACACACACACACAUACACAUAUAUAUAUAUAUAUAGUAGUACUAGAUAAGGUUAGUGGGUGAAAAUAAAACGUCUGUGUAUCUAUCAUUCAUUAUUAUUCACCACCACCACCGUCCCUUGGCCUUUAGCAUCUUUGUAUUCCAAUUCUUGAGCACGCCUCCAUCAGCUUUACUUGUUCUAUUUCCGACCCCGACGAGUUCAUGCUAGUUAUGGUAGUGGUAUAAGCCAAAUGCUGGAAACACAGAAGAUUUGGGCGGAAGAUUCUGAAUCCGACCAUGUAAAGGAAUAUGAGAAGCCUUCUAGCGUACAUGCAAUUCGCUAGAGUGUUGGAUUGGAUUAAUUUCAAUCUUUCCCUCCUCAAACACAAUACUUUGGCUACCACUGACGUUUGCCUUCUUUCUGGCAAAACCAAAUACCUUAGUCGCCAGAACUGAGGUUAGUGGAAGUCCUCUGCUGAGGUAACCGAACACACACACACACGAGGAUUUCUUAGCACACUGAAAAGGGAUUUCAAUUUCAUUGAAGCAUAAGAAAAGCCAAAAAAAAAAGAAAGGAGGGGGAAUGUGCAGACUUGAGAUGUUAUUUCAUAGUAACAAGGUACAAGCACCAACUACUUUCCACCGUAAAAGAAUUACUACAAGCACAGGAGGGAAAACAACUCUCCAAGGAACAGGGCACUUCCGACAAAUCUUUAUCCACACAAGUUAUGCUACUGCACUUCUUCUGAAGGUCUCCAUACACCACAACUCUUGUAAACCUACGAAACGCUGUAUACCUCAGCCUUCGAUAGCAAGAAUAACCGAACCUGAUUUUGCGAAAGACAUGUUGGUCCAGAAAAGCUAAGAGCUAUUAGGCUGAGAAUUCCUGCCGCAAUGAGGAAAUUUUUUUGGGAAAGAGUUUACCUCUAUAAAAUUACACUACGCUACCUCGAAGAUUAACACAAAAUUCACUUCCUUGAUGAUGCCUCUACCAAAAUUCUAGCACUUCAUGCUGAAACUACAGAAACAAAACCUAUACGGAUGUAUUAAACAACAUGGUACAAUUCAAAAAUUCUUUGUUAUGGAUUUGCAGAUCGACUAGAACCAGAUCCUUUCCUCCUCCUCCGACGCUUCUGCCGGAUUCUCCAAAAACUUACGAGUAGUAGAAGGCCUAAAAUAUGGAAAACAAAUUAGUUAGAAAUACUAAUUUGAAAACAUGCAAUCAAUUCGUGAUCUUGCCGGAAAUAAUGAUUGAAAGAUGUAUUUUACUUACCAAAAAUGGCUACAAUUGCAGGUAGGAGCCAGUGACUGGCAACUACUACAGGCAUAUCCAUCUGCAUUCUCAGAAGUUUUAUCAGAAACAGGGAGUCAGAUUCGUCUAGCCAUGUCUAUUGGAAAUAACUAAAUUGAAGUAAGAAAACAUUUUUAACUGCAGGGAAUGAGUCUCUGGUGCUUACAUCCUCCCUGUUGAAUAAACCGAAAUAUCUAUUGUCAUCAUUUUUCUUCUCACUUGAAUCAAAGGCCCUUGUGUUGGAAGCAUCUCUGGUUGAAUUCAAGCCUGUACCUAGAUCAAUAACAGCGUAGCCCGGUAGUCUGCGGUUUCUUCCUCUGACUUGUAAACUAUAGCCUUUAGUCCCCCAAACUUCGAACCUUGAAUCACUCCCACAGAUCAGUUCCUUUCCAACAACUGAUGAAUAAGUUGAGAAAUUAACAUCAGUUCUACGAGAUGGUAGUUGGUUGUUGUCCAAAUGCAAGGGCAUAUGUUGUCUAUUCGAUUCUGAGAAAAGCACAGGAUCUUUGAUAUUCCCGCUAGUAAAAUUUAAUAAUCUCUUCAAAAGCCAAAAACAAUUUGUGACCAUAUGGCUGCUGUCCAAGCAGUUGGAGUCCCCAUAUACUGCAAUUCGGCCCCCACCAACCUCCAAAAGACCAAGAAUGGGAGAAUCUGCCUGCAAUAACCACAAACUAUAACUAAGUGCAUAGCACAAAUGCCUGAAGUGAAACAAAUUGGCUUGCAUAUCACGUCUCAAAAUGGUCAAACUCCACACAUUCACUUUACUGCUCAAUCAUUCCGUUCCUACUUCUAAAAUCGGAAUGUGUGCUGCUGGGGGCACAAUAGGCUAAUGAAACUCCCCUUCUCCAGAUAAAAAGGGUAUAUGUUCACUUACCAGGCCAACAUAUAAACCAACAUAUACAAAAUUGAGAUCCAAGUUCUAGCUUAAUCCGAGUACCAUAAUUAUCACGUGAAGGAAAAUAAGAGACUUCUGGGUCAAGCUGAAAAGUAACUGACCAAAAUACAAGUUUUCAGUAACAUACUUAGUUUAAGACCCUCAGUUAUAUCUAAAUAUAUUUCUUUUCCUUCUAUUCACAGGCAAGGGUGGCAUGAAGGAAGAGGUGGGGAAGGGGAUCCAGUAUGUGAAGAAGCAGGCUAAGAAUCAUACCUUCAUCAUGCCAGAUAGUAAGACAUUUUGAGUGGCACCACUCUCUGAACUAUCCACAAAAGGGAAACUGUGUAAGUAUCCACCUCCAGGAAACUUCACAAUAUUAGUUCCAGAUGCAUAUCGACUUUCCUCUCCAUUCAUGACAAAGUCACCAUUAAGAAUCCUGUCUCCAAAAGCAAUCCCAAAUGGGGACAAAAGAUCAUUUAAAGCAGGCAGAUUAGCACCUCCAGUGACUGGGGUCCACCAGCUCCGAGUGUUAUCAUCAAAAAAUCUCAUUUUCACCAUGGUAUCUACAUUAUACCAAUCAGCAAAUACAACAAGACCUAGACCUGUAUUAAUCACAUCCUCCCUCAGUUUUUUUAUCUCUUCAGUGAAAAACUCAUCUUCAAGAUCCACCAACAUUAGUGUCCCAUAAUGCUGGGCAUCAAAGCAGGUAAAAGGGGAGCCAAGGGUUUCAACAAAAUACCCCGCAUCCCUUAGCAUGUUAAACAUAACAUGAAAAUUUGUGUGAAGGUGAUCUCCAUGCCAGUCAAGGAUAUCAUUCCUAACAUCUAAAGAGUCCUUUGGAAUAUAACCAGGUGGAUAUUUUAUACUGUGAAAUUGGUCCCAUAGUAUUCGUGCAGAUCUUGGAGGAGUUGGCGCCACUUUCAGUUUUAGGUGUAGGACACAGAUGCUAGUUUGAGGCUUAUUUUGUCCAUUGGCUGGCGGACUGUAGAUUUUAACAGUUACAUUACCCUCUAUCUCCCCGGAAAACUGAGCCCCUUCUUCCUUGAUUUGCAUGUGAAGUGCCAGGUAACCGGUCCAUGGCCAAAUAAUUUCUGAAUAUGUAAAAUGAAUGCUGAGAAGAUUUCCUUCUUCAUCUGAAGGAUGCCAUGUUGGAGGACUUUCAACAUAACCAAUUACUCCCAUCCCAUUCAGAAUGGUAGCAUUAAAGAUAACUGGCAUAGCACCUGCAUAGAGCGGUUGGCGGCAAAAAGGCCAAGAGUAAGGGCAAUCUGUGUAAUCAAGAACACUUGGGAAGAUGCUUGCUCGAGGUUUAUAGCUCUUCAAGAUUUCAUAUGAUUCUAAUCUGAGAGUUAAGAACAAGGUUAAGAAUGAUUAUUAUUGAAAACAGGUGCAUAUUACACAUAAAGCACAGCAACAGAACUUACAGGCUCACUCUUCCAGCACCCUGCUCAUACAUAUUGGGAUCAGAAAGUUUUACAGCACCUUCAACCAAAGCUUGCUUCAUACUUGCUGGGUUUAAUAUAUCCUUACGCUUGUUUUCAGGAAUGACACUAACAAGGAGGCAUACUAUACCAGCAACCACAGGACUUGCAACACUAGUUCCUGACAAGCUUUUACAACCUGUGCUAAUUUUGGACCCCAAGAUCUCACGACCAUAUGCAACAAUAUCUGGCUUUAUGCGACCAUAACUGUUAACGCAAAGUUGUUAGCAUUAUGCUUCUAAUGAAUCCAUCUGUAUGCUGAAGCAUAUUGUUAUUAUUGCUACAAAGCUACUUCCCCUUCCAUUUAGUUCCCUUCCUCUUCCAAGUUCCCAACCAACACCCUUGGACAUGAAUACAAAUUUGUUAAGGGCCCAGGGACAAAUCCCAUUAUAUUUUCUCAAAAAAUUUGCAGACUUAUGCCAUAAAAUAACGUAUACAUCAGAGAAAAAGAAUCAUAUCAUAUCUUUCUAUUAAUAAUUCUCACUGAAAUUAUCAUGCUCAACAUGCUUCUAACAACUGCAAUAGAUUCAUAAGGGAGUUCCUUGACGUGUUGCAUGAGGGUCAUUAUCGAUGCAUGCAAAUUCCUUAAAAAAAAUACUGAGGGAAGUUACUGGACAAUACGAGGAUAAAGAGAUAUCUCUUUCAGGAAAGGAACUAAAUUAAAAACAUAGACCCCAGAUAGUAACAAAUAAAUCCUUUGAUGGAACCAAAGCAGUUGGAUUUUACAUGUGCAGAAUUAUACAAGCAAGAGGAUUAAGACUCAGAUAAACUACCCAUGAGGAAGCUCCCAAGUGCUCAUGCCACGUGAUGAAAAAGAGGCAAUAUGAUCACUGUAAUCAAUGCCACCAACUCCAAUAACAUCACUUUGAUCUGCAGGAUUGUUGAGUGUUCCAUAAAGUGGUCCAUCAUUCCCAAUUGCAGAAACCAUGAUUAUAUUAUUGGCUGUAAGUUCCCAAACCUACCCAAUAAGACUAUUGUUAAAUGUAUGAUAACGAAAAGUGUCUGAUGUAAUUAAUGUUCAUAUUUCAAUGCAUCAUCCAUGGAAUAAUACUACACAACCUCGAGUUGAAAGUUUGAUUUCCUAUUGGGCCCUUAUGCAUGUUUGGUUUCCUUUCUGGUGUUUUACUUAAUGCUAAACCAAACAUCACAGAGAUCUCUGGAUAAUUUGUGUACAAAAAGUAGUUGGACACAGGCUUCGUACCUUGACUGUUUAUACUUGAAUUAAGCAAGAUAGUAAAUACUGUGUCAAGUCAAAUUAAGGCACUUAAUUGGAACUGCAAGGCUAAUUAUAGAGCAAGAUGAGCCCUACAAUGUUUUUUAUUUUGUUAACCUCAAGUCAAUCUUCUAAUAAUUGUUCUCCCAAAGCAUAUCUAGAUCAAGUUUCUAUUUUUACCUCUCAGUGUACAGGUAUUGUAAGAAUUUAAUAAGCGAAAUAAAAUCAUGGCAUUCCUUAAAACGUUCUGCAACUUGGAAAGUUACAGCACUGGAGGACCUGCCAAAGUACAAGUGAUGCCUUCGGAUACAAAAGAGAAUUUUGCCACAUUGCAGAAAACCUACUCGAAAGGGAGCCAAUCAAAUGAAAUCAAGCAAACAUGAAAAUUCAUAAAAACACAGAGACAAUUGAUUAUAAAGAUACACAUUAAUAUUCCUACUACAGGAAUAUUUACCUCUUUAAGAAUAAGUGAGUGCAAACGUGCUUGCAUACAAUGUAAGCGUUCUGUUGUAGAACAGUAAGCUAUAUGUACAUAUGAAAGAACAAGAAAUAACUUAGCACCAAGCACAGGUAACUUUGAAUGCAAGGUAACAUGAUGCCUUCUAACUUGAUGCAUCAUGCAAAGUUGUUAAAUAGAAUCUGAAGGCCAAUGGGGUCACCUUCUCAACAAAUGGGAGAUCCAGGUAAUCCGGUCCACCAAUGCUCAAAUUCAGCACAUCCAUAUUGGUUGCAAUGGCAUAAUUGAAUGCAUCAAGGAACCAUGAUGUGUAAGAUACCUGCAGUGAGCUGAAUACAAAAUUCUCAUAACCUUGCCAAAACUGCAGAGCUAGAACAGAAACAGAAAAGCAGAGCCAGACACAAUCUUUGCACGAAAGAUAUAAGGACCUCUUUUGUGUGCUUUUUCAGGUACCUUUUUUAGUUAAAUUAUUUUGUGGUCACAUAAAAAUAUAUUCCAUACAAAGUCAAUCAUGGUUAGCCAAAAUCAAGGGAAUAUCACAUAUUCAGAAGGAAGCAUUUUGACAGAUAUGUGUAAACUUCAACUAUGACUGAAAAUCAAGCAUCAAGGAAAACUUUGAGCAUCCUCCUGUUCAUGUGGGUAUCUUCACAAAUUACUCAUCAUUUCUCCAAUAUCCAAGGAGCAUAGAUUAUCUUGAUAUAAGCACUCAGUUAUUCUUAGUAUUCAAUUUAUAUGUACACUGUUCUUCUAAUCUACUCUUGAAGAUGAAAGAAGAGUGGAGAAUUCACUUAAACUGUUAAACAUGAUCAAAUGUUUCAAUGUUGCUACCCUAAAUCUUUUCUUCGCUUAUUGUGGCACCUUUGAUAUGGAAAAUUACAGAAACAUAAAAUAAAGUAAGAAUAGCCAAAGCUACAACUUAUUAUGAUCACUUGUUACUAUUAACAAGAGUUGUAAUCAUUUGUGGAAUAACCACAGCUACCAAAACCUAAUAGAAUCAAUAAGAGGAGCUAAGACUCAUGUUGAAUGGAAAGGAUUGAACAUGUCAUAGGUAGUAACAAAAUGAUUGCCUAAAAAGUAAAACAGACAAGGGAUAUCUAUACAAACAACACCAUGAAGAAACUACAGAAAAGAUAAUCAACUUUCACUGCUAAAAUCAAGGAAAGAGGAACACUAAAUGCAUUACCUGUGCAUCAGUAAACACACGAAAAGCAUAGAUCUCCGUAUCUGGAGCAAAACCAAGGCAUUCUGAAUCUUCGCCUGCGAUGACUCCAGCUACAAAUGUUCCAUGUCCAAGAUUGUCAUUUAGUGUGUCCUCGUUCGUCCAAUUUGUACGCUCCUGAGCACACAUGGAUUCAACAGAUCAAUAGUUUAGAAAUAAUAAGAAACAGGUGGAUGUAACGCCCACUCUGCAAAUUUUUUCUCACGUACGAAAUACCUUGAUUUUGCGAAAGUGAGGGUGAUUUGCUCGAAUACCAGUAUCAAAUAUUGCCAUUUUGACUUUUGAACCCGUAUACCCCUUUGACCACAAUGCAUCAGCUCCAAAAAAGGAUGUAACUUGGGACUUCUGCAAAACACCAACAAGGUUAGUAAUGUUGAUAGCAAUCCAGAAGUUAAUCCCAGAUCUCUCUUUCUUCUUGAGUUUUUGGAAAUACUCUAUUUUCUUCUUUUCAGAGAGAGGCUGCAUAGUUGUUACAUAUCCUUAAAUAUUGUGGAAUACUGAACUCUAUCUCCAGUUGUCACAGUUUCGACUGAUUAAUUGCGAGAUCUAAAUUGACAAUUUCAUCCUAAAGCAUCAGCGAUCAACCUGAUAAAUCACAUGGACAAGGGAAUUACUUAUUCCAGUUUUCCGUCUUUACUAAAUUUUGAGAAAUUCCCACCUGUUAAAGUUUCAACGCAUUUGUUAGGAGUUGUAUUCAGUCCACAUUGGUGUCUGAAAGUGCCACCACUAAUUUCUGUGAACCACAACAUGGAUUACCCAAACUCUCAUUUCUUGAACAAUAAGCAGAUUGAAAAUGCUAUUUGAUUAACCAAUUAUACAGUCCCUUUUAGUAAUUCACUUUCUAGCAUAUCAAUCAUUUCAACUACCUUGGGUAUAUAAAAAUAUAUAUAUAUGCUCAUUUUUAACAUUUUCAGCUGAAAAGUAAAUCCUAAUCUACAACUUUACAUAACCAAAGAACAUCAACGUAAAAGCUUCAAACACAAAUGCCAAUCAAAACGUUGCAAUUCCACACAACCAAAAGAGUAAGUAAAUUACUGCACAACAAUACUCCCAAAAAAAAGGUAAACCCAAAACCUCACCUGCACCAUGAGAUUCCUUCUCCAGCUAAUUCUCAUAUUACUGGUAUUUGCCACGGCAUAAUAAUUCUCUUCCGGCUCACUAAAUGACAUUGCAGUGAACAGCUUGCCGGGCCGCUUCUUUUCAUCAAGAAAACCCCCAACAUUACCCUCGUUCUCUUCCUUAUCCUCCUCAAGAAUAACUCUUUGAUAGCUCAAAUCCAAAGAAACAUCUUUUACAAGCUCCAAUUCCAAAAAUUUCCCAAUCAAAACAUCCCUUUUCGAAUCCUCAAUCUCCACCAACCCAAAAUCCGUAGGAAAUUUGGCUGCCGGAUUUUUCCUUUCAAUCCAUUCCCAACCCUUAAAUUGCAACUUUUCUUUGAGGUAGUUCUUGUGAUCUUCUGCUUUCUUGUAAUUAUUGAAGCGGAUAAUAUGGUUUCUGCGAGUAAAGUGUUGAUCUUGCUGAUGGGCUUUCUUUGAUUCAGAGGCUGCUGUGGAUGAUGAUGAAAUUGGGCUAUGGGUUUGAUUUUGGGGUGUAGGCUGAGGAUUGAAAAAGGGGUUCAGAAAAAACGAGGCAAACAACAAAAGGAUGGAUAGAGAGAAAAUGGAAGAUUUAGAAGUGAAGAGCAUCAUGGUAAAGAAAGCUCCCUCAUCAAGAACACAGGGCAAGGGGAGGAGGGAAAGUGAAGCGGGAUGAGUUUCCCCAAUUCUUUUACAGGGUUGCUGGAGUCUUGACUUUCUUGUUUGUAUCAGUUGUCCGGGCCUCCAGGGACUUUGUAUCAAAUUGCAAUGGAAAAGUCUGCUUCAAGUUUUGACCUUUUCCCUUUGAUUUCCCUCUUCCCUGUGUUUCUCAUUCCUAUUCUUUAAUUUUCUGUUUCUUCUUAGCACAACAAAAAGUGGAUAGACUUGGGGGAUUGUAAUAAUUGCAAAAACCUCAUUUUUAUUUCAUAAAAUUACAGUGACCUCCCAAGGUAUGCAUUUUUAGAGCACAUUAACUCCCUAUAUAUAAGAUGGGACAGCUACUGCUCCCCACCAAUGACGCUAAUACCUGCUACACUAUAAUAAUGGCUGAAAGACGCGAACAUAACGGCUCUUACUCAUGAAAUAUCGACUUUGCUACAUUAAAAUUUGACUUGUUUGAUUCAACAGUUUUUAGUUCACUAUUUGUACGAUUAAAAGUUAAGUCAAAUCUUUAAACCAUUGGAAGAUAUUAAAAAGAAAAGAAAGGAUAAAUAGCUUAAAAUUUCAAGCAAAAUUGAAUCAUAUAGGGGGUUUUCUUUCUCCUUUUUUCCUUUUUUAUGAAUAAGUGAUCAAUUGAAUUUAAUUCAAAGCACUAAUAUAUUUAUCUUUUUUUUUAUUCACAUAACUUACAUAAAAUAUAGACUCUCGAGUGGCUGUUUAAAUUGUUAUUUUUAGGAUUUUUUUUGUAGAAAAAAAAUAAUAUAUAUAAAAUAAAAAAUAAUUGAUAAAUAUAUUUACAAAAAAUAUAAAAAUUUUUAAAAACUAACAACCCAAACAAAUAUUAGCCAUUCAUCCCGCAAAAAAGGUGAAGCAAAUGUAAUUUCAAGAAACUCAGGAGGGGUUUCUGUAGUUUUAAAAGUGCAGGAAGAGGAGGAAAAGAAACAGAAGAAAAGAAGGGCUAAUUAUCCCCCGAAAGGAAACGACAUCGUUCCCCCCUUUACACACUGGUUCAUAAAUCCUCCGUCAGCAUGCCUGCAGUACAAAACUGCUAGCAGUACCGUCAAGAGCGCUGGAAGAAGAAUCGUAUCUAUGGCAGGAGGCCUCAUAGCCUCUCCACACACCAAAACCACGUUCCACUUGAUUUUAACCUCAAUUUGCAGAACUGGGCUGCUGUCAGAAUACCCUAUACACCCCAUUCGUCUCCGUUUUUACCCUCUGCUUCGUUUACAGUUCACCUUCCGUCCUUCAAGUCGCUAUCUCUACAGUUGCACAAAAGAUCAGCAGCAUGGUCCCAUCGACUUAUCAAAGUAUAGAGAAACCUUUUCAAAAAGAAUGGCAUUGGCCGGCCUUAAACCCCAUCACCGCCUUGGUUAUUCACCCUUCUCCCUCUCUUACUUUAUUACUACCAUUAAGUAGCAUUUCCAUGCGAAAUUGAUUAUUCUAUGCUAUUGAAAAGGAAAAAAAAAAUACAAGAAGAAUAAGGUGGUAUCACAACUAUUUAUUUUUUCACUGCAAAAAGGCAGCAAUUCAUAUCUUGCUUAAUAGAUGAAGGGAAAUGUUUGUCUGUAUACUCUUGUUAAUGGAAGUAAUUUGAACUCAAAUGGUUCUGAAAUUGGGUUUCUUGUGGUGUGGUUACAGCUCUCGGUGUUUCUGGUGGUCCUGAUAGCAUGGCCCUUUGUGUAUUAGCUGCUAUGUGGAAAAGGGAGGGCCAAUGUGGCAUUGAAGUCAUUGACAGCAGUGGAUUCAUUGAUGGUCUGAUGGCAAUUGUAGUUGAUCAUGGUCUGCGUCGUGAGAGUAAAGAAGAGGCUAACCUUGUCUGCAGUCGAGUUACGAAAAUGGAUAUGGAUAACUUUCCUUCUGUUGGGAGGUUUUGGAAUGAAUAUCUCAUUUGAUUCCACUUGAUAGUGUGGAUAUAAUUUAGAUUGUGUGUAGGAAUAAGAUGUGAGAUCGCUCUUUGUGAAUGGUCCGAGGGUAGGCCUAAGCAGGGUCACUUGCAAGAAGCUGCUCGUGAGAAGAGGUAACAUUCACAUUACUUCUACAUGAUGUUGUUAUAACUUUUGGAUGUGAAAAGUUGUGUCGAACAAUCGAAUUGUAUUUCAACUCUGACGUUCAGACACAAUCAAGAGCUUCUUUUCCCUUUCUAUAAUGCUCCAGGUAUCAAAUUCUGCAAGAAGUUUGCAUUCGGCACCAGAUUGGUGUGUUAAUGAUUGCACAUCAUGCAGAUGAUCAGGUACAAAUGAUAUUUAAUUCCAAUAUGUUUUCACGUCACGGUGGCCCACUGGUGAUUCAAAUGUGACAGAUGUUUGUGUGAUAGUAGACGACUUUAAAUCUUUGUGGAUAAAGCUUCUGCCUUGCGAGUGUUGUCUUGCAUUUAUAGGUGAAGAGGCACCAUAUGCAUGGUGGUCUAAGCGAUGAGCAUUCUGCAGGCAGAAUUAUUCAUUCUCAGAUUAUCACGUGGCAGCGGAGUGCUGGGACUUUCUGGCAUGGCAUCCGUGUCACAGCUAUUCCCAAUGUUCCCAGACUAUUCUAGAGAAGCUUUAAAUUGGCAUGGACUUUUAUUGGUGCGACCACUACUAGAGUUCUCAAAAGAAGAUAUGUUCCAGGUCAGUCUUGUUUCAUCAUCAGUAAAAAGAAAAGAUUCUAACCAUAAGACUCGCGAGUAUCCAGGUUCUCAAAAUCAUUUCUUCAUGAACAUGGAGCAUGGAAUACUGAGAAUUGAACAUUUGAUGCUCUUUCAUUGAACCAGAACUGAAGAUAGAGAGCAAAUGUUGUUGACACCAUCAGUUACCAAUUAAAUUUUGUCUUAAUGUUUCUCAAAUUUCUCUUCGUAGAUUUCCUAUCGGAUUGGAGUUGGUUUGAAUGGAUACUGGUUAUUUGCAGAUAUGUAAAGGUGGUAAUCAAGAAUGGGUGGAAGAUCCCACAAAUCAAAGUCCCGUAUUUGCUCGUAAUAGGAUUCGGAUGUCUCUGAAUAACUUAUCGUCCUGUGAGUUAUACCGAAAAUUACAACUUUGAGUCUCUAAGCUAUUCGAGUGCAAAGUGUUUACGUGGUUUUCCUUUUACACAAUUUAAAGUUUGGGUUUCUCCAUCAAAGAAUUCCAAAAGCUUUGGCUUUGAUUUCUGUUCAAGAUUUAGUAUUCAUUUCAUCGAUAUCUUCACCAAUUCUAUGCAUUCUUUAUAUCAUCUAUGCUAUUACUUGUUUGCAAGCAUUGGUGCAUCCUUGACAUUACCGACAGUUUUGUUACAUUUUCAGCUAUCUUCAAGGCUGAGUUACAAGCAAUUAUUUCUGCCUGUCGAGAAAUGCGGCUACAUGUUGACAAAAUUUGUUCCAAUUUGAUAAAUCAGGCUGUGACUAUCAUGCCUGUAAGUAUGUGUUCCAGUUUAAGUUCUGUUUCAUUAGUUACUCUUGCCUAUUCAACAGAUAAAAAUUUCAAAGGCUCCCAACAAAAUUUACUUUAAUUCAUGAAAUAAAGUCCAGAAUUACAUUAUGUGAAAUUUGACAUUGAAUUCUUGUUGGGCUUUGACAUAAACUAGAUUCACGAAAGCUUUUCUGUAGUAUGUCAUUCAGCUACAUGAAGGUUUAGACAGGAAAGUUAAGGCUAACUUUUGGAAGAAUCAAAGAUUAUGCAUUGUUAAACCAUAGGUAAUUCGCCCAACUUUCGAAAAUGGAUCAAGAUCAGAAUCAGUUUAGUUUAAUACCUAGAAGAGAUACACACUGGACUUUAACUUGAAACAGUGCCUUUUGAAGUUUUCCACGUUACCCUCAUGUCUCCUGGAAUGGGAGCAUGCAUUGAAAUUUAACAAGCUAAAAAUAUAUACUGAGAAGGAACUAUUUUUGUGUCUUCAAUAUUUCACAGUGUUUUGCUUAAAGUUUUCCUGCUUCCUGAAUGUAGGAAGGUUAUGCAGUAAUCAAUCUGAAAAUUCUAAAUGCUUCCAGUAUCAAAGACAUAUACCUGUCAAAGUUUCUUGCCUUGGUUUUGCAGGUAAGGCCAUUUUGGAACGCAACUCUUGAACAUGUUAAAUUAUAUAGAGGUGUCCUUAAUGAAUUGGAUAACCUUCUCAUUCGUUCUGGUCUGGACAAUGUCAGUUUAUCUCACAAAGACAUAGGCCAGUCCGUGGUAGUGCAUCAAAGUUGCUAUUGGACUAUAUUCGUACUUUCCCAAGCAGGGUAAUGCAGUUUCACCAGCUAGGUUUUCUACAUAUUCUUGUUCAGCAUGGUUAAACUUUUAUUUUUUUGUAAUUUUAGGGAUUUUUCCUGUAUGUCAUAAUUAUUUGCUGAACAUACCAUCAUGCUACUCUUUAUAUCAAAAGAAAGCACAUAUCAGUAAAUUCAUGGUUCUUGACUUGGAAAUUUUAAAUUUUCAGAGUUUUAGCACUUAUAUUCUCUUCUUGGGCAUCAUGAAUUGGUUGAUCUACAUUUCCCAUUUUUGUAGACCUGUCUUACUGCAGCUGGUUGCUAUCUUUCUCCAGUUCCUGGCUCUAAAGGCUCCAAAGUCUUGAUUUGCUGCUCUCUUAAUUCUAAUGUCCCUGUGAAGUUGGAAAUUAUACAAGCACAUGCUAAUGGAAAACAGAACUCCAUUUCAAGUGAAGUAGAGCAAAUUGUCAGGAAUGCUAUGGCUUGCUUGGACAAAUUUAUAUGUGGUGUUUCAGAUGUUAGAUUAUUUAGCUUAACAUCUCCCCAUAUUGUCGAUCUAAAAUCUUCUGAAUCUGUUUUGAUUGAAGCCAAAAGGCUGGGCAUUCUUAGCAACUCUACCUAUGAUACAAUUUUUUCUCUGCAAAACCACGAAAAGCAGCACUUUAUGUCUAAAACUGAAGUCAUGUCUGAUCGUGACAUGACAAAUGGACGAAAACCAGAAGACACGAUUGCAAGCAGAAGAAUUUAUCCUGGGCAAAUUGGGUACUUCAUGAGCAGAUUUCUGAUAAAAUGGAAUCCUUGCAGGGAAAUGCCAUACAAGUUAUUUUCCUCGAGUGAGACUCGCUAUGAUAAAGUGUUGGAAUUGGAAAGACAGCAGAGUUGCAGUUCUUGUCUUGUCCAUCAUGAGCAUGUCGCCGAGAUACGUUGUAUGGUUGAUUCUGAUUGGCUUUACCUUGCAAAUUUGUCAAAGAGUCAAAAUAUGGGAAAUUCUCUGGAGCAAGUACUCUCUGCUGCAGCAAUAAAGCAAGAGGCAGGCAAAAUAAAGACAUGGUCAGACUUUGUUAAAUUAUCAGCACAGAGAGCUCUUAUGUCUUUGAAGUCUAUUCCAGUUAAUGCAAGACGAAGCCUUCCUGUUCUGGUGGAUUCGCAAGGACUAUUACUGAGCAUUCCAGUACGUGAUCCAUCUUUCCUUCUGCUUUUAUCUGAUUACCAAAGGUGUUCUUACCAUCUCAGUGAGCCCUAUUUCCCAACUUUGUGCAGAUUUGCCUACACCUUUGAACGCUCAGAUAAUUAAUGUCACCAUGAUGGUUGAAUCUUUGUUUAUUCAUGGCCUAAUCAUUGUUUUAAUGUAUGCCUAGCAUUUCGUAAGUUUGAUAGCUAAAGGCUUUGUACCGGAUCUUUAUUUUUUUCCCCUCAUCUUUUCAAAAUAGAAUAUGCUAAGCCAUUUUCCUGUUGGUGGCUUUCUAGUGCCAAUCUGCUUUCCCCAAACACCUGCAUCCAGUCUUUUUGGUUAUAUCCCCUUCUUGUGCAUGUUCUCUCUAGUGCUAAUUUCCUCCACGUACUAAUGGAAGAGCUGAUCUGAAUUUCUCUUGUAUUGUUUCAGAAUGUUGGCUUUCGGCACUGCCCCUGCUUGGAUGUAUGUGCUAUAUUCAAGCCUAGAGUACCGGUUGGUGGAGGCCACACUUCAUUUCUCUAGUCUUUUUUUCCCCCCCAAGCUUAACUGCUUUUGUUCUGUGAUAUCUAAAAAGUUCUUAUUUUAUGUGAAUAACUUCUGAUGUCAUAGAGUAGGAUGCCUACAGGAAACCCCUUUUUCCCUCCAAACGAGUGGGCAAAAGAGGAAAAAGCCCCUAACAUAAACAUAUGAACGAGAGAGAGAGAGGGAGAGAUGCUUAGUCUUGAACUGAGAUCUUGUACCUUACAAAAGUAUUACUAAAAGAUGCUAUUCCUCUUUGAUAGUUUAAAUUACAACAAUUGCGGGUUUCAUCUGGUUUGGGUACUUAAGAAAAGUGUUAGUAUUUUAAUUAAGCUGGUGAUUGCUAUGACACUGCUUGUGACUUCCACUUCCCUCCCUCUCCCAAUGCACUGUUUCUGGAUGGAGAAUGAGUUUCUAUUAGAACAAUCUUGAGGGAAGAAAAAGACAAAAAACUGCCCCUUCUCUUGAUUCAGGACAUGGAAAAUUUUUCUUCAACUUUGAAGUGAUUUCAACAUUCCCCAAUAUUGAUUACAGCGACAUCCUCAAAAUUAUUUAAAUUUAUCUAAAUUCUCAUCAAUAUCGCUCAAGCGGCAAGGGUAAAACGUUAUACAUAGUUGCAAAAAUUCAAGCAUCAUCUGCCUUCACGUUCUUCCUUCUUUAAUGUGGUAAAUGAUGUGAACCACUGCUUCCAAGAUGCAUCUUCCUGCUGCUCCAACCAAGACAAGAACGCACUAUCCAACAAGCAGAAGGCAUUUACAUAUAGAAGUUGAUACCUAACAGGAACAUAUCGGAAAUUGAUGACUUGCAUAAACGGCCAGGCGCCUCCUUCUAGAACUAAUGCAGGGAUGAAAUCUCUCUUCAAGUCUUCCUUAACUUGACUGGCACUCUUACCAGCUGAAAAUCCCAUGUAACUAAAAAACACAACCAGAUCAAAAGGGCCGAAAAUGAUGCCAUCCAUGGCCACUUUAGUGGCAACAAAUCGUACUGAUUUGGGCUGCAUUUUUAGCCUGAACCUAAUAAAUCUGUCCAAAUAUUCAUACCUGCCAAGGGAAAGAACACGACUUCGUUCACUUCUGACAGCUGAAAAAAGAUGCUUCAUAUGAUGUAAUAAGACAGAACCUAAAGUUUAGCAAAGGGUAACAAGUGACAACCAUUUAAGUACACAAAAAUAACUGAAAUAUCUAAGAACUAUAUGCAUAUUCAAACCUAAUACGAGUAAGAUGUCUCGACAAAGUGAACACAAAAUCCCAAGGCCCCAUACUUUUUUAUUCAAAUGGAGCAACCCGACGUCACCAACAUAUAUGAGAAGUUUCCUACAUUACUAGUACUCUGAACAUGAUCCUAAAAGAUACAAAUCAAGCAGAGGCUUAUGUUCAUAAUAUUCCAUUCACCCAUCUUGGAUUUGUUCAUGGGAGAACGAAGUAACUUCAUGUUUAGUAUAGUACAGCAUGUAGACUUUGUGAGUCUUCCUAGCAGUAAAAGUGGAGUGCAAAGAGCAGUUUGUUUAGCCCUCCAAUUUAAAUUUAUUAAAAAAUUUAGAACUACAAAGAUGAAGUUCUGAAGUUUUGAAGCUCUUUAAAAACAUGUAUGCCAGAAACAAAUUUAAGAUGAAAGGAAAGGUAAUUCUCAAGGUAAUAGUAUUUUAUAGCACAUGAAGCAAUGGUGAUACUCUUUUGUACAAGAUACCAGGUGAAGUAGCAACCUAGUUGGCUAAAUAGGUUGCAUUAACUAAGAUGCAGGCCAGUGAAUCACUGUGCUACAAGAAGCCCUAAAUUCACUCCAUUAAAUGCAUGCUCCCUAGCUGCAAUCAAGAUCUGACAUUUAUGUUAACAAAUGGUACUGGUACACAGAUGCAAUAGAUUCUUAAAGCAAGCUAUACGGCUUGGCCUUUGGUUUGGUUUGACUCACCAUAUUUUGUAAAGUGUCAGAGUAUCUUAUUAACUGAAAACAAGAUAAUUGAUGUGAUAAAAUUCAAAAGAACAAAAAUAUACAAACCAGAAGUGGCCAACAGGUCCAACAAAGCCAAAUCCAAACAUACUUGUAAUAGCAACCCGUUUCCAAUUGACUUUAAAUUCUUUAUCCGCAUCCUGCUACAUGAAGCAAAAGAAGGAUGACCAUCACAGCAAGUAUUACUGAGAGACGCAAUGUAAAUCCCCUAAAUAGAGCUAAACAAACAUUCAUAAUAUUUGCUCUCCAAACAUAAUUAAAUUUAUCAUUAUGCAUCAAGAAGUGGUGAAUGUUUUCAAAAAUAAAUACUGCCCAAGCAUCCCCCCUGCCCCUCCUGUGAAGAAACAACAAGCGUUGCUUUCUGAACCCUACUACCUGUAAAUAACCUAUCCAGUUGCCUAUAAAUGUCACAAUUGCUUCCUUAUUAUGAACAUGGAAGCAAAAAGAGCCAUUUGAAGUCAUACAAAAGGGAUUUUCCAUGCCCUAGAAACUUGUUAGCUAAUAUCACUUCACAAAUAUAAUAUUGAAUUUUUACAUGAAGAAUUUGUGAUCACAAUAUGGUUUGGAAAUAAUAAUAGGAUCAAAGGUAAAUAAAUCAAUACAGUUCUGUACCGACUACCUAAACUACUCUUGAGUGAAACAUUGAUACUCUAAUUAGUAAAAUCAACUUCUAUAGCCGAGGAGUGAAGCAGCUCGACUGAAAGGAGAGGAAUGAAAAGCAACCAAUGCCCAAUUCAGACCCAAGCAAUGCAUCGAGAAGGUGAAAUAGAGAAUGCAUGAAAGCCUUAUCUAUAUCUCUUCCUGACAAGGAGUCCAUUCAUGGUAUAAUACUUUCAAAGCCAAUCCAAAGACAGGAAAGGUACAAAACUAGCAAGUUGAUACAUUGACAAACUUUUUGCUGCCAUGAUGGUCAAGUUAAAAAAAGAUAAAAGAAGUACCUUAUCUAUAUGUCCUAUGAAAACUAUCAAUGAAAUUAGCAGCCUAAUAUUGAGUGUGGACAACCAUCCUUGAUGGUUAUGCAUUAAUACUAUAUCAAACACAACAAAGAUUGUAUUGUUUUAACAAUUAUAUAGCAAUCAAUUUAAUUACAAUUACAACAAACGCCGUUCCCCCACACUGUGACACAUUGAAACCAUGCCCACAAUGAUAACUGCAAUUCGACCACGAGAGAGACCACUUAUUCUAGUAGUAUGGCAUUGUCGAAACAGACUCCUUCUUCAGGACAAAACCUAAUGCUAUUUGAAGGAGAAUAAAUUAUCUGCACCUCAUUGGUGAGAACAUCCAAUUUAUAUUUAGAUUUCAGGACUAAAAUGAAGACUUGAUGAGUAGGUUUGCAUCUGGUUUUCAAAUUAUGAACAGAUAAAUGAAGAGCAUGGAGGACAUACAGGAUAUGGUGCUGGUAGAAAUAGCCAUUUGGUAUCCAUUCAAAGGCAUGCAUGAUUUUAACCAUCAUAUGCAUUACCUCAAUUGAUUUUCAAACUUUGAAGUUUAUACAUUGAUGGUCGAAUAUUUCUAACAAAAUGUCAAAAACCUUAGUUUGAGAGUCGAUGUACAAACCUAAAUGGGUCCUAGUACACAGCAAAAUCCCGUAUAUCAAAAGCCCACCACCACCAUGCGGACACUCAUUCCAUUUCCGCAGCUUGACUAAACCCCGUCAAGUAAUAAGAAACAAAUUCUCAACCGAUUAUGAUAACGCAAAUGUAUUGAAAUGAUUAUGGAGCUGGAAACUCCCAAGUUCAAAAUCCCUAUCCAGUCAACAACGUGAGCAGCAAACGUUACUCCAGAAAAAAAUAUUCAUUGCAUAAAAACCACACCACCCAUUUGAAGAUAAUUUUUUAUCCAUAACCCAUUUGCAAUUGCGCAUGAUAAUGAAAAAUCAUCCAACACUUUGACUGGAAAAUUCAAUCUUGUAAUAUCAAUAAAGGGUUAAAGAUUGCUUACUGAAAGAUGAAGAGGCCGAUUCUUGGCAGUGGAGUGAGUAAUGGAUUGAGCCACAAUAUCUCCAACGCCCCAUAGAAAUCCAGAGCUUAUGAUUUGGGUCUUAACUGGAUGUACAGCCAAGCAAUUCUGGUACCAUCUCCAGAGCUUCAACAUCAUCCAAUACAAAAGAUUUCUCACUCUCUCUCUCUCUUUCCCUUUGUUUCGGAUUUUUCCGGUCUUCAAUCAAUUAAAAGAGACAAAAAUUAGCUACACUGUCUGUACAUCUGAAAAUUAGACGGUGGUCAAUGGGCGGUUGGAAGGAAGGAAGGGGAGGGAGGGAUUUGUAGAGGCCUGAUGGGUAUCGUAGUAGCAGUAGUAUUUCAAUUUUUAUGCCCAUGCCUUUGCCCCACGAAUUGAAGGACCAGUUUUGUUGUCAGGUGGCUUUUUGAGUUUUGAUUGUUCCCAACCUAAGGGCCUCUAAUUUUCUGUAUUUGCUUCAUGAGGAGUUUGGAGUUUGGACGGGCUUUGUCUGCCGCUUUGUUCGGUGGUAUCUAGAAUAGAAGCCUUAGAUGAUGAUCAAUUUCAGAAAAAUAAAUAAAUAAAUAAAAAGAAGGGAGGAACUUGAUAUAUCGUACGUAAUAUAAGAAUUUGGAAAGAGAAAAAAUAUUAGCAGAAAAAAUGAAAACAAUACAACUAGUAUCUAUAUCUAUAUCUAUAUGUAUUAGAGGGCAGGUGUUUUACGAGAAACUUCGACAAGCGUCAGAGAUCUGAAUCGCCCUUUACUAUAAUUUUAGAUUUAUUUUAAUUCAAUAAUCCUCAUCUUCUCCUUAUCCCUUCCCACUCUUCAAUUUAAGUAACCAACUAACCUACAAAAUUAAAACUCUUAAAUUUUAAUUAAUAAAUAAUAACCACCUCUGCAAAAUGAUAUUUGCAAAUUUCAAUUCACGUCUCAUAUUUAUUACUAACACUUACCACAUCACUAAUAGCAAUACUCACACUUACCAUAACAAUGAUAGUAAUAACUAAUUGUUAAUUUAAGAAAUUCGCGACGAAAAUCACAUAUCCAAAAUUUAGGAGCCUAUUUGAAUUACAAUUUUUAUAAUUCUAUGUAUUUUAUUGUCAUAAUAUAUUUUACUCUUAUAAUCAUUCACAAAACUGAUGAUCACUGAUUCAUUUUACCCAUUUUCAUUUGUCUUCACACAAAUUAAAUAUAGUGAAAAAAAAGACUAUGUAUCAUACUCUCACCAUGGAUGAAACCCACUUACAAACAUUUCAAUCAGUGAUGAAGUUAAGAUUUUUUUUUCCUAGAGUGGCUAAAAUUUUUCCUAACAUAAUUAUUUUUAUGUGUUAUAUUCAAAAUAAUUUUCAUCUAUUUAAAUAUAUGAUAUCUAAAAAAAUCAAAAUUUAAUUUUAAUUAUAAAGGGAUUAAAAAAUAAAUAAAUUUUUAAAAGAAAAAAUUAAUUCAAAAGUAAUUAAUUCACACACGCACACGCACACGCACACGCACACACACGCACACAUAUAUAUAUAUAUAUAUAUAUAUAUAUAUAUAUAUAUAUAUAUAUAUUCUCAUAAUAUAAAUUAAAAUUGUAAAAAAAUUAGAAUGACCGACUUUAUUUUACACAAAUAUUUACAUAAUAUGAAUCAAAAUUUUAAAAACCUGGGGGAGACUAUGGCCCCCAUUAGCCCUCGUUGAUUCCAUCAUUAAUUUCAAUGGCGUCUUAAUUCCAAACUUACAAGAUUACAAAUGAGAAAACAACUGAUCACAAAACGAAUAUUACACUAUAGUGAUCCCACUGAAAUAUUUUAAAAAGGUUCAACAAGUUUAUUUCCAAAAAAUACAAGUUUCAUUGAACAUUUUUUUGUAGUAUAAUUUCACGAAAUUUAACAGAAUUAAUUAAAUCACCAAUAUUAAUUUUAUACUAAAAGUUUAUUGAUAUAAAAAAUAUUCGUAUCUUUGUACAAAAUUAUCAAACUGAAUACAUAAUGUUUGUAAGUAUUUCAUUUUGAAAUAAUUUUCAUCUAUUUAAAUAUAUGACAUCUAAAAAUAUCAAAUAUUAACUUUAAUUAUAAAGGAAUGUAAAUUAAGAAAAAAUUAAUUCAAAUGUAAUUAAUUCACCACAUACAGGCACAUAUAGCAAUACUCAAACUUACCAGAUCACCGAUGGCAAUAACUAACUAUUAAUUUAAGAAACUCGCAACUACGAAAGUCACAUAUCCAAAAUUGAGGAGUCAGUUUGAAUUAUAAUUUUCACAAUUCUACAUAUCUUAUUGUCAUAAUGUAUUUUACUCUCACGAUCAUUCACAAAAUUGAUGAUCACUAAUCGAUUUUACCUAUUUUUAUUUGUCAUCGCACAAAUUAAAUACAGUGAAAAAAAGACUAUGCAUCAUACUCUUACCAUGGAUGAAUCCCACUUCCAAGAAAUACAAGCCUCACCGAACAUUUUUUUGUAGUAUGAACUCCAUAAAAUUCAAUAAAAUUAAUUAAACCACCAAUAUUAAUUUUUAUUGUAAAAGUUGAUUGGUGUAAAAAAUGUUCGCACCUCUGUACAAGAUUAUCAUUUCGGAUCCAUAAUGUUUGUAAGUAUUUCAUUCUGAAAUCAAGUAAAACAUGCAAUUACAUUUAUUUUUAUCCAUAUAUAAUUCAUUUUCUAUUAUUAUUUCAAAAUCUAUCUUCUGCAAAAAUGCAAUUCAUGAAUGAUUUAUACAUUUUGUCAUACUUUGAACUAUUGUAAGACAAAUUUUAAAUUUUAAUUAUGUUGGUAUGGUUUUUUUAACUGUUUUCAAAUUUAUCUUCUUUUUUAAUUUCUUACAAUAACAUAAGCACCGUGCGUAACACGGGUAUUCACGUUGGUUUAUUUAGUAUUUGGGGCGCAAAUAUGGAGACCCCUUGACUCUUUUUCUUUCUUUUCUUUAAGCAUGUUGAAAAAGACCAGAAAUCCCUAUCCUUCAUUCCAUGUACAAUUAAGACAGACUGGUAUUGGUAGGGAUUUAAAUUGGGUGAUAUGUAUGGAUAUUUUUUGUUCCUUUGCAUGAUAAAAGUGUCAAGACAUGUACACUAACAAAUAUGCGAGUGUUAAUAUUAAUUUUCUGUUAUUUAUCUUUAUUCUAAUUAUAUUCCAAGAAUUGGAAGGAUGAAGCUAAAAUGAAAAAAGAGGUGGUAAGGAUUAAGCUAGAGCUCUGAAACAAGAAACGAAAGUGAUUACUUGUGAAUAAAUUGUUAUGAACUCUUUCCGAGUAUACUUUGAAAUGUCAUACUGUCAAUUUUGUAGUAUUUGUCAGUCAAACUUUAGACCAACUUUUUGUGCAUGUAUGAUAACAUAUGUAAUUUACCAGAAUUUUACAUUCAAAUUGAAGAGUAAAUUUUUUUUUUCCAAAAACAAUUGAAGAGUAAUGUGAAGGUUAGACAUUUUAAACUGAAUCUGACAAGAAAAGAAAAAAAAAGGACAUCUUAAAACUGAAAAUAUGACAUCAACGAGAAGAUGAAAGGAGUUUUUUUUUUUUUUUUUGAAGGCUCUGCAAAUUAAAACUAGAAAAUGAAGCUCUUGAGAAACAUUUUGUAUAGAAAAAAGAAAAAGAAAUUCUACAAGACAUAACGUGGCAAAAUGUGCUCCUAUAGUUAUUUCGACUGUUCUGCUGCUUCGCUCAACAGCCAGCCUCAAGAAACAAGUGAUCAUAUAGGAGGGAGUAGCACUCUGGAGAUUUCUGAUAAUAUUUGUGGAUAAGAUUGCUCCAAAAGAAAUGAUCUCACCAACCAACAAUACUGUACAAUGCCUCACACGAUGCAUAUUCUAACUCCUGCAAACAUGCAACCUUGCUGUCCGCGGGAGAGUGGACUCAAAAGGUACCACACUUUCGAGCUUCGCAUUCUUCUACUCAGUAACUCUGCACAAAGAAUACAUAUUCAAAAUGAUCGUGUCAACUGCAUGCCAAGUAUAUUUAUCAGUGUAUUACGAGACAUUCUUGAAGUUCUUGCUCUUUAUUUUGACAAAUUAAUCGCUAGCAUUCUUUAGCCAAGAUUUACUCUGUUUACAUGUCUCUACUUACUCAUGGUUGCAUCUUUCUGCAGAUUAUGGUGGAUAUAAGUCCUCGAAUCUGUUGAAUUAUGCUCUUGAGCGAGGAGAGAAGAGUUCUGUGUUUGCCCAGGAUUGCGGUCGCUAUUCAUAGUUUAGGUCAAUUUAAGCCCAAACUGUUGGUAAAUUAGUACCUAUAUAUAUAUAUGGGAGAACUUGGUGGGAACAGCCAGUCUCUGGUUGGAGGGAAGGGGCAGAAUGGAUCAGCUACAAGCAAGUCACACAAUCAGGCGUCAUCCUCCAAGGUAUUUUUCUAAUUAAUUCAGUUCGAUUAUAUUAGACAAUUCUGGACUGUCCAAGUUUAGUUUUAUCAGUCUACUGAGUAGAUUAAAGUGCAUUGAUGCUGUAUUCAGGCGCUGCAGUUGAUUAUGAUCCCUCACUAGCUGCCAGUACUCAUAUCAGAAGCCAUUUAUAGUCUAAAUGGACAUAACUAUUAAAGUGAAUAAUCUUGCAGUUUCUUGAUGUGUCUGCGUAUGAUAGUUGCACUAAUAGACAUUCUGUAUGACACUUUGGUUUGCCUCAUCCUGUCAUCGCGGCAAACCUGUCUUAAUGGCUAAGCAUGAAUAAAAGUCAAAUUUGAGAAACAAUGGAGCAUAACAAAAUUCUCAUGAUGAAAGAUUCCACACUGGUUUAUCUGUGUUUAACAAUUUGAUAAUGUUCUGAGUUUUGCAGGAGUCAGUUUCUAAUAAAGACCGAACUGCUCCAAUCCCAGCUUCUGUAACUUCUGAAAUACAAUUUGGUUGUCUUGUUUGUUCGGGAAACAAUAGUUGCCAAACAGUUCGUUCAAGAACAAAGUUGAUGAACAUUUUGAUUGAGAAGGGAAAACCUAGCGAGGUACAUUCAGUUUUCAGGGAUUUAACUGAAGAGGGACAUAGACCAACACUUGUAACAUAUACUACUGUUUUAGCUGCUUUAACCCUCCAGAAACGCUUCAAGUCUAUUCCUUUACUCCUUUCUAAGGUUGAGGAAAAUGGAUUAAAACCAGACUCAAUAUUCUUCAAUGCCAUGAUCAAUGCCUUUUCUGAAUCUGGUAAUGUCAAGGAAGCAAUGAAAAUUUUCAAAAAAAUGAGGGACAAAGGAUGUAAACCGACAAUUAGUACAUUUAAUACAUUAAUUAAAGGGUUUGGGAUCAUAGGCAAGCCUGAGGAAUCCUUGAAACUGUUGGAAAUGACGUCUAUGGAAGAGAAUGUGAAACCCAAUGACAGAACAUAUAACAUUCUUGUCCGAGCUUGGUGUAGUAAGAAAAACAUACCAGAAGCGUGGAAUGUGGUUUACAGAAUGGUUGCCUCUGGUGUGAGCCCUGAUGUUGUUACAUACAAUACAAUAGCUCAGGCUUAUGCUCAGAAUGGAGAGACAAGUAGAGCAGAAGCAAUGAUCUUUCAAAUGCAAAACAACAAUAUAACACCUAAUCAGCGGACAUGUGGUAUCAUUGUGGACGGGUACUGUAAGGAAGGUAAUAUGACAGACGCACUGAGAUUUGUUUACAGGAUUAAGGAUCUUGGGGUGAAUCCAAAUCUUGUCAUAUUCAACUCUCUUAUUAAAGGAUUCCUAGAUGUUACUGACACUAAUGGAGUUGAUGAGGUAUGCUUCACCUUUUAUUUGGACUUUCAUUUCAUCAAGUAUCAAUUUAUCUGCCCCAAGAUCAACUUGAGGAUUUUUUCCUUUCCUUCUUGCUCUGAGAAUGUUUCUCUCUCUCUUUCAGUUCAUUGUAUAGCUUGUAUUUUUGGUUAGGUUGUGAUAUGUUUCAUAUCCACAUGAACAUAAACAAAUUUGUCAAAGAUAGACUAAAGUAUAACCACCUUGGCCGUCAUGAUUCAUAAUAUUAAGGUUUAAGACAUUUUAACCAUUAAAACUGCCAGGUUAAUGGCAGAAUGGACCACUUGAAUCAGGUCAUGAGGAUGAGGAUGAAAUAAAUCAUGAUUCUCUUCCCUUAAUGAUUUAAAAGUAGAGAGGGGAAGAGGGGUUGAAGUAAAUAACCAUCAGAUGUUUGUUUAGUCUGGGCAUUACUGGGUUGAAGUAGAUAACCAUCAGAUGUUUGCUUAGUCUAGGCAUUACUGAACUAAGAUAGAUGACUGAUAAGGAGUCUUUAUUGGUCACUUAUAUAGUUAUGUAAUGCAUCAGAUAUCUGACAAACUCCCAAUCUUCUGAUAUCUGGGGAAUUCUAAUGAAUACUUAUGUGUUUCAUGUCUGUAUGAGCAUUAACCAUCUUCCAACUAUUGCUCAAGCCCUUGGAUUUCAACUGCUCGCUCUCUUGUUCUAAAUUGCCACUGCUUAUACCAAGUGUAACCUGUUGUUAGUGGGCUGGUUAUGAAAUGUACAGACACUGACAUUGAUGGAAGGAUUUGGAGUGAAACCUGAUGUGAUAACAUUUAGCACCAUCAUGAAUGCAUGGAGUUCGGCUGGACUAAUGGACAAAUGUGAAGAAAUCUUUGACGACAUGCAAAAGGCUGGCAUUGAACCCGACAUUCAUGCAUUCAGCAUCCUUGCCAAAGGUUAUGUGCGUGCAGGAGAACCUGAAAAGGCGGAGGCUCUCCUGGAUAUUAUGGAUAAAUCAAGAGUGCACCCAAACGUGGUAAUUUUCACUACAAUUAUCAGUGGUUGGUGCAGUACUGGAAAGAUGGAAUAUGCCUUGAAGAUGUACGAGAAGAUGUGUAAAAUGGAUAUAUCCCCCAAUCUGAAAACUUUUGAGACACUAAUAUGGGGAUACGGAGAAGCAAAACAGCCAUGGAAAGCAGAGGAGCUCCUGGAAAUCAUGGAAAAUGUGGGUGUUGUGCCCCGGAAAAAUACGAUCCAGCUUGUUGCUGAUGCGUGGCGUGCAAUUGGUUUCCUGAACGAGGCCAUAAGAAUCUUGAAUGGCACGCCAAAUGAUCAGCCGUUAAUGGUGAAUGCUAGCAAUGGGAGGCCAGCUGAGGGCCAGGGAAAAGUACAUCAGAAAGAAGAAUCAAUUGCUUCUUACUCCAAUCUUUGGCAAAUUCCUGGAACUAUAGUGACAAAUCAAAAUGUGUCAGAUGUAGUUAACUUGAGAAGCCAGACACUGCUUAAAAGAUCAAAAUUAUCAUCUGAAAGCCUCAGUAUGGCAAACAAGUCCAUGUUAGUCACUCGCAGUUGUGGGCUUAAGGUAAAAUCAUUGAUGGAAUUUCCCAGGCAAUUCCAGAUUCAGGUAGGCAUCCACGAGUAUGUGAAUCCAUGUAGAUUGGUUUUCUGAUACUGUCAAAUUUCUUACUCCACACUGAUGGAAGUUUUUUUUUUUUUUAUUUAAGCCUCCUGCAUGAUCUAUUACACACUCCAAUGGUGCGAGAAAAGCUCUCAAAAUCACCAUCUGCCAUAUUUGACAUACAUUAUUGUAGUCAGCUAUUCCAGGCAGAGAAAGAUACUGCAACAUACUUCACUGUACUAUUUCCUCAGACAAAAAUGAAAAGAAAGUCAUUCUCAUGCUCUGCCUUUUCUUUCUUUCUUUCUUUCUUUUUUGGUUAUUAUUUUGGGGAGAUACAACUACAACUAUGAUUGAAUUACAUCAUUGUAGACAAUUGAAAGUGAUAUUUUACACUAAAGUUGUCUCUGUUUUACACUUGCCCUGGGCAAGUAGUGAAAUCUUAGCCAAUUAAAUCGAGCCUCCGGAGUUGUAGUUCUGAUGGCGGAGUUGGAAGGUGAAAAAACUCAGGUUUUUAUGAACUAGUAAUGAAAUAAACAGCAUUUUUUUGGACAAAUGUGUUUUGGUUUGGAGAUGAUUCAACCAUUGACAGGUAAUAAUUGUCCACAGAAUUCACACGGUGCAUUUCUGAUGGGAUUGGCAGGCAGUUCACCUGUGCAUUUUGUUAUUCCAUCCUAUCGUUGCAAAAUGCUUGUCAGUUUACUGGAGAGUUUGACAAAUUAUUUGAGCAAAAGUAAGAAAAGCACCAAUCCUCUUCAAGGACAACACCUGUAAGCUGGUUUUUUCCCUUCGGUAUCGACUUAGCAUCAAAAGCAUCCUACUUGAAAUUCUGAUGAAUCCAUAACAGGUCAUAUCUAUUCUAAGAGUUUGUUGGAUAUUAGGAUGAAAGGACUUGCACAAAUCCAUGUUACGCACCGACUAUCGAAGGUAUUUCCAUCCAUCGGAUGAAACAAAAGGUUUCCGUGGCAUCUUUAGUUGGAAUCAAAGAUAAAAUGUGGCGGUAUCUAACGAGAUAUUCAGUAGAAAACACCAAACUUCAUGCAAACAAAUAAAGAGACCACAAAUGUGUUGGCUGAAGCUCUUCAAACCAAAAAUUGUAACAGUGAGAGAGGAAUUGGUAUUGCUGGUUAUGGUUCUGGUUAAAUGAGUUGUUCUCAUAAUCUCAGAGAGAUGCGCAUCAAUCCCAAGCAUAUACAAAUUUAAAUGUUGUUCUGGUCCUAACCGAGGAGAUUCUAGUUUAGUACUUAACAUUGAAAUCUUAAAAUUUACACGUCUCGUAUUCAAAGCUUUUCUUCCCUCUCCACGUUUCUUAAAUCGUAUGCAAGAGUUGAUAAAGUAAGGAAUUUAUUCCAUGUAAGGAGGAAUAUUUAAAGGCUACAAAUUUAAGUUCUUGUUUGGUAUAACCAUGUAUUCUUAUUUUUAUUGAAAUUGGAGAUUAGUGAGUAUGUUGCCUUUUGUAUUUUUUUUUUUUUUUGAGGAAUAUGAUGCACAAGUAUUCGUACAGUAAUAUUUAGGGCAUCCCAAAUUUUAUUUUUGGUUAAUUGCUCUAUACUGUUUUACACCGGAAAAAGCUUCAUUUACUGAAAGAAAAAAAAUUGUACUAGUAAACUCCUUAUUCCUAUUUAAUAUUCCGAGUUAAUGACCAUGAAGAUAGUACUAAAAGUUAUUAUGACAGUAGAGUGAGUAGACAGAAUCGAUUGUUUGUGACAGAGCAACAUGAUGGCUCUACAGCUUCUCCCUCAAUCUCCUAUUCUUCAAGCUCAAGGCCACAUCUUCCCAGGUGUCCGUUGCUUCAGUCCCUCCAAAGAUUCAAACUUUAUCUCCCUAAGCUCAAGCCCUCUUCUCAAAAUCCAACAACACGCUCUCCCCAAGCUCCUAGCUUGUAAAUUCUCAAGAAAAUCUCAGUUUCACAGAUUCCAGUGUAAAGGGUUUAAAGACACCAAUCAAGAGAGCAAGGUUGUCCUGGACACUAAAGAAGGCGGCGGGGGCGGUGGUGGAGACGGAGGAGAUGGUGAUGGAGAGGAUGGGGAUGUUGAGAAAGGUUCUGAAUUUUUGCCAGAAUGGUUGAAUUUCACUUCUGAUGAUGCAAAAACAGUUUUUGCAGCAUUGGCUAUAUCACUUGCAUUUAGAUCAUUUAUUGCUGAACCAAGAUAUAUUCCUUCAUUGUCCAUGUAUCCCACAUUUGAUGUUGGGGAUCGAGUUGUAGCUGAAAAGGUAGUACUUUUGUGCCAUUUGUUUGUCUUUAAUUCGUUUAGUAUUAUAAUCUCUGCUUGUGAAUUUGAACCUUUAGUAUGUGAAAUUGAAAUCAAGACUUAGCAAUCUUUUAGAACCAAAACUGAGGCUUAUGUCGUACGAGGAUGACAUCAUAUUUGAUAUUCAGGAAUUGUACUACGGAGAAAAGACAGUAUUUAAGAAUCAAUUUCGAUAUUUGACUGCUUAGAUUUUUUGUUGAUGAAGAAUGAUGAACUUAGUUGACCAAGUUCCAGACACUGCUUGGUUUAUGAGAGGCUUUGGUCAGCUGCCUUGGCAAUUGCAGAUAGGUUUAAUGUGAUUCUAUGAUUGUGACUGAUGACGUUUUCUCCUUGGUUUAGCAGUUGCAAAUAAACUCAUUCUGACUCUUGUUCUAAGUUAAUGCUUGUUUCAGCUGGCUUCGGUUUCUUAUUUUCUAUUAUGGUCAUGAUUUUAAAUGUUCACUAAUAGUUUGUACUGAUAAAGAAGUUGAAAGUUUUAUCCUGUGUUGAUUAUCUGAAAAGACAUAACCAUUGUAUUGAACAUCUCUUCGAAUUAUCAGAAGUGAAGCCAGUAAGGAUGCUAAUUGCCAAUGGGUUACAGAAACACACCAUCCAUGUUUGCAAUCUUCUGAACUAUGUUUCCAGCAUGUGUUUUACGAGCAUGUAAUGGUUUUGAAUCCUACAGCCUUCAUAGUUGAAAGAAAGCAUUCUAUAUUUAUAUUUGGCACUUAUAUUUCUUAGGAUUGCUAAUGAAGCAACAAAGUGAGAAUCUUGAUAGCAUAUUCAAUUACUUUCACCUUCAAUAUUUCCAGGUCAGUUACUAUUUCAGAAGGCCCUGUCCCAAUGAUAUUGUAAUUUUUAAAAGCCCUCCAGUUCUCCAGGAAGUAGGGUAUACGGAUGAUGAUGUUUUCAUCAAACGAGUUGUUGCAAAAGAAGGAGAUACUGUUGAGGUAUCUCCUCUUUUCCUGUUGUGGCUCUCAGAUAUGCAUUACUGUUUAAGCUGUGUUUUAAUGCUAAUCCGGUGCACUGUUAGAAUUGCCAUUGGGUUUGAUAUUCAGAUGCCUGGUCUUAGAAUAAUAGUUUGUCGCGACUUAUUGGUUAUGCAAUCUUUUUUGAUCAAAAAGUAAGAAAUAAUUAGAAACUGUUUGUUGUUCUGAAUUACAUAAAUUGAGAUUGUUCACUUGUAUUCCUAUCUUCUAAUCAUGGAAAGCAGAAUAAAUUCACAUGCAGAUACUAGAGUGACGUCAAAAGGGACCUUCUGCAAAUUAUUGUGUCUUGUUUAGCAAAUUGGGCACCUUUUAUUCAGGAUUCUUUUACAAAAACAUGUAUUACUUCAUUUUACCCAAGUAUUAUUUCACAUUAGAGUUAAACUUGCCAUUUUUAUUCUUUCUUUCUGUAUACCGGAACCAUCAUGAAACUUUGGCGCUGGAAUAGUUGUUUGGAGAAGAUGCUACAGUAUAUGGAUUAGUUGUGUGCUUCAUACAGGAUAAUCGUGCCUAGAGAUGGGCCCAGUAGACCUUCCAUGAUCUGCCACUAACUCGUGGCUUCUGGUCCUCAAGCACUGGUAUUUUGCUGUCAUAAUUGUAUACAAGGUGAAAGGGAAUUAGCCAGAUGGUGGGACUUGUAUGAUGUUAGACUUCCGUCUUUCUGGAAUUGCUGGCUGGAAAAUAUUUUGUUUUCUUCUGUUGUUUGACUAUUUUAAAAUGUGUUUAGCAUCCAUUUUCUUAAACUUAUAGUUAGUCUCAGCAAGAUGGUAAACAACUUUUACUCAUCUUGGACAAUCCUUUUUUGUGCAGGUUCAUGAAGGGAAGCUUGUGGUAAACGGGGUAGUAAGAGGUGAAGAUUUUAUUCUUGAAGGCCCCAAGUAUGAGAUGACAGCGAUUGUAAGUCCAUUUUGUGUUCAUUUUAUUGCUUUGAUUUCUGCUCUGUGUGGCUCCUAUUCAGGAUGGUGUUUUGUGUGUUAAAAGAAUAUAUAUUUUUUUUGAAGCAUACAAGGAUUUUGAUCCAUAACACUAACUGAGCAAAGACUUAUCCCAAUUAGGACGGGGUGGUUCUAAGCUGUAAUGUUAUGUAUUGGUAUUAUGAUUUUAGAUGUUUUGAUUAUUCCAUGGACUCGGAAUUUGAAUUUCUCAUAAAGAUAGUGUUUAAUCUUUGUGCAGAGGGUACCCGAGAACUCAGUUUUUGUGAUGGGUGAUAAUCGAAAUAACAGCUAUGACUCACAUGUUUGGUAACUUUAUUUCCUUCUUUUGUGGAGUUGUAGAUAUCAUUUUAAUGCUUGUUAUUCUUUAAACUUGUUUUUAACAUAUGUUCCUUUUUUAGGGGUCCCCUGCCCUUAAAGAAUAUUAUAGGGAGAUCGAUAUUUCGAUAUUGGCCUCUAACUAGGAUAGGUAGCACAGUGCUUCCGGAAAGCUGUGUCUUUGACAAGCAGGAGACUAGUUUGGCAGCAAAUAAUACACCAUCUGAGUCGCCUAAUAAUUGAAGGUGCAGAUUUGUUCUCCUUUGUAUUUCUCAAUUUUAGAGAAAAUGUUAAUUAGCGAUAGGAAGAGUAAUAUCUCAUAGAGAUGGUAUAAUUUAUCAAGGCCUUGUUACUAAUUUCCUGUGCAUGUUCCUUUGUGUUCAUUGCACCAUAUGUAGCCUUAGAAGAUUCCCACUCCCGUCACCUGCCCGUGAUCUCUGGGCCAUUUGAUAGAUACAGCUGAUUGUUUGUAAUAUUAGUACCUGAUAAAAGAUACAUUCUUUUCAUUGAAUGCCAUGUUUUCUGGGGUUGGAAAUGCCUUGUGUAUCCAAAACAGCAAAUGAGAUUGGGAUGAUUCUUCAUCGAUGUUAUGUAUCAUUGUAUCUUACAUAAUUUGGGAGAAAUAUUUGGAGUCAUUUCGUUAUCAAACCCUGUAUCUUCUCUGGUAGAUUGCGAUGCAUAAAAACUGAUUAAUGUUGAUUCAGUGAAUUGACAAAGAUUGGAAAUCAACAGCUUCUUGUCACUCUUUGCAUAUGGAAUCGUUGCAGUGAGAAUGUGAAUAUCUGUCGUGGCCUGGAUACCAUCUUCUAGCUUAGGUUACCCCUGCUCUAUGUAAAAUCAUUACCAGGGAGUAAAGUAAUGUAGAAAAAGCAUUAAUUUGAGUGCACAGCAACAUGAUUAGAGUUCUUCAAUGUACUUGACAAGGAUUGACAACUCUGUUGGACUGCAGCCAGCUUUUUUUGCACAAGUUGUUGGCUACCGAGCCUUGUCAGCCGAUAGCAAACAACUUAAAAAAAAAAGAUUUUUUCCGUUGUCAGGCUGUGUCAGACUGAAAAAAAAAUUUUUGACUGACUUUUGGUGCUGGGCUGACACAGCCCGACAGCCAUAGAUUUGCAACAGAACCUUGUCAGAGCCGUAGAUGUCCGAAUUUUUUUUUUCUCGACCAUAUUCUGAGUAAUUAGCCAGAUUUUUUCCCCCCCGGAGUGGGGAGAGGGAGGGGGAGGGGGGUGGGGUGCAGCUAAUUGCUCAAAACAUUUCAGGUGCCAUACAAGUAAGUAUUUCUGCGAAUUUACCACUUCUGCUUCUGCCUGUUCAUUUACCGAAGUUGGACACCUCAAGCUUGAUACCUUACAGUAGGGUAGUUAUAUUGUGGAGACGACUAAUAAUUGAUGUUCUAACAAUAGUGAUCAAUUAUGUACAAAUAAAACACUACAGUUAAAGACUUUAAUAAUUGCUUCCAGAUUCUUGAGAAUUGCAUGAGCUAUGGCUAGAACAAGCUUUACUGGAGGUUAAAAUUAUAACGUAGGGCUUCUUUGCAGUUCGCAGUUAAUUAAAUAUACAAGAAUCUGGGUGAAAUUUGAUUUCCUCCAUGCGUUCAGUAUUGAAGACCAUGGAACAAGAGACGCGCUUUUGGUAUUUGGUCUUGACCAACUUACCAACUAGAUACCCCAGUGAUUGGAUUUCCAUGUUCAACUUCAGUGGAACCUCUGUGUCAUCAUCAUCUAAUGUUGCCCCUGCACCAUAGAGAGGAAUGCUACGCCCAUCUAGGUUCACUGAUAUGGUCCUUGAACUUGUUCUUGGUUGAUAAUAUCUCUUCAACUUCAAAAAACGAAACGCAAACUGUCAAUGAAACAGGAAUUUUACCAAAAAGAGAAGCUCUUACUUUAGGUAUAAACAUUGUUCUGUGAGGCAGGCAGAGACGGUAUUGAGACGCUUACCUCACCAGUUGCAACUGUCAUUUCGAAAUACAUUAGAUCAACCAUCUUGGAUCCGACAUAAAUGCCAAAGAAUGUAGCAGGGUUGCGAAUGGACAUGGUUGCUGUACAGUUAACUGUAAGCAACUUGGUUGGAACACCAGUUCGAUCGGAGCCUUGCCCGAGAUAAAAGUUGUGUACUCUCAAGCUCUGGUAUUUCAUCAAGAUACAGACGUUGUAAGGGCACAAGUAAAUUACUGUAAGCUCUGAUAAUUCAACUAGUUACACGUUCGUCAAAUGGAUAUAAUCUCUGACAUGAAAACUUAAAAUUGUGAAAGGGAGAAGUUUCAAUUUAAUACUAACGUUAGCUCCAAUUUUUCUCUGCAAAGAUCUUCGUUGAUAGUGGCAUUAUCUAUGUAUGAAUCAGUCCAGCAAAUUAAUGAAUUAUGUAAAGGAUAUACCUUCAUGGUGAUUUGAGGUCUGUAAGGCCUACUAGCGGCCCAGAUGAUCACGCAACACGCAGUAAAAACCACGGCAACCCCCACAAAAGCUGCUAAUAAAGGUGACCUUUUCUCAUCAUCUUCAUGCGAACCAUCAUAAACACCCUCCUCUUCAACUAAACUGCAUUCUUGCCAUCCCUUGCCACUUCUCUUCCUGCUGAUCCUCGGCCAUCGCCAAUUCCCCGAGACCCUGCUGGCCGACGAAGAUCUGGGAUUGGAUUGCCUCCCAUAGGUUGAGGUACGAGGAGACUCCAUUGGGCUACUACUACUAUUGUAAGCUGGGGUGGCUUGACAAGAAGCGGUAGCAGAUGCUUUGUCCGCAUCGUCAUGGGAAUCGAGAGAAGGGCUUUGUACGUAGUACACGGGAGGUUUAGGGGAGGCAGGGUAGGAGGAUGGUGGGGAUAAGGUUGCAAAAUCUGAUUCAGACUUGGCGUGUAUCAUCUUCCCAAGCUAUAAAUGGUAUCUUUCCACUUCAAUGCAGACAGAAACAAGCGAAUAUUUCCCGGCCAAAUUGAGUACAAGAUGCAAUUACCAAACCCAUAAGCAGUCAACAAGAAAUAAGGUCUUCUAUUUUGCCUUCAAAUUGGGUACAGCUGCAUGGAGUAUGCUACUCGCCCUCCCUACGCCUCUCCAAUGAUCAAAUGAUUGAAGAAAGUUCAACUCGUUUUUCUCCUUCCUGUGAUGCCACACAACGGAAAAUAGGGUGCAUGCAUGUGUUGAGAUGAUUGCAGAAGCCAAUCAAAGUAAAUCAUGAAAGAAGAUAUUUGAUUUGGACUGAAACUGAUCUGGGACUUGCUUUAACUUCUUGUGGGUUUUUUUGGUGGGGGAGUCUUUCUGUGCCGUGUUAUACUAACGGAGAAAAGUAGGUAACUGGUACGCCUUUUUCUCUGAUUCGUAACUGCCGAAUAGAUUGUCGAGUAGGACUGAUUCAAACGGUUUCAGAUCCUUUGUCCCCAAAAUAGUCUCUGUCCUCUCUGUUCCUUUGUUGUAUAGCUGCCACGUGUCUCUAGUCUUUUGUUAACCCAAACUCAAAUAAAACGAUAAUAAUUGGUUUAUAAGUUUUGUUAACCCAAAUUCAGAGAACCAAAUUCCAAGAAAAGGAGGUACGAAUUAGUUAAGAUUUUGUAGUGCCCGAAUAUAUACUUGUAUAUUCAAUCUUAUAUUCAUAUUUUCUCUCUUUAAUAUAUAUAUUCCAAUUUGAAGGUUCAAUUGCAAUAUUGCGUGGUAAAACAUCAGACAUUGUAUGUGCCAUGGUGGAAAAUGCGAGCCUCACAAGUUUAUGUUUCUUUUUUGUGUUAAAGAAAAAGUUUAAUUGUUACAAGGGUCAAGGAAGCAAGAGGGGAAAAUAAGGGAAAGUCCUGAAUCUAACCAUAAACAUGCUAUUUAUUCAGACAUUGUUUGAAAAGCAAUUAGUUUUGAAAAAAAAAAUAAUUUUUUUUCGUAAAUAUAUCUCUCAAUCAUCUUUUUAUCUCAUCUACACGCCUACUACUAGCUAAAUUGGACUUAAGACGCAAGGCUUACAAUUUGUGAGCGAAGGAAAGAAGAUUUUAUGAGGUUGAGGAGACGAGCCUAAGGAUCUGUUUGAUAACAUAAAAAAGUGGUGAAACUGAACUUUUUCAGACAUUCAGAUGUUUUGGGUGUUUGAUAAGUAAAAAUCCAUCUACUGAGCUUGUUAAGCGGUGCUAAACUUGUAUGUAUUUUUUUUCAGUACAAAAAUCGUAACUGAAUGUUUAAUUCUGAUAAUAAUCAAUAGAAUUACUUCAACUACCUUAUUUUAUCUAUCAAAUCUACUUUCAUUUGUUAAUUAUAUUUAAAAUUCUUAUCUAAUUAAACAAUCUGAUAUUCUCUAUUCAAAUCCCUUAUAUAAUUAAAUAAUUUGAUAUUUUCUAUCUAACGGUUUUCUACUUCUUUUUUAUCUCUUUUUAAUGACUUUCACAUCUUCUCCAUACUUCUCAUAUAAUAUAUUUCAUCUUUUUUAUAUUAAUUUGAUUUAAAAAUAAAUAUUGUCAUUUUCAUACCUAACAAAUUUAAGUUAAUUAAAUCAUAGGUUCUAUUUCCUUUUUUGGAUGAAAAGAUAUAAGGGCAAAAUUGUACAAUUUAACUUAUUAAGCAUUCAGUUAUAGAUGUUUAUCAAACAGUAUAAAUAAUUUCAACAUUCAAAUUCAGACAUUAAUAUAUUCUUUUCGGUGCUUCAAAUUCAGCAAAUUAAUUGUUUCAGUAUUCAGAUUUCAGAAUUCAGAUUCAGUUUUAACAUAAGUUGUCAAAGUUGUUACCCCUUGCUAAGCAGUUGAAAUCCGCAACGCAUUUGGCCCAAAAUGAGUCCACUCUAUACUUUUGAAGCCCAUGGCCCAUACAAGGAUUCAAAAGACUAGCCCAAGUUCAGCACAAUUAAUAAUACGGCGCGCGAGGAGAAGGGAAGGCGGCAGAAAACCCUAGCUCCCUCGUCCGUUCCUCCCCAAACACCAAAACCCUCUCGCUAUAUCUCCGUGUAUAAGUAGGUGGCGAGUCGAUAGAAGUAUCAGCAGCACUAAUAUUUUCGUGGGGAUCGUUGGGUUGGGGUAGGGCUAGUCUUCUGGUUCUAUGAUUCAGUUCUAUCUUUCCUUUUCUCCUUUUUCUGUAUUUGUAGGUAAAUCGAAAGCCUGUUGGAGCAUGUGAAUUUUCCUCCAUCCAUAUUGUUUGUGAUUUUAUUUUCUGCGUUUGGGCCUAUGAUUAAAUUUCAUCAAAACAUUGACAAGCAUAUGUCUGAAUUUAUGCUGUGUUGACAGAUCUAAUCUUCUCAAUGAGGCCCUCUACGUUUCUUCUGUUCUGUUUUUAUUUUGGGGUUUUCUUUUCGAGUAUGUGCUCUCUCUGUUCAUUUCAAGCAAAACUUUGGUUGACAUGAUGAUUAUUUUUCAUUUAUUAUCGUGAUUUUUUAAAAAAAUUCCGUUUGGAGUUUCCUUUUGUUUUCCCCAAAUGCUUUCUUUUUCUUUUUAAGAUGAACGUAAUAGAAGAAUGCCAAUGAUGAUUUACAGUGAUGAUGUUAUGUAUGAGAAAUCAGGGAUUACAACACCACUCUACUGCCUUCCUUCUGAGGCAAUACUACUUUAUUCUUACUCUAUUCCCUUUUUUUUCAUCUCUUUUUUGUUUUGUUUUUAAAAUUUUCACUUUAGCCGCGUUUAAGUUUGAUUCUUCAUUAACCAGAAGGUAUAACACAGGGCUACUUUUUCAAACUUGUUUUAGACGAGGAAUUAAUCGAGUCAUGGGAGAUUGUGAAGUCAGGUGAUGAUCAGAAGCAUAGUUCAAAUGAUAAAUCAUUUUUUAACGUGAUUAUAAAAUUUCUAAAGUCUUUCGCUCCUAUCUGAUGGCACUUCUGACUCCCAUGAAAUUAUUUCAUUUAGCUCUUUAAUUUUUUUUUUCUUUUUUCUUUUCCUUCAUUAAUGGUUAAUCAAAAAGUAUCGUCGCUGUUUGUAGUAUUUCUUUUUUUCUGGAAUAUUGCAGAAGAUUUUUUUUUUUUGAGGGAAAGAGUUACAGAAGAUUCAACUUUUUCCCUCUUUUGGGGACAGUGAUGAAUAAAUCAUAUUGGUCUCGUUCGGCGUAAUGGUGUUCAAUGCGAAUACCUUGCCGACCAUCCUGAUAUAUCACCACCCAUAAACUGAGUCCCCCUACUC